UUUUUUUUUUUUUUUUUUUUCAAACUGAGUGAGAAGCUUCAAAAAAGGGGUAAAAUCUCACAUUUACAACAGGCCAGCUUGUUUUUCAUGAGAGAAGAGUUUCAAAUGAGAGCAUCACAGACUAGUGUCAACUGCGUGUUGAUUGUAGUCCAAAACACUCCAUCUUUGCGUUUUCUUUACGUUUUUUUUUCUCUUUCAUUUCAACAAACCUUAAUUCUUAUUACGGUAUUAAAGCCCAACAUGAAUAAUAUGAAUGAACUAUAUAUUCUCCUUGAAACGUACCGUUAGUAUAAAAAAGAAAAUGAUCACGAGAAACUAAUAAUCUAGCACAUAAGUUCUAAUGUUUUGUUAGUUAAUUAGCAAGCUCUGUUUUAUAUAUAUCUUGGAUACAACAAAUUACAGAACUUGUUAUUGCAUAACCUAGAGCUAUCUUUCAGUUACUGAUGAAUGGUGAUUAUUUGUCUUUUGUACUGAGAUUUUUGCAGGUGUGAAAACAAUGAGUGAUUUUUAAGUGUUGUCUUCAACUUAGCUAAAGCUAGAUAUACAAUAAUACUGGAAACUGGUCCAGUACAUAUCUUCAAUAACUUACAAAACUUUAAGCGAAUGCUCCAUCACUACUACAAUUUUGAGCAAUGGCUACACAUCUAGUGUAGCCAUUAGAGGUGUUGCAAUUCCCUAUAAAUGUGGCAAAUGAGGAUAUUAGUAGGUAUUGGUGGGGUAUGAAAGGAAAUUGCCGCACAUAUGGAGAUUGCAACACCCCUAAUGGCUACACUAGAUGUGUGGCCAUUGCUCAAAAUUGUAAUAGUGAUGAUCUUCAAUAUCCUGGAUUCACAUGCAUGUUCAGCCUUUGCUCUUUUAGUUCUAUACAGGCACAUAUAUGCAUGUUCUAGUCUUUACUGGGAAAAAAAAAUGACAGUGCAACGUAAAAGAUGGACAAGCGACUUCACGUAGGGUUAUCCAUAUAGUUUGGCACUACUUCCCUCCAUGUGUUUCGCGGGGGAUGUGAAAACCUCUUCUUUCUUUUUCUUUUGGGAAAAUGGUUCAAACAGUGUCUGACUUUUCAAAAAAACUAAAUUUUGGUAUCUCAUCUUUCAAAAACUUUAAAACGGUGUCUUACGUUCUUAUCCCGACUGAAAAUUGGUAUCUGAAACUGUUAGUUCCGUUAAAAAGACUAACGGCAAACAUAUUUUGAGAGUUAUUUUCGUCCAUUCCUAUUUUGAUUUUUUUCUUUUCUUUUUCUAAACGUUGUUUUUCUCUCUCCCUCUAUGUUCAUCUUCCUCCUUUCCAGAUCAUUCUCUGGACUCAAUUAUGGCUUUUCAAACUCAUAAAUUCCACCUAUAAUCAUGUAAUCUUAGCCAAGCUCUAUGUUCUUCUUUUUGGGAUGCAUUUUGGGAAAACCCAUUAAUUUUUCCAUUAUUCCAGAUCAAUCCCUCUAUGUUCUUCUUCCUCCCUUCUAAUUUUGAGUCUUCGUUUUGCUUUUAGUGAUUUGCAAAGGAAAAAUUGUAUACUCUGUUCUUAAUUGUUUAAGCUUAAUUGGUCUCCUUUACAGUUCAAUUGAAUUUGAAAUCAAUCUGAACUCAGGGUCUUGGGACCAACUACUUCAUCCAUAUCCAUAAGAAAAAGAGAUUAAGGUAUGGACGCUUAGUGAUAAUCAAUAACAAGCAAGAGUAAUUUUGCGGGAGAAAACCAGAAUGACACACAAACCCAACUACAAGCGCUGUCGACGAAACCAUCUUGGCUUGAUGAAACCCAAAGAGAGUUUUCUUUUAGAGAAGAAAAGAGAGAGGAACUAUAAUUGCAAUCUGGACUUGGGGCACAGCUGCACAGGUAGGGAUCAUCACAAGCCAAAUUCAUGCUUGGGAUCCUGGACUGUUAACAACGAAUGGAUUAUCAGAGGAAGAGGACAAGUCCAUUAGGGGGUUGCUUGCACCCUUAAGGACCUCCCAACUGAGACAUAUGGAGGGAUACAAGAAACAGUAAAAACAUGAGUACAUAUCUACUACAUCCAUUGAUCAUUAGCGUAGCCUUCUUGUUUUUUUUUUUUUGGGUUAUGUAAUAUUGUUUUCUUAUUAUAUCCUUAUAUAUCUAAUAUGUUGUGCUUUUUUAUUAUUAUUAUUUGAAGCAAAAAAUUAUAUAUAAAAAUAGAAAUGAAGGGUAAAUUGGUCAUUUUUGGGUAAAUUGGUCAUUUUAUGAUUAAAAAUAUGUCUAUUAUCAGUUUUUUAAUCGCACUAACGGUUCAAGAUACCAUUUUUUAGUUAGAGUUAAAACAUGAGAUACCAUUUUAAAGUUUUGAAAUAUGAGAUAUUAAAUGUUAACUUUUCUGAAAGGUUAGAUACUGUUUGGACCUAUUUUUUUUUUUUUUCUUUUUUUUUCUUUUUCUUUGUUAUCCAUAUAGUUUGGCACUACUUUCCUCCAUGUGUUUCGCGGGAGAUGUGAAAACGUCUUCUUCAUUUUUUUUUUCUUUUUUUUUCUUUUCUAUGUGAAUAAUCACCGCCUUUUAUUUUCUGGUGGUCUGGAUCCAUAGCGCCUACUGGAAAUAUACACUUAUGAGACAGAAUAAUUUCAUGGCCUAAAAAGGAAAAUUUGUUCCUGGCCGCCUGGAGUGAUAGCGCUUUCUGUUAGUAAAAGUAAAUGUGAAUGCGUAUAGUUUUUGGCGACAAAACAUCAAUAAGUUAUAUUUGUGCAAUCAUGUUCAGAAUGCAUUGUGAUUUAGUUUUAACGAAUGUUAAGAAAAGUUCUCAUUCUUCAGAUCUCGGGUCUUACAUGCAAGAAUAAUCCAAGAAAAAUNNNNNNNNNNNNNNNNNNNNUAUUUUUACAUAGGGAAUUCUUUUACCACGUAAUUAAUACCAAGAUAUUGUACUGCAUAGAUCAAUUACGAGAGUAAAAACUUGUGACCUCCCACCACAUCAAUUGGUAUUUGUCACAGAUGUGACAAUUUGUUUUAUUGAUUUAAAGACUAAUAAGUUUGUAACUGUUUAAUUUUCUGUGUCAACACUCAAUAAUAUAUACAUAUACAUGAAGGAUAUGAAGCGGACGUCUGCACUCGGCUUAAAGUGCGGACGUCCGUCCGUUCUCCACCCUCCGGCGCCAGCGACGGCACGCCUCCACCCCAAAAGACUCCAGCAGCAUCCCCGACCACUUUCCCUCCCCGGAGAGUCCAUUCUUUUCCGGUUUUCCGGUGAGAUCACCUAAAACUUCAAACAAAGUCGAUCUCGCCGGAAACUGGAAAAAAGGGACUCGCCGGGGAAAGGAAGUGGUCGGGGAUGCUGCUGGAGUCUUCGGGGGUGGAGGCGCACCGUCGCCGACGCCGGAGAAUGGAGAACGGACGGACGUCCGCACUUUAAGCCGAGUGCGGACGUCCGCUCUACAUCCUUUCUGCAUACAUACAUACAUACAUACAUAUAUAUAUAUAUAUCAUUAUAUCUUUGUAUACAUUCCGGCCACAUAUACGAUAUAGCUAGGGACAUACAUUCUACAUGCAUACACUAGCAUAUCACUAGCUUUUAGAUUGAAAAGGGAUGGUCAUUUUGCAGCAUUCUUCUUCUACCAAUUUAGGAUCAUCCAAUUUUUUCCGUUACAAUAUCGGGUACGGAAAGCUCAGAGUACAUGUUUGAUAUUGCUUUCGCAAAGUGUGCCCUGGCUUGAGGCCUCUUGAUCUGGAAAAGUAUUUCAUGUCACUACACUGAUACUAGAAGUCUCAUAGUAUUCAAUAUCCAAAGUUCCAAACACAAGAUUAAAUUCUAUAUAACGGACAGAAGCUAGCUUACCUUAAAGGUUGGAGUAAGAAGGCCAUUCUCUACUGUGAAUGGUUCAGGAACUAAAGUUACAGCUUUUGCAAAUUCAAAACCUCUCAACUGCAGUUGUCAAUGAAGCAUCAACAAAAGACGUCGCCUUGAACUUGAAUUUCAAGUAACUAACUCAUGAGAUAUAUAGAUUUUACCUGAGCCUCCUUUCCAAUGGCAUCCAUGUCAGCCAAAACUACAGACCUUACUCUUGGAUUAUUGCACAAUUGUCUGAGAUCUUCGUACUGCAUCAAAUGCAAUGUCGUUAAGUAUGUAACAACGAUUGAUACUACAUAAAUUUCAGAUGGCACAGACAUUGAUGCAAAUUUACAUAGAUCAAGUAGAUUAAGCAUGUCAAGCAACGUAAUAGAAAGUAAUUAAGACCAGGGGGUACACAGAACCUAAUCAACCUAGGAUGGUUAAAAAUAAUUACCUUUAUGCCUUCAGAUGCAGCCCACUCUUUCAAUACAUCAGGAUCCACUGCAACUAUAGCUACUAGACAGGACUUAAAGCUAUCACCUAAAGUAGUCCGAUAAAAUUAGCAAAUAAGGCAUAAAUGGGAAGUAUAUAUGGAAAGCAAAGAAAACUUUGGUCUUCUUACCAUAAAUAAAACACUGAGCAACAAAUUGGCACUUGGCAUAGACAUUCUCUAUCUUCUCCGGUGCUACAUACUCACCCUGUGCCAACUUGAAGAUAUUCUUUUUCCUGUCAAAAGAGGUUGGAGAAAGGUGCUUAGAUUGGAGUUUCUCUGAUCUUCACUGAUAACUUUGACUGGCAAGUAUAGAACAUCAGACAGUUUCCACUUUAGAUUAUAUAAAUUUCGUAAUUUAAACUAUAAAUAUUUGCAAGAUCUCACCUAUCAAUAAUCUUAAGCCUGCCUCCAGGUAACCACAAACCAAUGUCUCCAGUAUGCAGCCAACCUUCAUCAUCAAAUACUUCUUUGCUGCCAAUUAACUGGGCAGUCAGGUAGAUUCAAUACUAGUUCAUUCUUUGUCUAUGAUAAUAAAAGAGUAGAUGCAAGUUAGGUACGUCUGCAGUUCGUCUUUGUAGUAGCCUUGGAAGACAAUGGGACCGCGGACACAAAUUUCCCCACGAGGAUAUGGCUGGUCGUCAGAGGUGUAAUUCAUUUCAGGGACAUCGACUAGUUUUACUUCUGAAACAAAGAAAUAGGAAAAGCUCGUGAGAUAGCUAGGGUGACAUAGAAGGAUGUGGAAUAGGACACUUCAAAACGAGAAUUACGAUGCUGUUUAUGAUUCCAAUCGUCGUGGAUCAUGAUCUACAUUCAACUAUUCAAGGGAUUCCAAUGUGCGUGCGCGCACAACUAUUCAACUGUAUUUGUAUAAGCAUGUCAUCAACUCACCACAAGCUGCACUAGGGGAACCAACAUGGCCACUUAAGGUGUCACCCUCAUCCAUCAUGCAUAUGACAGAAGUAGUCUCUGUCAUACCAUAUCCUUCAAUUACUUGACAGCCAAAGCACCUGCAUUUUGGUAACAAAUGAAAUGGAAAUGACAUUGGUCAUUGUUAACAAAAUGGAGCCAUAUUAAGUUUGCAUAAGAUAGCCAGCUUACACCCUAAGGAAGUCCAUGACAUCAGGAGACAAGGGUGAAGCACCAGAUGACAUAAAACGGACUCGUCCUCCAAGCUUUGCCUUGAUUUUAUUAAAUACCAAUCUGUCCCAUAUUGGUGAUGAUGUUGAACCUGAGUAUUUGUGUAACAUAGGAAUCGUUAGAAACAGACAUCAGUGUGCAUUCUCACGAACUAGUUAUUAGCGUAUAUAUAUACCACUCAUUAUGGAUUGCUUCUUAGAAUUGUAAGCAGCUCUGAAAAGUCUCUCCUUUAGAAUCCCAGAAGUUUUAACAGCGUUGUUGAUUCUACAAUGACAAACUGAAUCAGAUGUUCAAUGUUCAAAGGGACAGAACGAACAAUAUUCAAAUUUACCAUUAAGCAGUAGCUCUGAUUACCCAGCAUAGAUUCGAUUGUACACCCGUGGAACACUGCAAAAUAGUGUUGGUCUUAAUACAGCCAGGUCAUCCAUCAAUUUCAGAUUGUCCUGCAAAUGAUGAAAAGAGCCAUACGUAGUAUACUUGGACAUGAAAUAAUAGAAAGAUAAUCAACUGUAUGACAUAUCAAAAUAUAUUGUAGCAGAACAUGCUCUUAAGAAUGUGGAUCAACUUUCACAGAGAACUAUAGAUAGUUUAAGGAUUUUGGUUUCCUUAAAGUUCCAAUAUCCAACUGUGUAUUAUUUUUUCUUCAGCAGACAAAGAUUGUGAUCAGUAGAAACCAGAGAAUCACAAGUUCAUCGAUCUAUUUCAGAUGCAAAUCACCUACUGCAAUACUGUGGUUACAAUUUGCAGUGCAAGAUAAGUCAAUCAAUUAGAUACUUGCAGAGACUGUAAUACUAUAACUCUUAGAAGUGUUACAUACCCCCUGGUAGAAGCCACAAGCUCCACCAAAGUACAGUACGACAAUUUGAUUAGCUCGCUCGUAUAUAUGUGCCAAAGGAAGAUAGGAUAUGUAACUGUGAAAAUCAAAUGCAUUUAAAACAGUAUAUAAACAUUACAAGAUUCAAGAAAUCUGAUAUAUAGUAAAUUGAUAUAUGGUACUCACAUAUCAGAUGAACAGAAUCGCAAUGCACAACUGAAUCCAGCACAACUUGAUAUUAAGUUUCCAUGAGUCAACACAACACCCUUUUAUUUAGAGGUAGGAAAGAAGCAAGUUUAGUCAAGUAACAGUGUAACACAGAAUUUACUUCACUCUGUAGUAACACUGUAAUACAGAAUAUGCUUUUGCAGCAUGUCUUACUAGAACUCUACCUUUGGUGUUCCAGUUGUACCACUUGUAUAACAUAUGGUCGCAACAUCUUCAGAAUUAGGAGGGCAAAAAGGCUGCAGGCAACUGCGGCCCUGUAAUAAAAUCAUUUCAGGAGCACAAACAUAAAUUUUUCAAUAAGAAUUUACUAAUUCUAGCCAAAGACAAUAUAACUUGUAAAGAAGAAAAAUUGGAACUGAAAUUGCAUUUCAGAUUAGAUACUGGAAGCUACUGAAUGGGGGUACAAAUGUUUCAAGUAUAUCAUGUACAACGCAUGGUUGUAAGGUAAAGAGGGGGAAUAUAGCAGUAUUGAGAUGUGGCAGAAAGAAGGGAAAAUACUACUCAUGAUCUAUAUGAAUAGUAUGAGUGUAUCAAGUGAUUGGGGGAGCAUCAACAAUACAUUAGAAACAACUCAAACAAGGGACAAUAAAAGUAUUGGGAUGACAGACAACAGAGAAAUCCAAAAGGCCUGCGUUACAGUUUUACCAAUGUAGCCAUGUUCAACUUCUCGAAAAAUGCCCAAGAUUCUUAAAUUCCAUCUUAUAAUUCAAACAUAUAUUAACACAAAAGAUCAACGAUUUUGAAUAUGGUUGAGAAUCACAAUGUUAGGUGAUUAAGUCAUUACAGGGAUUCAAUUAUAGACAUAUUACUCAAAUGGGAACCAACUGAAGCAUUCUAAUCAGACAAUGAAGUUAAAAGACAGAAAAACUCUACCUGACUGACGAGCUCCAUAUAUGACACGAGUUUCACUCCAGUUAUAGAUGGAAGGGAACGCAAGUGUUCAUCUACCCCUCCCACUACCUAGAUUCAUGGAAAGAAGCAAGGUGAAAAGGAUCAGAAAACUAGUUACAUGGAUCAGCUAGCUUUGUUUAAAUCCAUAAGAAGGUUUAAGAAGUAGAUACCACUAUAAGAGCUACAGAUUGGAUCUCGGAAAGUAAGCUCAGCAACUGCAAGUAUAUUAGAUACAAACUAAAUGUGAGAGUCAUUAAGUUAUAUAUACAUAUGAUGAGAAGUAGAAACCGUAUAGAAACACAGAUAACCAGCAAUCAUGGUCCGGUUUCUAGCAACUUCUUAUAAGUUACAAGUGAACAUUAGUUUUCCAGCUAUCAAAUUUUCAACAACUAAAAAUGCUAUAUGGCCAAUAAAACCUACAGGGAAUUGGUAAAGUAACACUUGCACCAUGGUUUCUUUAAGGACAUUCUUAGCUUUGAAGAAGUGAAAUCAUACUCACAGUGUUCAUAUUAUCGGGAGAACAAAAAAUUGCUUGUACAUUGGCAUGAUUCACGACAUACUUAACCGCAUCAGGUCCUGCUCAUAGACCAACAAACUUUUAAAGCAGGGUAUCAACAAACUCGAAGCAACUGAUUUGAGUAACCAUACACAUACCAAGAGUAUCGUAUAGAGGAACUGAGAUAAAAGAAUAUGCUGAACAAGCAUGAUCCACAAUCAACCACUCUGGUCUGUUUAUGAAAAAGAGUCCCACACACGCUCCCUUUCCAAGGCAAAGAUAACCUCAUCAAUUUUUGCACUUAUAUGUAGUCUAUUAAUAUGUACGAAAUUUACAUCUCCUCAGUCCUCAAUGGAAUUUAUUCGAGUAGAAGCUAAAUAUCAAAGCACAGAAUACAUAUGUGUUUUGCAAGUUUAUGAAUGAGUAACUUAGAAAUAAGAAUCAAAAUAUGUCUCUAGGAUUUACUCACCUUUUGUAUCCCAUUUAACCACAGGCCGGAACCUAAUGCUUCCCGAACUGUUGCUGCUUCACCGUAUGUCAUCCAUUUGUACCUUGGUUAAUGUAAACACCAAAACUUAUAUGGAGAAUCAUCCAGAUUUACAAAUGACUCAAAACACAGAAAACACUAACUUACUCUCCAACAGUUCCAUCACUCCGAAUUCGUGUACCCAAAUACUUGUGAUCUUUAAAAGUCUCAGCCGAACGUCUGCAUCCUCAAAAUAAUUUCCCAGUUCCCACCAUCAUUUUCAUUUUACAAUAAUAACAUGCACAAACUUUAAUAACAAACAAGCACAGAAAAUUCAGGUAAGAAUCCUCACACAAAGUUAUCGUGCAAUGUGACAAUAUCCGGAUGAUCAGCAAACCGAGUUACAAGCUCGAAAGGGGAACGUACGGAUCUGCAGCCAAACCUCAAUCAGUAGUAACUAAUAAGUUAUAUGAACACACACAACCUUAGCUUAGCUGUAAUCGAAUUAUUCGUCACCUGUACACAUUCCAUUUUCCUGUUUGCAACUUCUCCGGGAGUACUACACUGUACCCCUUCCCUGCUCAACAUGCAACUUACUAACUCAAAAUCGUUGAUAUUUUGAUACGUACUUGAGAUCAUGUUUAGAAAGUAAACAAAUGUAAUCAAAUGUAAAGGUGUGAUACCGUGAGCAAACUCGCCGGCGGCGAGGUUGUUCUGAAGGAGGGGUUGAGGAUCGUCGGCCGUGGGAGGGAGGAGGUGGGAUUGUACGGCGUGGAGGCGACGUAGAGCUGCAUCCGAUUCCAUUUUUUCUUUUCCUUUUUGGUUUCAAAGUUUCUGGAUCGGGAAUAUGAUCGGAUGAAGAAUGAGUGGGAAAGUUGGUUGUGACUGUGAUUAAAGGGAAAGGUGAGUCGAGUGUACAAGAAGUAAUGAUUAUCUCCAUGACUGCAGUAAAAGUUCAAGGUUAUUAUUGUACAGUAAAAAAGUAAAUUAAAGGAAAAUAAUAGUCGGGUAUAUACCUCCUUCGGGGCCCGAGCAACAUCCCUUCCGACGCUGACUGAAGUGCUAAACAUUAUGAAAAGUCAUUAAUGCCCUUUUAUUUACGUUUUUAGGCGUAUCGGCUGCGUAUAACUUCGUUUAUAUGCGUUUUAGGCCAUACCAGAGCGUACCCCGUGUUGUGUCUUGUAGGUUAAGAAUUUAUUACAGGAAACUGCCGGCAACGUCCGGGAACGUAUCCAUAAAAUUGAGAGCAAUAUUGACUUUUCACGUCAAAGAAAAAAAAGGUAUUGUUUCUGAUGCGCGGUAAAAUCAAAAUGUAGUUAUGGGAAAGCUUUAACAGCAGCAACCCUCCCGCCGUAAAAAACAAAGAGACACACCGCAAUGGAUAAAGGCCCAUCCUUUGUCUCUUCUUCUUCAUCUUGACAGCUACUGAGCUCUCUCUCAAUUUCCACAUUUCCGAUUCUGAGCGAGCGAAAGCUCAAGUGUCGGUGGCGGCGUCUUAGGGUUUCAUGGCGACGGCGAUCGGGAAGACGAAGCUGCACUCGGGGUGGCUCGGAACCAGGGACAGAGAUGUCACCGUCACCGGCGUCCAGCUCACCACCACUCACCCUCCCUCUCUGGGCCCCACCUCUCCUUGGGUUGAGGCCGUCGUUCCCGGAACGUAAUCUCUCUCUCUCUCUCCAUUUGAUUCGAAUUUCGAGUUUCGCUGAUUCUGAGCUUGAAUUUUGAUUUUGAAUUCGUUUGAUUGAAAUCGAAGUAUAGGUUUGAAGUUGAAAGAGUGAAUAGAAUGUACUUGAUAUAACUAAAGAGAGUUGAUCUUCGGAUUAUGAUUCUAAGCUAUAAAAAUGCGUGGAUUUUUGAAUUUGUGUUUGAGAUUACGCGAAGGUUUGGAGCCGAAAUGAAUUGUGUUAAUGAUUGAGUAGUGGAUCAGAGAUUGUGGAUGUUUAAGUGAUGAAAAGUCUACAUUUUGAGUUGUGAUCGGACUAAUAAGUAUGAUGAUUUUACAUGACAGUGUUUUGGCAACCUUGGUGAAGAGCAAAGAAUUGCCGGAUCCGUUUUACGGAUUGGAAAAUGAGUCGAUUAUAGAUAUUGCUGAUUCAGGGAGGCAGUGGUACACAUUCUGGUACUUCACUACCUUUCAGUGUAAGCUGGUACGUGAUUCCCUUUGAGCUUGUCUUGAAAUGAUUCCCCUGUGUAGUUUGAUAGAUUACUGCCGAUGUUAUUCUUUAGUUUCCUUCAUAUUGUGGUUUGGAUAAUGUUGUCUAAACACUUGGCCCUUUUACAGUUAGGUACUCAGCACCUGGAUCUGAAUUUCCGUGGAAUCAAUUACUACGCAGAGGUAUAUUUAAAUGGGCACAAAAAGGACGUCCCGAGAGGGAUGUUUCGAAGGCAUUCUCUAGAUGUCACUGACAUAGUACGCAACGGUGAAAAUUUGCUUGCUGUUGUUGUUUACCCCCCAGAUCAUCCUGGGAGUAUUCCUCCUGAAGGUGGGCAAGGUGGUGAUCAUGAGGUACAUCUCUAAAUUCCCAUAAAGCACAUUGUUUAUAUAUACAUUCUACUACAUUUUCAGUUACAAGUUUUUGCUUACCAAUUUCUAGUUUUCAGAACUACCAUGAAGUACUGGAUCUUGCAUGAUGACUUUAAAAAAAUAAAAUUUAUCCUAUGUAUGAAAUGCAAAUUAAGGUCAUUAGUUUCAAAUUUUAAUUUCAGAUUGGGAAAGAUGUAGCUACACAAUACGUGGAGGGUUGGGAUUGGAUGUGUCCUAUAAGGUGAUUAUGUUUAACUAGUGUGAUGACAGUGUUCAUUUUGUAUUUAUGGUCAUCUUCAUUCUGAUUCGAGAAAUAUGUUGGCAUAAUUAAUAUAUGUCAGCUAAAAUGAGACAAAAAUCUAUUAAUUGAUAUCCUGGAGGAACUGCAACAGAAUUGAGUUGUGAUGCUAAAAAGAUACCUCCAUCAAAAUCUUCGGAUAUUUUAUACUCACAUUAUCAGGGAAAAAAAAUAUUCAUCUGAUCAACUUGUGUUACGUUACAGGGAUAGAAACACCGGCAUAUGGGAUGAAGUGUCAAUUUAUGUAACAGGGGUGAGUUUUAUUUUACAACGUUUCUGUUGGUAUCACUGGGUGGUGUUUCUUUGUUGUAUAUCACCAUUUCUUCUUGUUGUGUAUGGUAAUAAAAUUAUCUCAUGGGGUUGAUCAUUGGUUUGUAUUGAGUUUCAUUGAGAGGCUACACUGAUCUCUUUGUACUAACAAAUUACAAGGAGUAUCCAUAUGUGCUAUUCUGCAGAAUCACCUUACUCUCUGUCUCCAAAAGGAGAAGCAUUCAUCAUGACAUUUAUUAAGAUAUCUUACAACUUCACGUUAAACAUCACAGUUCUAAACUUGAUCUUGGUUUUUUAUUUGAUUUUUUUAUAUUUCUUUUGUCAGACAUGCUAGUUUCAGUGUUAAUAGAAUUAACUAUAAUAAGUUCGCAUUUUGAUUACUUACUAUUUUCUGCAGCCAGUGAAAAUAAUAGAUCCCCACUUGGUUUCAACAUUUUAUGAUAAUUACAAGAGGGCGUAUUUGCAUGCAACAACUGAGUUGGAAAAUAGAAGUACCUCGGUUGCUGAGUGUUCUUUGAAUAUCCAAGUUACAACAGAACUUGAAGGAAACAUUUGUUUAGUAGAGCAUCUUCAAACUCAGCAUCUGUCAAUCCCUGCUGGAUCGCGGGUGCAAUAUACAUUUCCUGAGGUCUGUGACAGUUUUGUGUUUUACUACUUUGAUAGAACAUAGUACUUUAUAGAAGCCAGGAGCAUCUCUUUGAUAUCCCAUUCACUGCAUUUAUUACUGUUUUUUUAUUUCAAUACUUGUGUUACUGCUAAAGAGUAUAAUGUGGCAGCUCUUCUUCUACAAGCCAAAUUUAUGGUGGCCAAAUGGUAUGGGAAAGCAAUCCUUGUACAAUGUUGUUAUCACUGUUGAUGUAAAAGGAUAUGGAGAGUCUGAUUUGUAUAGCCAAUUAUUUGGAUUCCGCAAAAUUGAGAGCCAUAUUGAUAAUGCCACCGGUGGAAGGUAGAUACUUAUUGUUUAUGUGUAAAACUACGCAUGUGCAUGAUAUUUAUUGUUUAUGUUUUGUUUUUGAGCUAUUUUCGAUGAGUUGUGUGACCUGUACAUUCUGCUCCUCAGGUUGUUCAAGGUCAACGGUCAACCUAUUUUUAUUCGUGGUGGUAAUUGGAUAUUGUCAGAUGGCCUCCUACGACUUUCAGAAAAGCGUUACAAAACAGACAUCAAGUUUCAUUCAGAUAUGAAUUUUAACAUGAUACGUUGUUGGGGUGGUGGGCUGGCUGAGAGGCCAGAAUUUUAUUACUACUGUGAUAUUUAUGGCCUGCUGGUAAGCUAUGCUUAUCUCAUUCUCUAUCUGCUCUUGCUUUCAGUGUACAUAUCUAGGUUAAAGCGGGGAAGGAGACUAAGAAGAAUUGUUACUUUGUUAGGUUUUGGUUCUCUCAAUUUGAAUGCACUGGGUUUAAAGAUCUAUGGGCCACGGAAUUAGUUGGGUGAAUCUGAUGCAUACUGCUUCUUGUUCAAUUUGUAGGUCUGGCAAGAAUUUUGGAUUACUGGAGAUGUCGAUGGACGAGGUGUCCCGGUAUCAAAUCCAAAUGGUCCACUGGACCAUGAUCUUUUCAUGCUAUGUGCAAGAGAUACUGUCAAGCUUCUAAGGAACCAUCCAAGUCUUGCUCUUUGGGUGGGAGGAAAUGAACAAGUCCCACCAGAUGACAUCAACAAAGCUUUGAAACAGGACCUCAGGCUCCAUCCGCAUUUUGAAAAGUCAAUAAAUGGUAGUGGUAUUUCUGAAAAUUUGAAGUCAGUGGAUCCAAGCCAAUAUCUUGAUGGUACACGCAUUUACAUAAAAGGAUCCAUGUGGGAUGGGUUUGCAAAUGGAAAGGGGGACUUCACUGAUGGCCCUUAUGAAAUCCAAAAUCCUGAAGACUUCUUUAAGGAUGACUUUUACAAAUAUGGGUUCAAUCCUGAGGUUGGUUCAGUAGGUAUGCCUGUUGCAGCUACCAUCAGAGCCACAAUGCCUCCAGAAGGAUGGCAGAUCCCGUUGUUUAAAAAAGCUUCCAAUGAUUAUGAAGAAGCUCCAAACCCUAUCUGGGAAUACCAUAAAUACAUACCUUACUCAAAACCAGGCAAGGUUCGUGACCAGAUUUCACUAUAUGGGUUUCCGAAGGAUCUUGAUGACUUUUGCUUACAGGUAACAGGAUCUUUUAUUAUUCAGGUUACAUUUUGGAUGAUGGACACUAUCUCUGUUUUGACUAUUUGACAUGCAUGUACUCAUCUCAGGCUCAGCUUGCUAACUAUAUUCAGUAUAGAGCUCUACUGGAGGGUUGGACUUCCCGUAUGUGGAGUAAAUACACCGGUGUUUUGAUUUGGAAAACUCAGAAUCCCUGGACAGGUCUUAGAGGUCAAUUUUACGAUCAUCUUCUUGACCAAACAGCAGGUUUCUAUGGCUGUCGCUGUGCUGCAGAACCAUUACAUGUCCAACUUAACUUGGCUACUUAUUUUAUAGAGGUAAGCUCUAGAGUCGCAACACAAUCGUAACAAUACUAAUCAGUGCGUGCAACUAUGCAAGUGUGCUCCAGUUCUUUUCAACGUAUCGAAGGGCUUUCAGUGAAAGCAGGAAAAUUUUCAUUUUAAAGAAAAAGAAACAAAAAAUUGCCCAGAAACAUAGAUCACCUUUAAGUGGAAACUCUUUUUAUCUUUUACUACUAUUACUCUAGCAUAAGAACAUGGUUUGAGAUUUAAUGUUUUGUUUCCUUCCUGGACUUAAACAGGUUGUAAAUACUACAUCAGAGGAAUUAUCAGACGUUGCUAUUGAAGUAUCAGUGUGGGAUCUGGAUGGAGCAUGCCCAUACUACAAAGUUCAUGAAAAUCUGUCAAUGCUGCCAAAAAGAACAGUACCGAUUACUGAGAUGAAAUAUCCAAAAUCAAGAAACCCAAAGCCUGUGUACUUUCUUCUUCUCAAACUGUAUCACAAGUCAAAUUUUCGCAUUAUCUCCAGGAACUUUUACUGGUUGCAUCUUUCUGGUGGGGAUUACAAGCUGUUAGAACCAUACCGAAAGAAAAGAGUUCCACUGAAGAUUUUAUCUGAGGUCUUCAUCAAAGGAACCACCUACGAAAUGCACAUGAAAGUGAAAAACACAUCUGCAAAACCACAGCCUAAAACUUUAACCUAUCAGAACCAUUUCACCCCAAAACUUGGUGAUGGUGAUUUUGAUGUCCACUCGGUGGAGCCUAAACCUGAUGGAGCAGACGAAAAACAUGGAGUUGGUUUUCUACAGAACAUAUACAGACAUUUUACAAAGGAAACUGAUGGUUUGAGGGUCGCUGAAAUUAAUGGCUCUGAUGUUGGUGUUGCUUUCUUCCUUCAUUUUUCUGUUCAUGGAGUAAAGAAGGACCAUAAGGAAGGAGAAGACACAAGAAUUCUUCCUGUUCAUUACACGGACAACUACUUCUCGCUGGUGCCAGGCGAGUCUAUGCCCGUCAAGAUCACUUUUGAGGUACCUCCUGGUGUGACCCCCCGAGUUAGUCUUCAAGGAUGGAAUUAUCAUGGUGCUCAUAGAGUCCGUUGAGGUGGUUUAGAAAUUGUCAUCUUGACUUUGCUGCUUUUAGCACUUGAGCCAUACACACAAAUUAUCAUUAGUCGUGUUCUAUUCACUUGUACUGGAAAGUCACAGCAACCUCUUCUGUCAUAUGGAUUGUCGGACUAAAAUGCAGAAAUAAAUUGAGACGUGUUCUCUUCUGAGGUUUACACUUUCCACAGUGAUGCUUCAAGGGAAAACCGAUUCAGGAGUAUAUAAUUGAUUUGGUUUGUGAAAAAUAAGAACAUGAGGAUUUAGCCAAAAUAAACGUGAGCUAUAGCAUACAGAUUUUCUUCUAGUUAGUCCUAAACCUUCUUUGAUAUCUUUCACUUCUCAAAGAUGCAUGGAUCAAGCUUUUCAUAUCUUAAACUCAUUUGUCAAUUGCUUCAGUGCGUUAUGUAAACUCUUCAUUUUCAAAAUGCAGUCAUACUCUCAAGUCAAGUCGCAUCUUACCUCACCUAUAAUCAGAACAGAAAAGAACCAGAUAUUAUGCUAUGAUUCAAGACUCAUUACUCUUUGUAAUACAAUUAUCGUUACCUUGAAUUUCACAUGAGAUAUCAAAAGAAAUAGUGUUUCUCGUAUAAAAAAAACAAGCAAGUGAAUGCGUCCAGUUUCAUCUGCGUUCUUUUCUCAAGUAUUUGCUCGAUUCAACUUUCCUCCGUUUUCGUAUGAAUACACACACUUAACUGGAAAAUUAACAAACCCAAUAAAGAGAAUGUUUAACAAAUCAAACUACAAUUGAUUCAGGUUUCACAAGAUCCGAAUCAAUGCAAGUAAUUCUAAGGACUAAAAUAUCGGGCAUCGAGGAGAUAUCAAUAGUCCGAAAAAUGAAAAUUUCAAUGGAGAUAUAAUGUUUCGACCAUUUAAAACAAAAAGCCGGUCAAAGUUAGAGAAAAGACACCUCAAAAUAUCUUAAACAGAGAGCCAUAUAUAAGCUGGGCCCAUUCGUCACACUCACACUUUCCUUUACUAAACUGAGAGAGACCACUAUGACUAUUUUCCGACGCAUUUUACUCCGAUCAGCUCCGACACGGCGGCCACUUCCCGCCAUCCCCCAAACCCUAAACCCUCCCCCACGUGCUUGCUCACGUGACGUCCCAAACCCCCGCCUUCUCUGCCACCGUAAGCUCCCUCCUUUCCUUUUCCGGCAAUCCUUUCUUUCACUUCAAUUUCCAGAUUUUAUGAUCAAUUCGAACUACAAGAACAACUUUGAUUCAUUUGAUGCUUGUAAUUUGAUGCAAUGUGGUAGCUUUCUGUGCUUGUUGAUGUGUUUGUGAUCAGGUUUUUGUGUUUUUAGUGUUGUGAAGCAAUUAGGGUUUAGAUGUUUAUGGCUUUGAUUGAUGAAAAUGCAGGGUCUUUUGAGCAUUACAAUGCGUCUGAAAUUGAGGUGGUGAAGUUUGUGCCAGGCCGGGGCGGUGCUGGCCGGCGGUGUCUUGUGUAUCCGGCUGUUUUGGCUGGUUUGAUUGGGCUUCGAGGUUUGGAGGUGGCUUAUGCAGAUGCUGAGGAGGUACAUUUCACAUUAUUUGGGAGGUUUUUGUGGAUUUCCGAUCGGUGAUAUGUUACACCUGCAUUGUGGAACUUAUGUAUUCGGCUGUUGUUUCUGGUAACUCUGCAGGGCGCUUCCAAGCAAGGUCUGCCGGCUGAUGCCAAUAAUAUGGAGGAAGCUGCCAAGAAGCAAAGACAGGAAAUUGAAGACUUGCUCAAGCGUAAAGGGAUUCGAGGUGGUUCUAUUCCCAACUUUACUGUUUCUGUCAAGGGGCAGAAGGUUAGUUGAAUGCUAUAGCCUUACGUUUCUGUUGGUCUGUAACUUUGGUUCAAAUGGAUUAGUUAGCAAUGCUCUCUCCAGGAAACUACUUAGUAAAUGGCCAAGAUAAAAUAUUUCGUAUAAGGAAAUUCAUGCUUCUGAGAAGAGGGUGCAGUUAGGCGAUUUGACAAUUUGAGGACAUUACAAUGUGAUUUUGAUUGUUCCAUAAACUUAAAAAGAGACAUCAUUAACAUGAGUAGAUAAAAGUCGUAACUGUUCUUAUUCAGGCUUGUCAUCACUCUUACUUGGUUUCUAAAUUUGAUGUGUUAACCUGUGACGAGUGCCUAAUCAUCUCGUAUAGUGUAUACUGAGUUUUAGAGGGUUAACUGUCUGCUGAGCUAUAUUAUUAUUGUUUAUAUGCAGCUUUUUCUUGUAUGAGAAUCUGUGUAGCUCUUUCCUAGUAUGAACACUAAUGAGCUUUACAUGGGGUAUAGGUAACAAUCAAGUUCCAAAUUCCUCCUACAUGUGAAGCUUCACAAUUGAUUGCCAAUAUUGUUUCUAAUCUUGGCUUAAAAGUUGAAGAGCAUGGUGGUGGUUCAGAUGUAUCAUUACGCGCUUGGGAUAGGUACUGCUAGACCAUUAUUUUCUUAGUGUCCUAGUCAAAUUUACCUGUAUAAUUUGGCUUGCACUUUUUCAAGCCUUUUGGCUUUAUCUCAGCAUUAUGUAAGAUGAGCUAAGCAGUGUUAUCUAUAUCGUGACUAUCGUCUGAACAAUGUCAGUGGAGUUGCUUGGCAACUAAUGCUUAUGCACCCAGAGAAACAGAAGGAAACUGAAGGUGAUCAAGGGGAAUCAAAAGAUGUGAAUAAACAUGAUCGAGAUCUGCACAUCCUCAUUUUCCGUUCAGUCAUUACCUCAACAGAAAAAACUGUGAGUCUUAGCUUUUGCAGUUUAUGGAAGUAUUCUCUUUGAGACCUUUGGUUUUACCUUCUGCUGCUUCAAUAUUCCAAAAGUAAAGAAGCUGUAGCUAUGGGGUUUUCAUAUCAGUCAACAUACAUUAUUGCAGGAAAUUGAAUUUAUGAAGCAGGGUGGCUUGAGUCCCAACGAGCUCAAUGCCCUGGUAUCCGCUUUACAAUUAGCUGGGGAAAAAAUAGGAAAGUCUACCACAGAACGAAGAGGGAGGGAAGAUAGCACACAAUCUUCAUCCAUAGAGAAAUUAAUAACCAGUCUUGAGUCCAUGGGAGUGAGAGUUUAUGGAGUUCAUGAACCCAAUGAGAGUUCUGCAAGCAAAGCUGUUUCAUGGGAUAAUCUUGCUGGAUAUGAUCUGCAAAAGCGGUAAGUGAAGAUAAUAGAAAAAUAUAUGAAGUCUUUAAAUUAUAUUUAAAUGUGAAAUCUUGACUCUUGCUAAGUAGUUCUUUUUGACUGGGAUGUUAUGAUCUCUGGAAAACAGUAACAGACAUGCAAUUUUCUGGUUGUAAACAAUGACUUUCUCGGGAGUUAGGCAACUUUGAACAUAUCUGCUUCUAAGGUUUGUGUCCUUGAAAAGAAGUAUGUCAAUUCACCAAUCGCCACCUGAGGUUACAUAUCUGAUAUUGAGUAUGAGAGUAAUGUUGUUUCUUUGUACAUGAAUUUCAAUUGCCUUUGUUAUCUGGCAAUAAUAUUCAUCUUUGAUUGAGUUUUAUUUAUAUCACUGAUUUAUAUGUGGUGAUAUGCAAUAUAUAGGGAUCACUCAUUGAAUAUAUUAAAAUGAGUUCAUUUCUUACCUACUUUCUGUCAAGAAAUCGCAAUUGCUUUUGUUUUAGUGUACUCAUCGGGGUGCAUGACUGCUUAAGAAUACCAAAUUACCUAUAUUGAAUUGCCACUGCUCAUUUUGUAGACAGAUAGAAGACACGAUACUUUUGGCUUUGCUAAGUCCUGAAACAUAUGAUGAUAUUGCCCGCGGAACUCGUCGCAAAUUUGAGUCAAAUAGACCUCGAGCUGUACUCUUCGAAGGCCCACCAGGUGCAGCCAAUUGAUUCAAUGUAUUUGAGAUGCUUCCUUUUCUCAACUGAGUUACUGAUGUAGAGGAUUUGUGUUAGAAGCUAUCACAUAGUGUGUUAGAAGCUAGUGUGUUAGCUGUUAACUUCUUUUACACUUCUCCUGUCCCAUACUUCUUCUGAUUAGAUUUGAGGUUGUCCCUUUAAUUAAGGGACAUCACCUUACUCCUUCUCUACAGUGGUGUAUCUUCCCUAGGAUUUUAGUUCACAUGGUGAUUAGAUUAAGAGCUUGAUCUGUUGGACUAUAGCUUGGGUUCUUACCUCUAUAUAUAGGCUGUAUCUUGUACAAGUUUUCUUAAGAUUAAUACAUAUCUUUCUUAUAUUCAAAUUCAAUAAUUUGUGUAUUUCUGAUUCUUGUUUGUCAUUUUGUUAAGAGCAUGAAAUGAUUCAUUAGUGUCAAGAAACAUGUAGUUCUUUUUGGUGCUCUAAACUAUAUGUGAGCAGAUAUUUCACAAGAGUAUAUAUAUUUAGUACUAUGGUUAUAGGGAAGAGAAGAGACCCCUUAAUUAUUUUGUAUUUAUUUUAGUAUUGGUCCUUUAUUUAAGAUGAACAGAUAAAUUUAUCAUCAAAAGUUAGGUUUGAUGAACAAUAUGUUUUCCUUUUUUUAUUUUUUAUUUUUAUAUGUAAGUAUGAUUUUUGCCCCACUUUUGUACUUGCUUUAGCUUUGUUAUCUGUCAUACUUAGAACGUUUGUUAAAUUUUCAGGUACAGGGAAAACUUCCUUUGCUCGUGUCAUUGCUAAUCAAGCGGUGAGCUGCUAAGCAUUUCCUUCUUCUUUCUUUUUUUUUUUUNUUUUUUGUNNNNNNNNNNNNNNNNNNNNCCCCUUCCCCCCCCCUUUCUCCCUCCCUCCCUCCCUCCCUCCCUCUCUUCUAAAUGUUCCAGUACUCAUAUAUGACUAUUACAGCUAUGUUAUGUCUUUUUCUCUUAUUGUUGUCUGGAAGCUCCAUGUUAUUAGAGAAGCUGUUACAGUAGUUAGGUGCUUCCUCCAGGAAUUGACUUUGUUAUCAUGAGAUUCAUGAUUUUAAUGAUUUUUUAAGAUGGUAGCAAGGGUGGGCUAUAAAUGUCAAUGCCUAAAUGGUAGUAAGUUCAUGAAUAAACAUUCCAUGCCAGUAGCAUAUUUGCUUCUUGUAUUAAGCUGAUUUGACUGGCAAAUAGUCAAGGGCUUACUUUGUUUGAUGAUCUGUUUUUCUAAUUGACCAGAUUAAUCUCUCUGGAAAAGGUUUUGCAUGUAGAUGAAAUCCUUUUUUCACAAGCAAAAAGAAGGAAAGUUCUGAUUGUGUCAGAUGAAAUCCUUUUUCAAAAGAAAAAAAAAGAAGCUGGAAGGUUCUGAUUGUCUCACUGUGUGUGUGUGUGUCUCACAUGGCUUGCUUGUUUGAUGUUUUUUUUUCCUCAUAAAGUGACCAUGCAGUUGAACUCCAAAUUCCCCAAAAAAGUAAAUGUACCAAGGAAAAGAAGAAAAAAGUUAACGUGGUGUGAUUUUGCAGGGCAUCCCAUUGUUAUACGUGCCCCUUGAGGUUAUAUUGUCCAAGUACUAUGGUGAGAGUGAACGAUUAUUAGGGAAAGUGUUUUCACUUGCCAAUCAGCUUCCAGAUGGUGCUAUCAUUUUUCUGGACGAGGUAAUUGAAGUAAUUAUUGCCUUGUGGCAACCUUUGAAUUAUGCAUUCUGGUCAUACAUCUGUGAUCAAUUAUAGUUUGUCUUUGCAUGGUUGAAUUGAACUUCUCUAUUUUCAUGUUCUAUCUGCAUUAUAUAGUAGCUUCUAAUAACAUGGCUUCCUUUCUUAUGCAAAUCCAGGUUGAUUCGUUUGCUAUUUCACGAGACGGUGAUUUGCAUGAAGCCACACGAAGGGUGUUGUCAGUGUUGCUGCGACAGGUGUAAUUGGAUUAUCAUUGUUUUACAAUAUGCAGAGGAUGCACCUUUUAACAAGUGUUCAAAAGUUGAUUUCAAAUAGUAAUAAACUGCUGUGAGAAAAUUUUGGAUUCACCAUGCCGAUCUAUAUGGCACAUCCCCCUAGUAAAAGGGGUUGCAUGAUCCAAACGGUGGCUCCUCCUUCCAAGUUCCAACUGGUUCAAAACCUCAGCAAAGAGUCCAGACUUUUUGUUUCCAUAUUGGACAUACGGUUAGGAAGCUAUUGUGAUGCCCUUAUUCAUCAAACCAUUUCCCAUGCAGAUUGAUGGAUUUGAACAGGAUAAGAAAGUGGUUGUAAUUGCUGCAACAAAUAGGAAGCAAGACCUUGACCCAGCCUUGAUCAGGUAUGUUGGUAUUAGUUUUCUCAUGUGGAAGAUGAAAGUAGUCUUAACAUUCCAGGAUUGUUCACUCACCUUUUAUCACUUAUGUGCAGUCGAUUUGACACUAUUAUUCCAUUUGGCCUACCUGAUCAUCAAACUCUUAAGGAAAUAGCUGCUCAGUACGCGAAACAUCUAACUGAAUCUGAAUUAGAUGAAUUGGCAACUGUAACAGAAGAGUAAGUUUCACAUAAAAUAAAUUGUAACUUCUUAUUUCUCUAGGAAGGUUCACAUCUUAUUUCCUUGUUUACCGUCACCCUUAUAUUCAAUGUGGCUUUUAACCUACUACAGAGAUGUUUCUGACUGUUGUCCAAUUGUCCCCAACAAUUUUCAGGAUGUCUGGAAGGGAUAUCAGAGAUGUGUGUCAACAAGCAGAGCGCUCAUGGGCAUCAAAAGUAAGAACAUUUUUGUUUUAGAACCUCCAUGGCAGUUGUCUUCAGUCCUCACAAAUCUCUCCCUGGUUUUGACAGAUGAUCCGAGGACAAGUAUCCAAAGAUGGAGAACAAAUCUGUCUUCCGCCUCUGCAGGAGUACAUAGCGAGUGCCAUGAAUCGACGCAAAGGUUUACUCAGCUCCCCACCCCGGCAGACCCAAAAUCCUCCCAAGGCUGACAGAUAGAAUGCCGGGGUUUAACUUCAAGUUACGAGAUGUGCUAUAGUAUUAUCUUGUCCAUUGCAUUAGGGUUUAUCACACUAGGAAGCUCCAAUUUUUUAGCAAUGUAAUCAUAACUGAUGAUGUAAACUCCCCUAACCCAGAUUGAAAAUGCUCAUUUUUAGCAACCAAACAAUCCCUUUCAUUUAAGCUGGCAAGGUUUUUAACUAGGCAACAUCACAUGCACCGUUUGUCUCAUGCAAAGAUCAUUGCUUAACAUGAAGUUGUUCAUGGAUGUGUUUAAUUAAGUCUUUGCCUAAAUCUUUGCCUAAGUCUUUGCAUACCAUCAUUGCUUAAUCAUUACACAUAGCAGACUUGUUUAAGUCUUUACCUAAAUCUACUUUUGAGAAACACGUGGAAAACAUUAGAAUGCGACGUUUAUUUAGUCUCUCCGAUUAAGAUUCUUAUCAGGGGGAACAUCACAUGAUUGAGUUCUCAAUGAAGUAGUUGGUGUGUUAUAUUUUUUUGUCUUUCGACCAAGGUUUAGUUUUUCUCACAUAGUUUUUGUUACUUGGCAAAGUUUUUAACGAGGUAACAUGGUAUGCACCCAUCAGCAUGAAGACACGCGGCACAAGGGAGAGUGUUGUAGGAAUAUUCCACAUGUCUAAUGCUAGUUAAAGAAGGAAUCACAAUUCCGUAGAGAUACGAUAUCAAGAUAUGUUUACUUGUACAAUACCUUAUGAUGCUAUGUAAUCUCUUAUGUAAGGACUCAUAUCAAUAAAUAAGAUGAUGAUUCUCUAUUUUCUUUACUAUCUAUCAUUAUCUCAAUAAUUCCUCCCGAAACAUAGUUAGUUUUAUAAAGAAACAAAAAUGCUACUUACACCGCCUCCAUAUUUUUUUUUUCAAAGAAAGGUCAUUGUCCAAUGCAUUCAAUAAAAACCUUUCUUUUAGAAGAUUCUACUCAUACCUCCUAAAUUGGUAUUUAAACCUCCAAUUUUUUAACAAUCCACAAUCACAAGGAUCUCUCUCUCUUAUUUUUGGUAUUCUCUAGUUCCCUUUGUAAGAUUUCUCAUUUUGUUGUAUCGAACAAAAAAUAAUAAUUUCUUUUCCUUGUAUCAAAAAUAAGAAUUAGAUUUUUCUUUCCGUUGUGUCAAAAAAAAAAAUAUCCUUUCAUUGUAUCGAAAUUUUUAUUUUUAUUUUCGAUCACAUUUGCAAAAUUAAAAUUGACAACACAGUACCAUUUGGUCUAGUGACAUGGUCUCCCCUUUAAUAAGUGAGAGGUUGUGAGUUAUACUCACGCAAUUUUAAUUUACCUGAUCAAAAAAUAAUAAUUGAAAUUGGCAAUUAGACCCAAUACAUUUUUAGUAUAGUGACAUAAGUCUCUCUUUGUAAGUGGGAGGUUAUGAGUUCAACUCACAACAAACUCAUUGUAGUAUAUGAAUUGUUUAACUGAAUAAAAAAAUUGGCAAUUAAUUUUAAUUGAAACCUAGCGUAUGUUACCUCUGUUAUUUAGUCAUUUGUAAGUGGGAGGUUAUGAGUUCAACUCACAACAAACUCGUUUUGUAAGUGAGAGGUUAUGAGUUCAACUCACAACAAACUCGUUGUAGUAUAUGAAUUGUUUAACUGAUAAAAAAAAUUGGCAAUUAGUUUUAAUUGAAACCUACUGUAUGUUACCUCUGUUAUUUAGCCAUUUGAACGUAUCAUUUAUUGUAGAAUUUUAUUCAAACUGAUCAUAUUCAGAGAAGUAAACUCAAUAGUAAAUCAUCAAUAAUUUCAGGGUGCGUCGCUAUUGUCAUCCUACAAACCAUUUUGCAUUAGGGUAUUAUAGUCUUUUAAUAAUUUAAACAUAUGUAGGGUGAGGUUAGCAAAUGGUUGGGCGGCAAUAGCCGCACCCAUGAUAAAUUCUAGGUUAGGGACUUAGGGUUGAUAAAAUACGUGGUCAACCAAAACAAAAAGGUAAAAAAAAUAAAAAGAAUUUGUAAUUUGUAACAACUUGUUGUCCUAUACUGUAAUUUUACAUCAGCUUAUUUUGGUCUUAAUUUCAAUAAAUUAACGUGUAAAGUGAGCAAAGUGGUUUAUGGGGCAAUAGACGCACCCUAAUUUCAUUGUUAUUUGGAUUCUCACAAUUUAGUUGUGAAAUCUAAAUUAAAUAAUCAAUAAUAACUUUCUUAUGUCCUUAUUGGAUAUGUGUCUUUAUUGACAAUUUGAAUAUAUAGGUCGAAAACUUCUAUUUUAAAUUGAAGCCACAAAGAAACAGAAAAGAUUACGUGUGACCAAUAGCAAAAUCAAAAAUAAAAUUAAGGAGAGUGCGAUGUGGGGGGCUAGGCCCAAACAGAAUCCAAUACAACAAUAAUUGAACAACGUAAACAAGUACAUGCUUGUUACCAUAUAUCUCAUCAUUGAUGCUCACUGUCUCUAAUCCUCUUCUCCUCUUCAGCAUAUGCCAAGUAAUCCAAUCUUGCUUCAUUACUAUUCCUCAUCAUUUUUGUGGAAACCUGGGAGGAAAUGGGGAAUUAUUUCCCAAGAUUGAUUUCCUCCACCAAUUGGAGUAUCGAAUGCUAACACCCACCUCUGAAUUCCUAGCCAGAACAUGUAGUCUCCAAUUUUCAGAAUGCACAUUAGGAACAUCACUUGCAGCUAGUUGAGUUGUGCAACAUGAAAGGUCUUGAUCAUAGCCAAAUUGCCUAGCCACAUGAUGUGGUCGCACUACCAGCAUAAGCACUUUAGCCGACGAAAAAGUUUCGUCAGCCUGUUAGCUUAAUUUUUAGCCGACGAUUUCGUCGGGAAAAGGUCGUCGGCGAUGACUUUAGCCAACGAAAAAAAAAGACAUCGUCGGCUAUAGUCCCACAGUUUAGCUGACGAAAAACAUGUCGUCGGUUUUUUUCCCAGACUUUAGCGGACGAAACAAUAAGAUAUUCGUCGGCUAAAGUGUGUAAUAAAAAAUUAAAAAAAUAACUAUAGCCGAUGAAAUAUAGUCUGUUUCGUCGGCUAAACCUUAUAAAAAAAAUUUAAAAAAAAACUAUAGCCAACGAAAUAUAGUCUGUUUCGUCGGUUAAACCUUAUAAAAAAAUAAAAAAAUAACUAUAGCUGACGAAACAUGCCAUAAUUCGUCGGCUAAACCAUAUAAAAAAAAUUAAAAAAUACUAUAGCCGACGAAUAUAGUAUUUAAAUAUCGUCGGCUAAAGUUGCUGGUUUUUGAAAAAAAAACUGCAGAAACUUUCGGCCACCUCCAAUCACCACCAAAAUUUGACAGAAUCUUCCUCUCAAUAUUUCGAACAACUUUCUAGAAGAAGUCGAAGCCCAUUUCUAAGCUUAAACAGGUCAAUUGAAUCAAAAUAUAAAAAUCCCCAAUUUUAAACCCUAAAAACUUCAAAUCUUCGAUUCUCCUCACACACACCGAAUCGAGUUACCAAAUUCUAGGGAAAUGUAGUACUAAUCAAACUCAACUUAUCCACCAAAUGGUGACCUGAGGAAGGAGAAAUUCGAUCAACACCAAAUCCGAACCGGCGGAUUUUGGAGCUCGAUUUAUCCCUCACGGCGGCGCCACUCGAUGCACCACCUGUCCAGCAAUGAAGUAGAGACGACGGCGAAGCUUUUGGGACAAGUGUGGUGGUCUCCGGUUGCUUGACUGCGGAGCUAAGCCGAGAAGAAAAUCUGAAACUUUUUCUGAUUUUCUGACUUCUUACCAUCCACCUCCGAUAAAACUCCUAUAUAAAGAACUUUACCCAACGAAGUUCUUUAUUUUCGUCGGCUAAACUCUUUUGAAAAUUUUUCGACUUUAGCUGACAACUUUUCAUAUAUUUUCGUCGGCUAAAGUCCUUUGAAAAUUUUCCUCCAAAUUUGGUUCGCCGCCAAAAAAUUUUUGACCUUAGCCGACGACUUUUUUAAUAUCUCAUUGGCUAAAGUUUAUAAAUUCACUAAAACGCUCAUAUCUCCCUCUAUAUUACGUAGUUUGGUCAAACCUUCCACACGAAAAACUUUAAUGUAGAUGAGACGCAACCGCCUAUAUAAAAAUUUUGAGACAUUUACCUUCCGACGAUAGGGCUCCCCAUAGGGGAAUAAUAACGGUAAAUAGGGUUGACCGCUACUAUUGACACCGAGACGUUACCCGAUUUACGUGAUUUUUAAACCAUAGCCGUAUUGAACCAUUAUGAACACAUCUUAUUUAACUAGAUUUUUGAUAAUUUUGCUUCCUAUGUAGAGUUGGUUCACAAAGUUGUAUAACAUACUAAACAAGUUAUACAUUAGUAGACACGUUGUGAUUCCGAUGACUAAAAUUCACAGACCAAAAUUCGACCGUCAGAUAUGAUCAUUAUGACGAAAGAUGUCUAUGGUAAAAAAUUCAACUGGAUCCAACAACGUUAAGGACUCGAUCGAAACGGUCAACCAUAAUCCAUCGUCACUUAUCACACGAAAACGCUCAUAUCUCCCACUAUAUUAUGUAGUUUGGUCAAACCUUCCACACAAAAAACUCUCACGUAAAUGAGAUGCAACUGCCCAUAUAAAUUUUUUUAGACAUUUACCUUCCGACGAUAGGACUUCCCAUAGGGAAUAAUAACGGUAAAUAGUAGACACAUUGUGAUUCCGAUGACUAAAAUUUACAAACCAAAAUUUGACCUUCAGAUAUGAUCAUUAUGACGAAAGAUGUCUGUGGUAAAAAAUUCAACUGGAUUUGACAACGUUAAGGGCUCGAACGAAACGGUCAACUUUAAUCAGAAAUAAGAAAACUGCAUUUUGAAGCCCUAAACGGACUCGGAUGGCCAAAAAGGCCCAUACAUCAUGGCAUAGCAAUGUGUUUGACUUGUAGGGCCGUUACGCUUCCGGAAAGGUAUCACAAUAGUCAAUCGGACACCAAACGCCAAAUCUGUAGCAUAGUGAAUAAUAAGGGUAAAUUGCAUUGACCGCAACUAUCGGCACCGAGACUUUAGCGGAAUACCGUGAUUUUUCAACCAUAGACGUAUUUCACCAUUCUGGUCAUAUCUUAUUUCACGACUUUUUUGCGUUUGAAGGUUCUACGUAUAGUUUUUUUUCCCAGAUGAGUUGUUGUCCAAAUAUGUAAAUACAAGGCACUUUAGCUGAAGAAAUUCUAUUUUUCGUGGCUAAACUUUUAAAAAUUUCAUUGCUAAAGUUCACAGACUAUAGCCGAGGAAAAAAUUAUUCAGACGACGAAAUUUUAAUUUCGUCGUCUAAAGUUGACCAAAGCCGACGAAAAUUUAAAUUAGCCGACGAAAGAAAUUUCGUCGGCUAAAGUCCACGUUAGCCGACAAAAAAAUAAUUCGUUUGCCUAGUUUUUUUAUUUUCGUCGGCUAAAGUCUUUCUUCUGUUAGUGUCGGUAAAUUUCUUCGGAGUCAAACCCAAUUAGCCUACCAUCCCGUAUGGUUAAGCGUAUUGCAAAUUUGAACAAGACAUUAUCUAAACUAGAUCUAACCAGAACUGUUUUCUCAUUGUUUAGAUUAACCCAAGCAUAUGGACGCCACCUGAAAUCGAUUUUGUCUACCGAGUCUAGAGCCCUCCUCUAGUUAUCAACUUGAAGACCCUUAACACGGUCCCAAUGAGCCAAUCUUGGCACACCAGGACUGAUAGCUAAAGGUUGUGGGCUAAGUUUCAGGAAUCUUUCCCAUGCCCAAAGUUGAACGAGUUGAAAUGAAGACUUGACAAUAACUUUUUUUCUUAUUAGAUGUACAGUUUCGAGCUUUAACAAAGUCAAGUCUCGAUAAAUACCAGAAAGAGAUGCUGACGCAAGAUCCACUCGGCUACCUAUAGUCAAUUUAGUUGCAAUGGUUAGAGCUCAUUUUUCAAUCACAGUACUAUAAAAUACAAACCUUGACAACCAAUAUGAGAUGAAUGCUUCAUGCUUGUAUUCAGAUUCGCUUGCCAUGAAACGAUUCAUCCAAAGACUUGUGGUAGCCUUCUUAGAUGGUGUUUUAUUGAACAAUUUUCUUGCAUUAUCUAGAGACUCUUCAAUACGAACCUGUUUAGAAGUCAAAUUAUAAGCAACAAUAGAGUCCCCAAAGACUUAGAAACCCCCCAAAACUGUUACAUCCUCCAAUCGAUGGUGGUUUCUCCCCAUUGAAAAAUGAAAGUGUUUGUCUCACAACACCAUUUUUCCGCUAACCCAAGAACCAAUCAAGUGUCUCAUUUAAUGUUGUAUUUGAACUCAUGAUUGGUUCGUAAAUACCAACACUCUUCCAUAGGUCCUGGUGUUUCAAUGCCAUACCAUCAACCCAUGAAUUCCAUGCUUCAUGACCCCUAGUUACCCAUCCUGGAAAUGAAACAUCUAAAGACCAUUCUCUUGGAUCAAAAUUAGGAGGGAGGAAAGGAAAUGAAUAGGUAGGGAGAUGAGAAAGAGGAUCAUUUGUUUGUAAAGGCACAAAAGGUUUGAGAAAUGAUGCUUUUCUAAUAAUAGUGUUUCCAAUAGUUAGAGAUGACACCAUCAUCUCUAUUCUCUCUUUAAUCAUAGUGAAAGAAUCCAUGAGUUUUGGUACUAACGGAUAACAACAAGAACACUACUAGAGGUCGGGCGUUCCUAGAGUCAAGGCAUAGUCAACAUCAUAGUUUCCGCAUGUUAAUUUGUUUUGCUUUUCUUAUGUGCAUAGAGAAUUACACAUGCUCUGAAAACUGUUGUGAUUAUUGGGUUUAAGGUGGCUAUAGGUGAAUAAGGAUGUUAUCUUUGGAAGUGUAAUUUGUGUUUUUUACAGGUCGGGUAAUCCACUUUAAGGGUGACUUUGUUGAAAUUUGGUGGAGUUGUUUCUAAAGUGGGCCCCGCAGGGCCCCUUCGGAUUUCAGUAUGAAAUCCAGGGUAGGUCUUGUCAUCAUUUGACUUCAAAUUGAGAAAAAAUAAAAAGAAGGAAGAAUAUUAAAAUAAUAAUCCAAAGUUGAUGUCGAACGAUCAAGUUUAUGGCUCCAUGGCAAAAACAUCUUUGGUUUAUAGGGUAAAUUUAUAGACUGUUCUUCUCUUUUAAUUCGGUCAACAAUUAAUAUAUAUGUUUGCACCCCUACAUUUAGCAAUCCGUAGAGAUUGCCAAACUAGUUUGUUAAUCUGGGUCCAGAAGGAAGUGUGUUUGGCAGCUUUGGUUUAUAGGGUAAAUUUAUAGACUGUUCUUCUCUUUGAAUUCGGUCAACAAUUAAUAUAUAUGUUUGCAUCCCUACAUUUAGCAAUCCGUAGAGAUUGCUAAACUACUUUGUUAAUCUGGGUCCAGAAGGAAGUGUGUUUGGCAAUUUGGCCGAGAGUAUUAAUGUUCGGUAGAGAGUGUAAACGUCCGGUCAAAAUGCUUGGCUAAGAAUGAUAGUUCGGCCGACGUUAUGAAGGAUGAAGUUUGCAUUUGAACUCCAGGAAUUGAUUCAGAAGAAACGUUAGGCCAAAAGACCGGGGUAAGGCGCCAAUAUUCAAGUCGUUACUAAGGUGGUAUUUCGGUCAUUCAGCCGAAAAUGAGGGUCUUUUAGCAUUACGAAAAGUUUUCACUCGCUCACUUCAAUUGAGAAUAUUUAAUUUGGCAAUUGUGACUGAGAUAGAGGUGUCGUUUAAACAAGGUGUGGUGUCAGUUGGAAUAAAUAUCAAUCCAUGUGGAUAAUUUAAGUGGACUAAUGUACACAGCAAGCCAUAUCUAAUAACUAUGAGAAGUUGGCAAAGCCCAUGCAACAAUCUCGGCCAUGAAUUCAUUUAAGAAAGAAAAUCUCAACAAGGAAGAACUUCAAUCAAAUCAAAGUUUUCAAACAAGACGCAUCACAGACAUCAGUCAAAUCAGGACAUUCAUAUGUAAUUCGACCCAAAAAAGGAAAUAUGAUAUCCAAGAGAUUUCAUGACAUAGAGAACAUACUAGCUAGAUUUUCUGACUUGUAUAUAUAGAACCUUAUAACUCAUUUGUAAAAGAUCAUGCACCACACAAACAAAUCAAUAUACAACUUUUCACAUAAACUUAUCUCUAUCUAUCGCAUAUGUACUUUACUUUCAAUCCAACUUUCAAACUCAAUCUUAUUUUUCUUAGUUUUACUUUGAUUUCAGUUCUUUACAUUCUUGCAUUUUGAUUUUCUUGUUCUUUACUUUACAUGCACUUUACUUAUCGCAUGCACUUAGGAGUAGUUGUAACGUAGAGUUCUCAUCCAUUGGUCUCUUUCAAUCUGUCCGAAUUAGGUUGAUGCGAUUCGCUGUGCACGCACAUAUCACUUCACAAAUAGGGUUUGUAUGAUAUACACAUCAGUACACAACAGAAUUUUCCUUGAACAUGCAUGCAUGUUGAACAAGACUUGCUUCAAAUUAACUUAUUGUCUCCACUGGAAGCUCCAAAUUAUAAAUAAUAAAUUCCUCAUUAUUGUAAAUAUUUGUAUGCAUGCAACAAUGAACUCCAUAAAUUAAAACUGACAUAUUUCGUCAUUUCACAUGAGAUAUAUAGUUCAUACAUCAUUUCACAAUAGCUCGGUGUCAUAUUUCCAGAAGAUCAUCAAGAACUUCUUUAUUUCAACAUAUAAGAAAGGAUAUAUAUAUACGUCGUGAUAUUUCCUUUCUAACUUAUUAAUACAUAUUGGAUGUGUGGUAUUUCUCUAUGGACAGAAAGUAAUAGCGUAGUUAGGUCCCCCGGAGCAAGUGAAUGUGCCUUUCUUGUCAUCAUAAGCGUAGCUGUAAGCCUCAGGGCAUAGUUGACUAAACUUUUUAGAGUAGUCUGUAGGAGGACAUGUCGCUGGCUUAUCAUUAGGUCCAGUGCAGCAAUACCUGGGCUCAUGGAACUUGGUGCACGCACUCAUGCAGCCGAUCACGCUCCCGCCAGCCCCCUUUACUUGUAGUUCACUCGGACAAUUAGCGUUUACGUUGGCUCUGCAGGUAGAGGUCCGACAAUCCCCGGGCUUAUGACCGCCUUGAGCGGCCACGGACAUGGGCAAGUUGAAGCCGUCAACAAGACUAACAUCGUAGUAAUCUUGACCCCCGCCUGCUGCGAUAUUAAAUUCCACCAACGUGGCUGGAGGAACUCCUCCAUUUCCGUUGCAUGAUUGCUGACCGGAUGCGCAAUCCCCUGGUGGAGCACAAGUGAAUUUGCCGGCAUUGUUCGUGAAGCAGUUGGUACGGCCCCAGAAGCGGCCAUUCCAUGGAACCGGAGUGACCACGGUGGUGCUAGCUUGGGGUGCCAAUACGUUACUCGGCAAUGCUAAGGGAGGUUUGCGAUCAGAAGUUUGGGUUGCUGGCCAGACCGUGAAGGGGCACUUGUUUGUGAUGGAAAUUCUGGCCGAAAGUGCGCCUGCAUGCAUUACCAAAAAUAAAAAGAAUAAAGAAAGGUAAUAAUAAUUAACAUAUCACCACGCUAAAUUCAGUAGUCCGUACUGCAUGUCAGUCUAGCGUGAAAUAAUAGCACAGGAAGGAAAUAAGAAUUGUGUAUUCACCUGGAAAGAAAAGGAAUUCGAAGCAGGCGAAGGUAAGGUAGAGGAGUACUUGGAUUUUCAUCAUGAUUGAAUACCUGGAUCAGUUGCCCAUUUUAAUUACUGUUAUAUAUAGGGAACUGAAAUUUACACUCCCAAUUUUAUAAACCACACUCUCACUUUCCUCUUUUAGUAAUUUAAAUUUUAUUUUUAAUGACAUGUGUUUUGUCUUUUUAGGAAAACUUUACCCAAAAGGAAAAAUGAAAGUGUAGAUUGUAAAAUAAGGAGUGUAAAUUUCACUCCCUUAUAUAUAUAGGGUAAAUAUAUAGACUGUUCUUCUCUUUUAAUUUGGUCAAUAAUUAAUAUAUAUGUUUGCACCUAUUUAGCGAUCCGUAGAGAUUGCCAAACUAGUUUGUUAAUCUGGGUUCAGAAGGAAGUGGGUUUGGCAGUUUGGCCGAGAGUAUUUAUGUUAGCUAUAUCUAAGACCAAACUUGUCUUUAAUUUACAACUGCUAGCUAGAAAAUUUCAUAAACGGCUGGUCUAGACUGUAAAUUAAGUCACUCGAUCAAGCAUAUAUGCAACUAAGCUUGCAAAAGAUCACUUCCUCAGGAAUUUAAUUUCCAGUAAUCAAAAGGCGUUGGUCCAACACAUCAUAUAAUUGAUAGUUCAUACACCAUUUGAUGAUAGAUCGGUGUCAAAUUCUAGAUAAUCAUUGUUCUUUAUUUUAGCAUAUAGAAAAGGAUAUCCAUCUGCCAUAAUAUUAUUUCUUUUCUAGCAUAAUAUUAUGCGCAAAAAAGGAAUGGCGUAGUCAGGUCCGCCGGAGCAAGAGAAUGUGCCUUUUUCUUGUCAUCAUAGGCGUAGCUGUAAGCCUGAGGGCAUUGUUCGCUGAACUUGAUAGAGUAAUCUGUAGGAGGACAUGUACCAGAAGUCAGGACAUAUGUGACGAAAUGGUUUCAUCGCUUAAGAGUGAAAUUUUGUCACAUAAGUACUUAUGAGACGAAAAUUUUGUCGCUUAAGAGUCGUCGUAUAGCGGUGUCGCAUAGGUAUGAAAGCGACGAAAAUACAUGUUUUGUCACUUAUGUUCCUCUUAAGCGACGUAUUCUGUUUCGUCAUUAAACUAUUUAAGAGACGAAUCUUCAACACUUAAGAGACGAAAUGCUUCGUCGGUUUAGUGUUUACAAUAUUUUAAAAAUAAUUAAUUAAUUAAAUUUGAUAAACAUCUAUUAAACAUGAAAUUAAAAAUAUUUUUUAAACCAUUUUAGUUUCUUUUUUUCCAUUUUCUUUUUAUAAUUUUUUUUCAUUUGUUUUCUUUUAUCUGCCGAAACACCACCACGCGCCGCCUGCCACCAAACCCACCACCGACCUCCACCCACCAAAACAAUCAUUGUCGGCGCACAAUAACAUUCACAAUUCCCUCCACAACUCCCAAUUUCAUUCACAUCUCACAAUUUCAUUCACCCCUCUCACCUUUCUAAUUCAGCCCCACCUUCUCCCUCCCACGCCGCCACGUACCACCACAUCGUGAACCGAAACCAAAACCGAGCUCGAUCCACUACAAAACUACAUACACCCAUAUAAAUUUACACUAAAUACAUAGAUUCAAUGUGAGGAAAUAAACUCGGAUUUGUACAUUACCUUGCUCGUCGAUGACGUCGAGGGAGUAGAGAGCGAUUUGGUUUGACUCUAGGAGGCGGCGGCGUCGAGGUGAAAGAGUUGGACAAAACGGGGGUUGGGUUUGGGUACGAUUCGGAGAGGGAGGAGGCCGGAUCUGAUGGAGAGAAAGAGAGUAAGGGCUGGGUGAUGGUGAGGGAAAAGAAGAGGAGAGGUGGUUGAGGGCUGGGUUUGAUCGAUCUGAAGAAGAAGAAUUGAUGGAAGAACCGAAGAAGAUGAAGUGGGAGAGAAUUUAUAAAAAGAUAAAAUGAGGCUUUGAAAUUUUCAAAAUAUUUGGUUUGAAAAUUUCCCAAAUUUUGGCGGAAGAGGGUUGACCGCCUAAAUAUUUGGACCUAUAGCGACGAAAUUGGUAGCUAACGUCGCUUAAGUAGGAAAUCACUAAUUAUAAUUUUUUUAAAAUUAAAACAUUAAUUACAUCAUAAAUGUACAUCACUUAAAUCUCUCAAAUUUUUAUAGAGAUUAUUAGCCUUGAUUACCAUCGAUUAUGAAUGGAAUUAAUGAAAUAUGAAUUGAACGUUGACUUUGAAAAAUUAACUUAAUCAGUCUUAAAUAUCUAUCUACAUUAAUGGAAUGGAGUUAAUAUUUAUACUAUUAAAAUGUCUUUUUAUUUAUAAUUAUGGUAAAUGGAAGCAACACAUUCUUUUAAUAGCAAAUCACAUAUAUAUCAAUAUUCAUCGUGCUUCUGAAAUUUUUAAAAUUUAUUCAAGAUGAGUUAAUGAACUUUCCCGAAAAAAUAUUCGUUUUACUAAUUUGUAUGUGGACUAAAUUAACCGCUUUUAUUGGGGUAUAAACGAUACCUGAAAUACGUGAUUUUUUAACCUUAGUCGUAUUUCACUAUACCGAUCACAUCUUAUUUCACAAGAAUUUUAAAAAUUUAGCUUUCUUUGUAUAGUUGGUUCACACAUAUGUACACUUCCACAUAACAUACGAAACAAGUUAUACCACUAUAGUACACGUUUUGAUUCCAAUAAAUAAAAGCAAAUUUCAAAAAAUAUCGUCAAAUAAGAUGAGUAUAGUAAAAUUAGGAAAUGACAUCCCAUUACCCUAAACAGUUGCAUAAAACAGAAAAACCACAUUUCAACAAAUUUAAACAAACAAGAAUAUAAGCCUAGAUCCACAGUUCAUAGUAUCAUACCAUGUCAGCAAUUUUUUACGUAAAAUACCCAAAAAACUAAUGUUUUCUGAAAUAUCUACAAAACUGCCACUACCUCAACCAAAAAUAUAUUCUCUCUCUUUCUUUGAUCUAUCAUAUUUCAGAUUCUCUCUCUCUCUCUCUCUNNNNNNNNNNNNNNNNNNNNCUACUACUACUACUACUACUACUACUUACUUACUUACUUACUUCUUACUUCUUCUACUUCUUCUCUCUCUCUCUCUCUCUCUCUCUCUCUCUCUCUCUCUCUCUCUCUCUCUCUCUCUCUCUCUCUCUCUCUCUCUCUCUCUGAGAAAUCUUCUGCAAAGGCCAAUUGGUUGCAUCGACGGCGUACUCCUCCAUCAUUAAACCGACGGCGUACGUACUCUUCUUAUUCAUUUUCAUUGGACGUCGUAGGCAACUAAUCAGAUUGGUGGUGUGGAUUAUUAGAAAACGACUAGGCAGCGAUCUGAUUCAACAACUUGGUUGUGGAACCCGAUCACCGUCGAAGUCUUCGAUCCAAAAGGAAUAAGGAUUGAGAGGCUGCUACUGUUCGUUUUUUUUCUUUCUUUUCAAAUUUGCUCCAUGUCCCAUUUCCAAAUUAGAAUUGGGUCUAUAUGAUUUGAUUCAAUAAUGAUCAUGAUUUUGUUUGAGAAACUUGUAUUGAUUUUAGGCAAAUUGGUGUAUUUGUUUCAAAAGAUUUGAUUAUCUUUUUUUGGGGUUUUAAGCACAAUGAGAGUUAUGCACAUAAGGUGUUUGAUGAAAGUCGUUGUUAUACAAAACCCUUGAUCAUCUAAUUGCUACUGAUUCAGUAAUCAUGAUGUGGGAGUAAAUCCAUUUUUGCACAUUAGAAUACAAUUUACAGACAAGAUAAUAUGAUGAAGUUUAUACUACUAUGUGUUAAUUAAGCUAUUGUUUAUCGAUUUCUCUAAAUAUCUGCUACUGUAUUUUCUAAAAGUUGAUGCUACAACACUAGCUGAGUCACUAAAAGCUUGCUACUACUCUACUGGUAAUACCUUGUUACUGCAUUUUUGGAAAUAGUUGUUAGUCUUGCUACCAACUAAUUGAGCCACUAAAACAUGCUGUUGCGUUUUUUUUAAAAUAAUUGGUACUACAUUAGCUAAGUCACUAAAAGUCUGCUACUACAUUUACUGGAAAUAGCUUUGCUACUGCAUUUACUAGAAGUAGUUGCUACUAUAUUGGCUGAGCCACUAAAAACAUGCUACUACAUUUAUUGGAAAUAGCUGCUACUGCAUUUACUGAAAGUAAUUGCUACUACACUUACUAAAACUGCUACUGCACUUACUGAAACUGCUACUACACUAGCUGAACCACUAAAACCCUGCUACUAUAUUUGUUGGAAGUGUAGCUUUCCAGCAAAACAUGCUACUACAUUAGCUGAGCCACUGAAAUAUGCUACUGCACUUACUGAAACUGCACUUACUGAAACUGCUACUACACUAACUGAACCACUAAAACCCUGCUACUACAUUUGUUGGAAGUGUAGCUUUCCAGCAAAACAUGCUACUACAUUAGCUGAGCCAUUGAAAAUAUGUUACUGCACUUACUGAAACUACUACUACACUAGCUGAACCACUAAAACUCUGCUACUACAUAUGUUAGAAGUGUAGCUUUCCAGCAAAACAUGCUACUACAUAAGCUGAGCCAUUGAAAACCUGCUACUACUUCUAUUGGGAUGUUAACCUCUGCUACCACUUUCUACUGGAAUGUUAACCUAUGAUACUACUUCUACUGGAAUUAACUGCUACUACUACUGGGAUGUUAACCCCUACUACUACUUCUACUGGGAUGUUAACCCCUGCUACUACACUAGAAUUAACUACUACUACACUAAGUUAUCCAAAAAAAUAUUAGAUAUUUACGUCAAUAUAGAGACGACAGAAGAGUGUCGUCUUAGAUUGAACCAUUGUAUUGAAAAUUUGGGGUUGUUUUAAGACGACAGACGUCUGUCAUCUCAUGAACAAGCUAAUUUAAGCUAUCUGUGAGUUGCUACAUUCAGACGACAUAUAUUUAAAUGUGUAUCGUCUGAAUGUAUCAGAUGACAGAAAUACGUCUUCUGUCGUCUGAAGCCAAAAAAGACGUAGUGAAACCUGUAAACACUUCUGAAAAUUUAAAUCCAACCUUAAACUCUUAGAGCCUUCGUGCUCCCCAAAUCACAACACCACCCAAAAUAAUUACUAAUCUAAAAAAAUCUCAUAUCCAACCCUUUAUAGGUUCAGAGAAACUCUAAUAGGAAGAAAUGAAACAUACAAAAUUAACAAGCGGAAGCUAUAUGAUGACUAUGCCUCAUCUCCAUGUAUGCCCGACCUCAACUAAGCUAACCUACAAGUUGGACAUUUUUAAAACAAAAGGCCCGGGGAAAACAUUUGAAAAUGUUAGAGUGAGUGGACAAAAAUAAAUUAAUAAAAAAUAUUUAUGCAUUCCCAUUUUAAUUUCUAAAGAAAUUAUACUGCAUGCGUCCGCUCAAAAGCGCUCAACUCAUAAACUGGCAACUUCACGACUAGCUCUGGCUAGUUACCAACUCAAAUAAAAUGGAGCCUCUCAGGCUAAACUAUAUAUAAACAUAUACGUGUAUGUAUUUACACUCGUCAGACUCCUUGUAUGAAUUCUAUAAACAACUUAGAAAAAUAGAAACUCAUACAAGGCUAUGACACUUGCGUCUAAUGCUCACGUCACGUCAUAAUGGAAUUUUUCCUCAUUAUGACCGAAGAGGACGGUGUAUAUAUACGUGUGGACUCCCUAUAUGAAAACCUAAAUAAACCAGAAAAGAACGUAGUUUUCAUAUAGGGCUAUGACGCUUGUGUCUAACACUCACGUCACGCCAUAAUGGUAUUUUACCUCAUUAUGACGGACCAAGCACGUAUGGCUAGCUAGCAUUUAUAUACAUACUAUACUCAUAACAUCCAAUAAACAUAACCACCGAAAAUCUCAUUUUCGGGAACUCUCCAAAGGAGAAAAAAUUGCCAAAUAACCAAUAAGUCUCAUUAAAAGAAAUAAAUGAUCAAUAAAAUAAUUCUUCGCAUGUUUUUCAAUUAAAACAAAGGUCCACUCACAACUUUAGGCAUAAGCCCGACGAAAUCCAAAUCGUCACUCUAGUGAGGUUUCCUCGAACCCUGGUACAAAUAUAUAAUUAAUUUCCCAACAAAAAAUCCAAUAUUUAUACAAAAUAGGCAAAAUUAACCGAGAGUCAUAAACACGCUCAUCAUUGCCUAACUUCGAUAUUCUUCAUUCGAAAAAACCCAAACUUUAAUACCAUACUCGGCAGCCGUAAAUACAACCUCCCCCAGAAAUUGACUUAAAUCCUACAGCCGGAUUCUACAUUAUUCAACCGCCAAAAAUACCAAACUUCGGAAAUUCACAAACCUAUCCAAAACUCUUCCUAAAAUUCCAUAAUUCACAUCAAUAAACUCCUCUUAAUAUUCCACACUUAAAACUAUACAAAACUCCCAAACAACGGCGGCGGCCGGAGGCCGAUUCCGGCGACCUCCAAUGCCCACCAAAUUAUAACAGUAGCUUCCUCUCCACUCCCUCUACAACACUUUCCUAACUAGCACAAACACAAAAUCCAAGCCUAGCUAGGGGAAUCGAACGCAAACACCUAAAGAGCCCUAGGAUUUCAACUUCAAAUUUCUCCUUACCUAGCUCAAGAGGGAGUAAGCCAUUUGAAGGGGUUGCUGAACGGAAGGAGGGCUACAAAACGAGCCAAGGAUCGUCGGCUUUGGCGGCCGGAGGAGAGAGUUCCGACGAGAAGAUAACCGGCUUCCAAGGAGGACUUCCUCCGUUCGGCGGGGUUGCAGCGCCGCUCACCAGCCCAGGAAGGCGGCGGGGAGGACGACGGACCGUGCUGGAGUGGUGCGGCGUCCCUACUUGGCUGGACGAUACUGACUGGGCUCGGGAAACUUCCAGCAGUCCAAGAGAGAAAGAGAAAGGGUCAGGGAGAAGAAGAGAAGGAAGAGAGAAGAAGAAGAAAGAAUGAGAAAUGGUUUGGGCCUCCCCAAACCGGGCCAACUCUAAAAAUACCCACACCAAACAUACACCCAACUCCAAAAAUAAUACCCACUAAAAAUUACCUUUUACUAGCCUAAAAUUUACCCUCUUUACCGUCUUCAAAAUUUUUCAUACGAAUAACUCUCCGAAAUAAUCGUCCUCCAAAACCCUUCUAGGGACCAAUUAAACUAUAGCUUCAUUGACGAAGACGGUAAAAUUCUUAUUAUAAUCAAGCUAGUAAAUAAGGUAGAAAUUUAAAGGUCGGGAUGUGACACUUUUGGGCCUCAUUAGUUAGUUUUUAAUUUAUUUAUUUAUAUGUUUCUUGCAUUUUAUUGUAUCUUAUAUCAAAGUAUUUGAGUGUAAUGCUUACUAUGUCUUAUAUAUAUCAUAUCUAUGUAUUUGAGGUCCGACAAUCCCCGGGCUCAUGACCGCAUUGAGCGGCCACAAACAUGGGCAAGUUGAAGCCGUCAACAAGACUAACAUUGUAGAAAUCUUGACUCCCGCCUUCAGCAAUGUUAAAUUCCACCAACGUGGCUGGAGGAACUCAUCCUCCAUCCCCUGGUAUUCUAUUCGUUGAAUUGAGGUUUUUUUUUUUUUUUUUGUAUGAAAAACCAGCUAGAUUAAACGGAGGUGCCUCUAAUGCACCCGCGGUUUACAGAGUCAAAAGACAGNNNNNNNNNNNNNNNNNNNNNNNNNNGGGGGAACAAUCUCCUCCCAGAAAUGAACAUCUCCUACUUUGUGGCCAAAAUUUGCAACAACAUUAGCUACAAAAUUGGCCUCUCUAAAAAUAUGCUUGAAGCUAAUAUAAUCAAAGGAGUUCCUCAUAAUUCUAAUUUCUUGAACUAGCUUGAGGAUCCUCUAGGGUGUAGCAACAAUGCCAUUAACUGCAUCGAGGACAAGCUUCGAGUCUCCUUCAACCUCCACUCUGGACAAGCCUCUCUCCUUGGCACAAAUGAGGCUGUAUAGAAGUGAAAGGGCUUCUGCAACUGAGAUUGUGGUAAUUUCGAAAUUGGAAGAAGCUGCAACAAGUGGAUUGUCAGUAGGGGUUCGGAUUACGAAUCCUCCUGCUGCAAAUCGGAGUUCCUCCAGACUGAGCCAUCAAAAUUAAUUUUAACCCUAUCAAUAGGGGUUGGUGACCACCUGAUCAUUUCAGAGUCUGUUCCGGGAGUAAUUAAUAAUCAAAUUCCUAGUUGAACUAGGAUCACUCUGAGUAUUACUUAGAGCCUGUAGGUGAGCUGCAGCAGUAGCUACUGCAUGUGGCAUUGGAUCUAGGGGUUUUGCCCCUAAAAACCGCAUCGUUUCUGUCCUUCCAUAUCUGCCAACAAGUCACAAUAAAAUUUCCAAAAAGAUUAGAGUCAUAUUGAUUAUCUAUAAACCAAUUACGCACCACCUUAAUAAGGCCUUCCUCCUAGUCAAUAGGAGGAGUCAUGGUAGCUGCAUUCCACACAGAAGUUGCAAAUUUGCAGCAACCAAAUAAAAUUCGUUGAAUUAAGUUAUCAGUGUCCUCAUACACACAAUAGAAAAUUCUCUUUCUAUAUAUCACCCAAUAAAAUACCCAAGCUCAGGACCUCUCUCCACCCAAAGGAAUCAAGCACUUUAAUAAGCUGGAUUGUAAGGUCAUACACAUUAACCAGAGGAACAUCUGACGUUAUCACAACUUUCUCAUGAUCAUCAGCAAUGCAUUUAUACUUGAGACCUUCCAAAAUGGCCACACUAUCAUCAUUCUCAAGAAGCUCCAAAUUAAAUGUAGAUAAUGAACUAGUAGAAACAAAUCCUCAUGGCUAUCAUUCACAUAAACAUUUCCAAUCACUAAUCCGUUGUCAGUAAUCAUGGUAGAUCACCUAAUACAGCGCUUAAUCACAUCAAUCAGUACCUUCUUUGCCUUCUCAAAUUGACCCGAUUCACAAUAUCGACACACCACAGCAAGUUGUUGUUCAACUCCAGGGCCAUCAUCACCAGCUUGAUAAUCUUUGUCUCCAGUACUCAAAAGAGCAGAAUUGGUCCUUCCUGCAUAACACAAGCCACUCGACUUUGGCAUUUUAUCAAACAGGUGGAGCAUACGGUAUUCUCUUCUUUUCACUCCCAAAUUCAGUCCCUGAUUAUUUUGCUUAACAUUGAUACCCUCCAAGCUCCAACUCAUGGGGCUUUCUACCAUCUCCAUCAUUCAUCACAAUCUUCUGAACAAAACUCUCUCCCUUCUUAGUAGCACAGUUCACAUCAAUACCAUCCAAUUUAAGUAAUCACAGAAUCAACAGCAAAACUAUCCUUACCACUGCUUAACAGUAGAGAUAUCGUAAUUCAAACUCAAAAUCUCAUCAGUAGCAGGUCCCCCACCUUUGUCUCGAAUACUCGUAAGAGCAGAAUCGGCAUUUCUUCCACUACCACACCCCUUUGACUUGGGCAUUUCAUCGAGCAGAGCCUUCUCUCCCAUAUUUUGCUGAAAUUGGACCUAAACAGAAGGAUGCCUGGGUGUUAUUCCCUUGGGGCCGACACAGUGCUGCCAAGCAGAGAAGGCACAAUUGCCGUCCUGAAUGAGAACUUGCGCAUCGAGGGCUUAUUGCGCUUCAGGCACUUGUGCUUCUUCACUCCGCGAGUGGCUGGAAUCGACUCGCUGGAGGCUUGCUUGCUUUGGGAUACUUGACACUGCUGCUCUCCUGAUUCAUAACAGUUUGCUACUUCUAUGCAGUUACGGCAAGAUCUUGAUCGACUACGAGGCUCUCAACCUCAGGAUCGAACAAGAACAACACAUCAGAGAUGAAUCAUCGGCGUACGAUUUGCUCGACUAUUUCUUCAAGCUCAUCCUCAACGAUCGUCAAAGAAACCUAGCUGAAGCAGUUUCAUGUCUUGUCUUUGCUUCUUCAAGAUUAACAUGCGGGGUGAUUCCUAAGCUUGGGGAGAUCAGGGACUUGUUCGGCGAGCGUUACGAGGAGAGUUUUGUCGACACUGCUGUUAAACUGUUGCCUGGGAAUCUUGUAAACCCUACCUUCAAAAAGAAUAUCAUCGCUCUCUGCCCGCCAGACUCAGAGGUGCCUACUGACGUCAUAGUAAAACAUGAACUGGUCAAACCCUCUUUUACUAGUUCUUCUCCUGAUCAGGCACCAGCGAGAUCAUCAGAACAGAAAAAGGAUGACAAGGUCCAAUGCCCUAAACAUGUCCACCCCAAAUUGCCUGAUUGGGAUGAUAUAUAUACCCAGUUCAAUGCUCUCAAGAAGCCUAAAUAUGUGAACCCUAAGUUGCCCGAUAUUGCAGCCAAGAUUAAUGCUCUCAAUCUCUCGAAGAAUGAGAACACUGCUGACAAUUACCAGUUGCAACUACAGUACCAUGAAGUUCAUGGCAGUGUUGAUGAUGGAGCAAUAUUCAGUUUUCAUGGUUGUCGAAACUCGAUAGAAAGAAUUGAAUUUGAAAUCCAGCAGUACUGUUAUUAACAGUCAUCCCUUGUUCAUUGAAUCCCUAGCUUUUUUUUGGUCUGUGUUGAAUCCCUAGCUUAGCUGUUAGAUUUUAUAUAUCAUAUGUUUAUUAUCGAUCAGAUUAAAAGAAGAUUUAAAUUAUUCAACAAAUCCCAUUGACUAAUAUUUAUUCAGAUUUUCUUUUAAUUAAUAUGUAUUCAGUUUCUGGUCGAUUUACUUCACUAGUUCCAAUUAUUUGAUGUAGCCAGCAUUCUUCGCGAUCAUAGGGUGACUACUAUUAUCUGGUCCAACGUACGUUUAGCUAGAUCCCUUAGAAAAUGUUGCUCUUUGAAAAAUAUGGAGAACACAAAUUAGAGAAGUACUUAAGAAAGAAUUUGAAUUUGAUCGUCCUUGACAAACAUAUAGAACGGUGGGUAUUUUAGGAGUUAAAACCUUGUAAAAAGGGUGAUAGCCAGGUUGAAGAGACUAUAGUAGAGCAGCCCAGUAGAAAUAGGGGUUGCUCUACUUGGCCCCACGUAGAGCAGCUCCACGUGCAAAGUGGACAGCUUGCUUUAGUUUGCUGAGUGUUAGAUUAGGAUGAAAUGGAUCGUUGAGGUCUUAACAUAUGGCAAUUAGGUGUAAGAGAAUUAGAUGAAGUCUUACCUUUUUGACAAGUGUCCUUUUGUCAUUGGAUAAGACCCAUUCAACCGACUUAGAAUGUCAUCUACAACUUUCUAUAUAUAGCUGAUUCCGAUCAGCUCCUUAUUUCUCUCUCCUCAUUUCUUUCUCUCUAGAAUUUACGAUUAAAUUUUGACGAAUCAAAACUUUUAAUCUGUAAGUUUGAUUCAGAAUCCACGAAAAAUUACAGUUUCGUAUCGAUGUCCUUUUUUUAUCUGUUGAGGUUUGAGUUAGAUCCAACAGUGAUUUCUAGAUGACUUAUUUUAGGAGUCUCGGUUUACAAUCGGUAUUCGUGGUAGGGAUUUGUAUUGUUGAGAUGAGUGGAUUUGUGUAAUAUUGUAAUGCCUCAAACUGCACCUCCUCAGUUUAGUCACAUUACAGUGCCACGAGUCUAUAAAUAAAACAAAGAGAAACGUAAGGCAGUUAAUUUAAGAAAAAAUUUAUAAAAAAAAACACAACAGAAGUGUAAAAAUAUUUUAGGGUGUAAAUCUUUAUUUCCUAAAAGUAUUUUCAUCCACCAAAACUUGAUGUAAGGAAUGGUUAAAAAUAAUGAACUCAAAGGAAAUACAAUUUCUUACUAAGAGUAUCAUAAAGAGUAUCAUAAAACAAACUCACAAUAGGAUUUUACUCUUUCACUCGCGUAAAACUUGAUAUAAAAUGCCCAAUAAUUAAUGAACUUCUGGGAAUAGAAUUACGAAUCAGAACAUAACAAAACCAACAAAAAUAGAAUUUGGUACUUGAAACUCCAAUAUAAAAAUAAAGAGAACAUCAUGGAAACCAAAUUACCAAUCAUAAAUAUGCACACCCAACUCCUCGCUAUUAUCCGUUCCAAUGCAUAAUACCUGCAACUAAAACUGUUGUAGGGGUGAACUUUCGUCCUCGCUACUCAAAGAACUUUACCCUUAACUAGGUUUGGAAACCAAUAAAUAAUAUGGGUUGCCCAGUAUGAAAACAUGUUUAAAACAAAUUUAUAAUGAACGACAAACUUGUAGAAAAUAAUUUCAAUAUUAAAUAAAUGAGGCGCUAUAAACUGUACCUGAUGGCCGGUCAUUUUUAGACCCAUUAUCCAACUUACCUCACUAUAUAUAUGUACAACAGGUAAGUGUAGUGAGAGUGUCCACAAACGCCCUAUCGCCUAAAAGCAGUGCCACUCCACAAAGCCUAGAAGCAGUGCCACUCCACAAAGGAUAUAAGACACUCUUCCGUCCAUAAAGGCCCAUAUGGAGGUUUAGGGGAUCGAACCCAAGAUAGUCACUAUGCUCCUCUCACUCUCAAGCCAUAAAUAUCUCAUAACACCGAUUACCAUAUUUUUAUCGGAUAAUCGGAUCAUGCAAUCUCAUAAACAUUUUAUAAAAUAAAAAGAGAAAAUUACAUAAUAACACAUGACCAAAUUUAAAAACACAAAAACCUCACUUUCAACAUUUUCUGUACAAAUUAAAACAUAAGCCUAGACCCAAACUAAUGGUACCAGAUCUGAUCUAGACUUUCACAGGCAAAAUGACUAAAAUACCUAUUUUUCAAAUAAAUUUAAGCAAAAUGACACCGCAGUAGCACAUCUCAUGUCGACACAGCAAUAGCACGUCUCUCGUCGACACGAUAGUAACACCUUCCUACACGGCUGUAGCACGUCUCCGGUCGACACGAUAGUAGCAAGUCUCGGGUCGAUACACGGCAGUAGCACGUCUCCGAUCGACACGACAGUAGCACGUCUCCGGUCGACACAGCAGUAGCACGUCUCAUGUCGACACUGCAGUUGACACGACCCACCCCGAAUUUCACCCUGAAACCCGGAGUAAGUCGUGCGGGGACCACCUCCAAGGAAAAUUUACUGAAAAGAUUGAGAAAAUCUCCCUUGCAGAUGGACAACUCUAACUCGAAAAUUCCAAAUUUCACUCUUAAUUCAACACUUCCCAACAACACAUAAUUAUCCUUCAGAAAUUCUACACAUAAUAUACAAUAAUCCCAAAGUAUUCAGAGCUACUAAACACAAACGGAAGCAAGAAGACACGAAUAGGUUGAACAGGUAACCUACUGAUGAAAACUGGCAGAAAUGCGGGUGACUAUGCCUCGCCUCCUACUAGAUCCAACCCGAACUCUGCAGACCGGGUAAUUUAAAACGAAAGGCCCAGGGGAAAACAUUUAAUAUCGUUAGAGUGAGUGGACAAAAAUAAAAUAAAGGAAAUAAUUCUUUAUGCUUUCCCAAUUUUUACUUUUCCAUAGAAAAGAAAAUAUGCUGCAUGCGACAGCUCAAAACGCUCAACACGAAAACUGGAAUUUCAUGACUGGCUCCGGCCAGUUUCCAACGCUCAAUAAAAUACAGCCUCUCAGGCUAAAAUAAAAUAUGUAUGUAUUACACUCGUCAUAUCCCUUGUAUGAAUUUUCUUGAAACAACUAAAACAAAUAGAAAAUUCACACAAGGCUACAACGCUUGCGUCUAACACUCACGUUGCACCAUAAUGACAUUUUACCUCAUUAUGGUGGAAAAGACGGUGUAUAAAUAUACGCGCAUAUCCCCUAUAUAAAUUAUUAUUUUUAUAUAGGGCUACAACGAUUGCGUCUAACGCUCACGUUGCACCAUAAUGGAAUUUUACCUCAGUAUGGUGGAAAAGCACGUAUAGCUAGCUAGCAUUCUCUCAUAUACAUAUUAUUGUCAUAAUCAUCCACAUAUGGAUAUAUAUAUAUACACUCACCGAAAUUCUCAAUUUCGGUUAUUCUCCAACAACAUAAAUUAUUUCGCACGCACAUUAUUUAAAACAAAAGUCCACUCACAAAUUAGGCCUAAGCCUGAUGUCGAUCUGGGGCCUCGUCAGCUCGAGCCUCCUCACGACCUGUUCCAAAUAUAAUAUUAAGUUCCCAGCCGAAAUUCCAAUAUUUAAUCAAAAUAGGCAAAAUUACCCGAGAGCCAUAAACACGCUCAUUAUUGCCUAACUUCGAUAUUCUUAAAUCGGAACGAUCCGAACUUAAAUAUCAUCCUCGGCAGUCGUAAAUAUAACCUCCCCAAAAAUACGACUUAAAUCGUACGGCCGGAUUCUACAUUAAUUAACCGCCAAAAAUACCAAACUUCGGAAAUUCAUAANNNNNNNNNNNNNNNNNNNNGGUGGCUGGCCGGACGGCGGCAGACGGCGACUGGACGAUCCGGCAGGGGGGGAGAGCACGGGAGAAAGGAGGAAGAGAAAAGAGAGAAGAGAAAAAGAGGAAAUGGGUUGGGCCUCCCAACCGGUCCACCCUUAUCAACCCAACUCAAAAAUAAAAAACACCCAAAAAAUAAUACCCGAAUAAAAAUUACCUUUUACUAGCUAAAAUUUACCAUUUUUACCGUCGUCGGAUUUUUCCUCAUACGAAUAAUCCUCCGCACAUAAUCGUCCCCGAACCCCUCUAGGGACCACUUAAACUAUUAACUCAAUGAUCGAGACGGUAAAAUUCUUAUUAUAAUCACGCUAGUAAAUAAGGUAAAAAUAUAAGGGUCGGGAUGUGACAGCAGUAGCACGUCUCAUGUCGACACGGCAGUAGCACGUCUCCGGUCGACACGGCAGUAGCACGUCUCCGGUCGACACAGUGGUAGCACCUCUCUCAUCGAUACGGUAGUAGCACCUUUCUACGUGGCAGUAGCAUGUCUCUCGUCGACAUGGUCGACAAGGCAGUAGCACGUCUCCAGUCGACACGGUAGUGGCAUGUCUCCAGUCGACACUGCAGUAGCACGUCUCUCGUCGACACGGCAGUAACACGUCUGUGGUCAACACGGCAGUAGCACGUCUCAUGUUGACAUGGCAGUAGCACGUCUCUCGUUUACACGGCAGUAGCACGUCUCAAGUCAACACGACAGUAGCACGUCUUAUGUCGACACGGCAGUAGCAAGUCUCUCGUCAACACUGCAGUAGUACGUCUCUCGUCGACACUGUAGUAGCACGUCUCUCGUCGACACGGUAGUAGCACGUCUCUGGUCGACACGGUAGUAGCACGUCUCUAGUCGACACGGUAGUAGCACCUUCUUACACGGCAAUAACACGUCUCCGGUCGACACGGAAAUAACACGUCUCCGGUUGACACGGCAGUAGCAUGUCUCCGGUCGACACGACAAUAACACGUCUUAUGUCGACACGGCAGUAGCACGUCUCAUGUCGACACGACAAUAACAUAUCUCUCAUCGACACGGCAAUAACACGUCCAUAGUAGCAGUUGACGAUUAGAGUGCAAGAGACGUCGAGAGGAAAUCUAUUGGUGUCGGUGCGUCAUCGUUAGGUGGCCGGACGACAGAGUUAAGAUGGAGGAGUUCUUGGUCGGGGUACUACUUCUUUGGGUUUCGGAAAGAGUCGAGAGAGAGAGAGAGAGAGAGAGAGAGAGAGAGAGAGAGAGNNNNNNNNNNNNNNNNNNNNGAGAGAGAGAGAGAGGCGGUAUGACUGGUUGACCAAAUCAACCUCCUCUUAUAAGUCCAUCACCGACUUGAUCUUAACGGUUGAGAUUAAACGGUUUACAUUCCAACAGUCCAGUUCUCAUCGUAGAUUUAUCUAAUUUUCUAUAUUUUCAAAAUUUCCAAACUUUAUAGAAAACUCGUUGUCUUGCUUACUUUAUUAUCCAACUUUUAGAUAAUGAUUUCACCUUGCAUAAACUUAUGAAGUCUUUCUCAAGCACAUAUCAAAAAUCAAAACUAUCGAGGUCGAUAAGCUAUUUACCAAAUGACCUCAAAUUAAGCUGGUCAAGUUUUUGGGUUAUUACAAAUAUGUUUCAUGCACCGCAUGCGGGGUAUUACAAACAGUCCCUUACUCAUUUUUGGCUAGAAUCUGAAACGAAAAAUCGAGCUUUUCAUUUACCUGACCAAAUCAUUAAGAGCAAGGAAAGGGACCAAAGAUCAAGUUAUUUCCACAUAAAUGGAACUGCCAUUGUUAUAAGACCACCACCUAAAGAAAGUGUAGGAUAAGUUCUGAUGUUUAUAUCAAAAGGAAGACUACUGUACUAAACAGAGCGGGAACCCAUUAGUCUUGCGACUCAAGUUUCAUGGAUGAAAUCCAAAUGGGUCUUUCACUUCCACAACCUCACCUCUCACUACUUCUCCCCCUCCUGGCUUUCUUCUAUCUCCUCUCUUUUCAAGAACCCUAUUUCCGAAACCUCGCCAUUGGUCCUCAACCAUGUCGAUGUAACUCUGCUUCUUUCCUUCUGUGGCAAAAAUCGUCACUUUCAAUUGGGUUCUUCCCUUCAUGCAUCUAUCAUUAAGAACCCUGAACUUUUCGAGCCCGAGAAUCGCAAUGUCGUUGUACUUUGGAACUCUUUGCUUUCCAUGUACUUGAAAUGUGGGCAGUUGUGGGAUGCGGUUAAGGUGUUCGAUGAAAUGCCUGUGAGAGAUACGGUUUCGUGGAACACUGUGAUAUCGGGGUUUUUGAGGAAUGGGGAGCCUGAGACUGGUUUUGGGUACUUCAAGAGGAUGUUGGAGUCAGAUUAUUGUCGAUUUGAUAAAGCUACUUUGACUUGCCUUAUAGCGGGUUUUGAUGGGGUGGAGGGUUGUUACUUGAACAAGAUGAUGCAUGGUUUGGCGGUUUUGAAUGGAUUUGAGCGGGAAACUGCAGUGGGGAAUGCUUUGAUAACAUCUUACUGUAAAUGUGGGUGCUUUGGCUCAGCAAGGCGGGUUUUUGAUGAGAUGUUUGAGAGGAAUGUAAUUACGUGGACUGCAAUGAUUUCGGGCCUUGCACAUUAUGGUUUCUAUGCUGAGAGCUUGAAGUUGUUUGCGGAUAUGCUUGGUGGUGUGGUGGAACCGAAUGCUAUGACGUUUUUGGGCUCACUUAUGGCAUGUUCUGGAUUGCAGGCAAUAAGGGAGGGGCGUCAGAUCCAUGGCCUUGUAUGGAAAUUGGGAGUUCAAUCGGACCUGUGUGUGGAGAGUUCAUUGAUGGACAUGUAUUCAAAAUGUGGUAGUGUGGAAGAUGCAUGGAGAAUCUUUGAGUCCACUAAAGAACUUGAUGAGGUUUCCAUGACUGUUAUCCUUGUGGGAUUUGCACAGAAUGGGUUUGAGACAGAAGCUAUCCAGAUUUUUGUGAAAAUGAUGAGGGCAGGGAUUGAAAUUGACCCAAACAUGGUUUCAGCAGUUCUUGGAGUAUUUGGUGUUGAUACUUCUUUAGGUCUGGGAAAGCAACUACACUCUUUGAUAGUCAAGAAGAAUUUUGGUUAUAAUUCUUUUGUCACCAAUGGGCUAAUAAAUAUGUACUCCAAGUGUGGAGAGCUGGAGGAUUCAGAAAAAGUGUUCACUCAAAUGCCUCAAAGGAAUUCAAUUUCAUGGAAUUCAAUGAUUGCGGCGUUUGCCCGUCAUGGAGAUGGCUCCAAAGCAUUACAACUGUAUGAAAAUAUGCAAAUGGAAGGCGUACAACUGACAGAUGUUACAUUUCUGUCUCUACUUCAUGCUUGUAGCCAUGCUGGCUUGAUUGAAAGGGGCAUGGAAUUUCUGAACUUUAUGAAAGAAGAACAUGGGAUGAGUCCAAGGCCAGAACACUAUGCUUGUGUUGUUGACAUGUUAGGUCGGGCAGGACUUUUAACUGAGGCUAAAUCUUUUAUUGAAGGACUACCUGAAAAUCCUGGGAUACUUGUUUGGCAAGCAUUACUCGGUGCUUGUAGCAUUCAUAAAGAAUCUGAUAUUGGGAAAUAUGCUGCAGAUCAGUUGUUUUUGACAGCACCGCAGUGUCCCGCACCAUAUGUUUUGCUUGCCAAUAUAUAUUCUUUUGAAGGAAGGUGGAAAGAGAGAGCAAAGACUAUUAAGGGGAUGAAGAAGAUGGGAGUGGCAAAAGAAGCGGGUAUUAGUUGGAUUGAAAUCGAAAAGAAAGUUCAGAGCUUUGUUGUUGGUGAUAAAAUGCAUCCACAAGCGGAGAUCAUUUAUAGGCUCUUGGCAGAUUUGCUUAGACUUAUGAAGGAUGAAGGAUACGUACCGGAUGAGAGGUUUUUACUUUAUUACUUGGAUCAAGAUGAAAAGAGAUGAAGGCCAAUCCUUCAAAUUAAACUUGACCAAUUCAAGUACAUUUAUUUGUAGAGACAAAGGGAGCAGGAUUAAGGUGUGUUUAUUCCCACAUUCUACUAAUUUUCUGUGUUUAGUAUAUCUUCAUAAAAGCUGAAUCGUUAAACUUUUGCAUGUGGAUUUGUGAUUUCUUAUACCUUUUGUCUUUUACUCUUUACUCCUAGGAUGAAACAAAAGCUGGUAGACUUCUAGCUGGGUUUUUCAUACAGUUCAUCAUAUCUGGUAGCUAAAACCAAAGCGAAACUGAACAGCAUAGGAUUUAUAUUGACUUCCAUUCUCCCAUAUAAUACAUGCAUUCAGCAGAUAAUAUCUUUACCUUUCGAGUAUUUAUGUGAUCCUUAUGAAAUAUUGGUUCAAAAUUAUAUGUCGCUCUGCUCUCUGAAAGAAGCGCCAGCUAUGGCUGCCAACAAGUUGUGCCUAUAUUAUUAUCAAGGGCCAACCAUUGUUGACUGCCACACCACGGUUUAAUGAUGUGGGUCCUCUGGUACUUGCCAGAAAUAAUAGCACGUCAGCUUGAUACUGUAUACUAAAAGUCAUGCAUGCUUUGCUUCUUUUAGUUUCACAGCUUCAGAAUCGUGUAACAAUCAUGGACAUACAGUGAUAUAUCAUAAUAAAUUUCAGCCAAGUUGAAGUCAUACCUGUCAAUCAACUCUGUUCUGACGGUUCAUCUACCAUAACAACAAUAAGAGUAAAACGUCUUAGGACCUGUUAUAUCUGUAAAGAAUACAGAGCCUUUUUUUUUUCCCUGGAUAUGGAGAAAAAAUGUCAUACAAUCUCAACUAUUGUAUAACAGAAUCUAUACUAUGUUUUUUCUUCAUUUUACUUGUUCUGCCAUCUAAGUCUGCAUUUCUUUGUGAAGAUUCCAGUGAUUGCCUGACUCUGCUCAAAUUCAGGGAGGAGCUAACAAGUGACUCCAAAGAUCAUCUUCAAACUUGGAAUGAAGCCAAUCCCUUGUGCAACUGGACUGGAGUUACAUGCCACCAACGUCUCCAAAACCGGGUUAUAGGUCUUGAGCUCAUAGAUAUGGGGUUACAAGGAAAAAUAUCACCAUUCAUAUCCAAUCUCUCUCUACUUGCCAACUUGUCUUUACAGAUCAAUGGGUUCCAUGGACAAAUUCCAUCUUCCUUUGGAAAACUUACAGAGUUAGCGUUUCUGAAUGCUAGCUCAAACAAGCUUGAAGGUAACAUUCCAGGUUCAUUACAUGGUUGCCGAAGCUUGAAAGUCGUAGACUUGACUUACAACAAUCUAUCUGGUGUCAUUCCUGAAGAACUCGGCUGGAUGAAGAGUCUGGCAUAUUUAGCUCUCUCCGAAAACAGUCUCAGGGGAGUGCUUCCAGCCUCUCUUUCAAACUUGACGGAAUUGACACAACUUGAACUGGCUGUCAACUAUUUUACUGGAAAGAUCCCACCAGAGCUCGGAGCAUUAAGAAAGCUAGAGAUUUUGUAUCUCCAUAUGAACUAUCUCGAAGGCUCGAUACCGGCAGCAAUUGCUAACUGCACUGCUUUACGCGAAAUUUCGCUGAUUGAGAACUUGUUAAGUGGAGAAAUCCCUUCAGCUUUGUUUGCUAAACUCAAGAAUAUGCAGAAAAUGUACAUGUCAAGAAACAAGCUUUCUGGGAAAAUUCCAGGGACCCUCUCCAAUCUUUCACAGCUGAUACUGUUUGAUGUUAGUUUGAAUAAUUUAGAGGGGGAAGUUCCUGGAGGAUUGGGCAUGCUAAAGAACCUAGAGAAUUUCUACUUACAUUCCAACAACUUGUGUGGCGGCUCUGGUAAUUCUUCUCUCAGUUUCUUAACAGCUUUAACUAACUGUUCGUAUCUGCAAAAACUACACUUGGGUUCGUGUUUGUUCACUGGAAAUCUACCAUCUUCUAUAGGAAACCUUUCAAAAGACCUGUAUUACUUGAAUCUUUUUGAUAACCACAUUACAGGAAGUAUGCCAGAAAGUAUCGGAAACUUAAGCGGCCUAGUAACAUUGUACUUGUCAUACAACCGUUUGGUAGGAAGCAUACCAUCUUCCCUUGGCAAGCUUUUGAAUUUGCAGAGGUUAUACUUGGGGAACAACAGAAUUAUUGGGCCCAUGCCAGAUGAGUUAGGGAUGAUGUCUAGCCUUGGUGUACUGGAUUUUGGCAACAAUUCGAUUGGUGGGACGAUUCCUCCUUCACUUGGUAAUCUCUCACAGCUGAGAUAUCUUUACCUGUCCAGAAAUUUCCUAUCGGGAAUGUUUCCAAUUGAGCUUACUCAAUGCUCUCUUAUGAUGCUGCUUGAUCUAUCUUUCAACAAAUUACAAGGCUCUGUUCCUGUAGAGAUUGGCGGCUUUUCAAACCUAGCUCUCUCUCUUAACCUUUCGAACAAUAAGUUCGAAGGACAGUUGCCUGCAAGCAUUGGAAAGCUGGUAUCUGUACAGGCAAUUGACUUGUCUGAGAACAAGUUUUCUGGUUUGAUACCUACCUUGAUUGGAAGCUGCAUUUCUUUGGCCUAUCUAAACAUGUCCAACAAUAUGUUUGAGGGGACUAUUCCAGAUUCGUUGAGUUUGAUCACUCAUCUUGAAGUUUUGGACUUGGCUCGUAAUGAAUUAAAUGGCACCCUUCCGAAAUGGAUUGCUGAAAACCAGAUGAUCAGGAAUCUUAAUUUAUCUUACAAUAGGCUAUCAGGAGAAGUUCCAGAUACUGGAAGGAGAAAUAUUUUUAAUAGAAGCUCAUUGUUGGGGAAUGUCGGGUUGUGUGGUGGUUCUGCACUACUUGGUCUUCCGCCAUGUGAAGUUCAAAAGAGAAAACAUAAGAUAAGAAAAUCGAUAAUUUACUCUUUGGUUGCUGCAGUUGCGUUUGUCUGUGUGCUGGUGGCUGUUUUCGUUUAUUGUUUCUUCUUCUCCUUCAGAAAGCGGGAUUCAAAAGCAGAAGACAGAAUGGUAACAGUAAUGGGAUCACCAAGCCAUCAUGGAAGGCGCACUUUCACCCAAAGGGAACUUGAACUUGCAACAGGUGAGUUCAGUGAAGCUCAUCUGUUGGGUAGAGGAACCUUCGGAUCAGUCUAUAAGGCAAUUGUUGAUGAUGGUGAAACUAUUAUGGCAGUGAAGGUUCUGCAUGGUGACGGUAUUCAGAGUUACAAAAGCUUUAAGAGGGAAUGUCAAAUCAUGUCCGAAAUUAAGCACCGGAAUCUUGUUAGAAUGUUAGGAUAUACCUGGAGUACACAGUUCAAGGCUCUAAUUCUUGAAUACAUAGGAAAUGGUAACUUGGCAGAGCAUCUUUAUCCUGGCGGACUAGAGGAAGGAACAUGUGAACUAUCGUUGAGGGAAAGAAUAUCAAUAGCCAUAGAUGUUGCCAAUGGCUUGGAGUAUCUUCAAGAAGGUUGUCGAGUCCAAAUUCUACACUGUGACUUAAAACCAGAGAAUGUGCUUAUUGACAAUGAUAUGGUAGCUCAUGUAGCAGAUUUUGGGAUUGGAAAGCUCAUAUCAGCUGAUAAACCCAAGGAACUACAUGUUAGCACAACGCAUUUUCUACGAGGAUCAAUUGGGUACAUUCCCCCAGGUAUGCAGAAUCUCACAUCACUAAUUUAGUAAUUUCCCAUUUAUACACCAACAUUUGGUUGGUAUUUAACAGAUAUUACUUGCAUUACAGAAUAUGCGCAAGGGAUUGAGGUUUCAGCUAAAGGAGAUGUCUAUAGCUUUGGUGUGAUGGUGCUCGAGUUGAUAACAAGAAAAAGACCGACAAGCAAUAUGUUUCGAGAUGAGGUUGAUCUAAGGAAGUGGGUGCAUUCUUCGUACCCAGACCAUGUUUUGGAUGUUGUUGACAGCACGCUAAAGGAGAUAAAAAGCACAGAUGGUGCUUUGGAUGAGCUUGAGCGAUGCUGCAUUCAGAUGCUUGAGGUAGGGUUGAGGUGCACAGAAGAUACUCCACAUAAAAGACCCUCCAUGUCUUUUGUUGUGCAGAAGUUGACACAGUGCCUAGAAAGCUGGAGAGACCUGGAGACCUGGAGAGAUGGAGAGAUGGUGAAACUUCUGCAUCCACAAAUGUUGGAAUAGAGUUUUACAAUUCUGGUAUAUUAUCGAGUCUAUACUCUUAAGUCUAAUUAUUGUCAGCCUUUUUUCUUAUCAUGUAGAAAAAUUGUAACAUAAACUAUGUAGGGGGAAGAAUCACCAUUUCAGUGGUCACUUUUUACUGCUUGAUUAUGCUUGGUACUUAAUAUUGGUUCAGAUUUCUUAAGAGGCUCUGUUAAGAAGCGUCAGCUAUGGCUGCCAACAAGCACACCCUAAAUUAUUAUCAUGGAUGAUACUACCAUGCACUUGCUAAUCUAAGGGCAUGCACACCUAGAAAUAGUAACAAGUCGGCUUUGGUAUACUACAAGAGUACAAGUCACAAGUCCGCCAUUGCUGCUCCUUAAUGUCGCAGCUCUAGAAUCCUCAGCUUGAAUUCUAGAAGCUAGCUUUAAUUAUCAAACCAAUAUUAUUUACCAUUUAUGUCAAUAAUACCAAAACUUUGAAGAUAGAAGCCAGAGAAAGAAUGGCAUACAGUCUCAUUCCGGAAACAUAUGUUUCCCUGACCGUGUUUGGGAUGUCGUUGACAGAAGGUUAAUGGAGAUACAAAGCACACAUCGUGCUUUGGAUGAGCUUGAGAAAUGCUGCAUUGAAUUGCUUGAUGUAGGGUUGAUGUGCAGUAUUGUGCACAGAAGAGAAUCCACAAAAAAGACCUGCUACGUCUUUUGUUGUGCAGAAGUUGAAACAGUUUUUGGAAUGCUCCAAUAAACUUUGAGACUUGAAGAGAUGAUAUAACUUCUACAUUCAUAAAAGUAGGUCCUGUGUUUUAAUGAUUGCAUUCUCAAGCAUGUUACCAUAUUAACGUAAUAGUUUCUCAGUAAAAAGGAGAAUUGUAACACAGUUUUCAGUGAUAUAAUACAGUUUACUAUCUUUACUGAAGAACUGAAGAUAAUCUUACAAAAAAAAAAAAAAAAAAAAAAAAAACCCUCCUAUCGAUAAUAUUGCACAAAACCUAUUAUAAUGUAGGAUACCUGCUGCAAAGAACAGUAAUCAAGUCUAUUUUGAAAUGAUCCUCAUAAAUCGGUUCAUUGAAGAGAACAUCCCUGCUGCCCUAUCAAACAAAGAUGGGCCCUGCUCUGAAUCCUCUUGCAUAUUUCCAAAUAUCAUCUAGAAAAAAAAAUCAAAUUAAACCCAUGAUCUUCUUGUUUGUGCACAUUUUGUAAAAGUUCAACUGUUAGCAACUGACCUCAAGGUCUUCAGCAUCAGGACGGCGCAAAAGCUCUUUGGCAAGCAGAUAUCUGUUUGGUCUCUCCUUGUCAUCAAAGAAUACCUUCCAUGACCUGGUAAAUGACCAAGGAAAAUACCAUGGCAACAAGAGGAAGUUAGGUCUUUUAACUGGAUAGUAUGCGAUGGAGUGCUAAGAAACCAUAGAUCAAAGGACCAUCAAAAUGUUAAGAAUUCAAUAAGAUGUUUUAAAUCCCUUACCCUGGAUAGCACCUAAAUACAGCCCCGGAUUCCAUAGGCCUCAUUGAGUAGACUGUCGUAAAAGUGCUGCAUGGAAAUUGGACGAGGAAAAGUUACAAAGAAGAACGAACAGAAGGGAUGAGCAGGUAGCUACUGAGGUAAAUAAAAGAGAAUUUCAGCAGGGACAUAGCACCCUUAGCAGUGAAACAUCUAAACUGAAAAAGAUACAGAAAAGCACAUAUCAAUGUAGAUCAAGAAGUAUACCUCAAAAAGUACCGCCUUAACUUUCGUACAUUAAAUCCAACUCCAACAUCCUCACUGAUGAGACGUGGGUUCCACAUGAUUAGAGGCCUUGGCUGCAAACUUAACAAUAUUAGGAAAUAUAUCUUGCCACUUUCAGAAUGCACUAGAGAACAACCAAAUGAUCCAAAAAGAGUAAUAGCCAUCAUAUGGAAUGUUCCAACUUGAUGCUUUUAUGGAAUUUAUUUUUUGAGCUAUUAUUUACCGGAUCAUCUAACAAACUGGAUGCAAGUCUCUCUACAUAUUCCAACAUCUGAUAAUCAGGUACAAUCAUAACCACAAUCUCAUCUUCACUUGUUAUGGGCUUCCGGUCACUUAAGCUGAAUGUAACGAGCCAGAAGAUUGUAUAAGAAUGAGGUACAAGUGUUUAUUUAUGAAUUCCCAGAUGAAAAGAUAUAAGCAUACAGUUCACAAAACAAAUUUAAGAGCAUUUAAUUUAGCAAACAUGAUUAACAUAUGGCAUGCUGUGCCAUAUUUCAAAAAAGUAUUACUAGCCAAAGUGAACCUAGACUGGUAUGGUAUAAAUUACCUGGCGAAUCCAAAAGCAGCAUCUGUCCACCGAUAUUUUAGAAGAGCUGCUGCUCCAGCAUCAGGAAAUACAGCUUUAACUCUCUUGCAAAUAAAUUCGUAUAACUUAUCAAAAGAUGUUAUAUAAUGAGAGAAGUAAACUAUAGUACAUUUAAGCAGUUUGGAAACCAUAUUCACUUCAUUAACAAGUUGCUUUCAUUGGAAGUGGUAUAAUGAUAUAUGCAGGCAGUAAGCAUCAUAGCUAAGAGGUAUACAUAUGUAUGAAAUCGCCCUAUCAUAAGUAGAGUAAUAUAUGAUAUACUACAGUUCACUAACUAAAUAAACAUUUAACAACUAACCUCACAUCCAGUUUCCUCUAUAAGUGUAUCCAAGAAAACCCUUGAUAACUCCCAGAGCUCAGCUUGUGCCCCUUCUUCAUCUAGAAACUGCAGCUGGGGAAUUAAAAGUUCAACCUGCAAAAAGAUAAUGAGUUUAUAAACAAGUUAGGCAGACAAGGAACUGAAAUGGAUGAUGUGCUCGAGAAGUAAAUCAAUUAAUGCACGCAACCUCCCUGUGGACAUUAUCCUCUAUCAAGCUAAAAUUUAUUUAUUUAUUUACUGAACAUUCUCUCAGGAUAAGUUUUAGCCUUAUCACCAAAAAAUACGUUUUAGUUUUAUCAGUUAUGAGAAAGAAGGGCAUAAACUAGGGAUGUUACUAUUUCUUUUGAACUUAACUAAGCCAGUUUUACACUUUCCCUAAGACAUCUUCAGCUAUUUUGCACAUAUACAUGGAAGAAAAGGCUAUUUCGGUAAACUAAUGAAUAGCCAGAAGCAGAACUGACACUCCUAUAACCAUAAUUCCAAGUACUAUACUCAAGUUAGCUAGUCUUCCUUCUGAUGUUUAUAGAUCUUAAGAUCACUAUAGAGCUUCUCUCCAAAUUCACAUAGUUGAAUUAUCUUUUCAUUGUCUGAUUAUACACAUAGUACCACUUUGCCAUUAAUCACAUGAAAAUUCCUACAUGAAUGAAUAACAUAACAUAUUCUUAUGGCACGUACUAUGGCUCUCAUUCCUCCUGAAGAAACAAAUGACGCACUUGCUUCACCCGAUUGACGGACUGCACCCUCCAAGUCAGAAGGCAAGCAGCUGAAUCAUAAACGAAUUACAUCAAUACCUUCCUUUCACUCCACCAUACACUUCAAACAACAUUUAAAUGCAAGAAUAUUACAUCCUACUUCAAUCUCAAUCCACAUAAUACUGCUCAUAACAUGCACAACUACGCAUUCAAAAUAUUGCUGUACAUACCACAGCAAGCUAACCCCCUGAACAUGCUAAACCCAAAUUCUCUAAAUCUAACUUAGCCAGUCAAAUCCUCAAAAAUCAAAGGAAAGUAAUAGAAAGCAGACUCUAGCUCUGGUACAUAAACUUGAGCUUCCACAAAGUAUCUGACCAGUAUAGUCUCCUCAGUUAAGAAAUCACUACCCAUUACUGUUCUUCUGCCUACUUCAUCUCAGUCAAAUACAAAAAUGCAUAAGCAACACAACUCAAUGAAUCCAUUCACUAAAUUUCAUCCUAACAACCUCUAAUUCACCAUCCAAACACAAAUGGCUAUCACCAUUCUCCUCUACAUCUUCAUCAUUUACCUCCAGCUAUGUCCAAUAAUACAUCAUGCACAUCAUGACAUUAAAACAUCAAAACAUGAAGCAAAGCUGUAGAAUUUACAAAACCCAAAAGCAAGAAACAAAAACACAAUCAAAACCAACAAAGGAACAACCUUUACUAACCUGUCAUCUUCUUCCUGCACACCAUCUUCUUCAACCUCUGGUAAGGAUGGUGUUGUGUUGGUUUCUUCAAGCUCAUCCUCAGCUUGAAACUUCUCAAACUUGGCACAUAUUCUUGACCCACUACUAAACCAAGCCUUAGUCACUGAAACUCCAUUGCACCCAUUAAAGCUAGACCCAGAAAACCUCAAGGGCAAGCGUGUGGCUGAUGUUGAAGAACUGGAGCUCAAGUUAAACAACGAGCUUGGGUAUGUGGAUGAAGCCAUGAUUGAACUUAGCCCACUGGUAACUGAUAAUACCAGAGAAACAGAAAAAAGAAACCAAAAACGACACGUCGUGUAUAUCAUGGGCCGGGUGGGUCGGGUUGAGAAACUGGGCCGGUUCCCGAAUCUUUUUUCGAUAGCCGUUAGAGAGGAGGAGCUGCUUGAUAUGUAAUCGGACGGCUGUGAUUCACUCAAAUUCAAAAUUAAAUCCAAAUUAAAACCCUACCCCCUCUUUUCCCCCAAAUCAAAUUCGCAACUCUCUUUCUCUCUCUUCUCUCGGAAACUCUCUCUCUCUCUCUCUCUGAAACUCUCUCUUUCUCUCUCUAGAAUUCACCGAAUCACAAUCUUGCUCUUGAAGCGAUGACUGGUAGUCCUCUCUUUCUCUCUCUCUCUAGAUUUUCUUGAUUUUGAUUUGGUUUUUAAACGACGACGUUUUGAUUGACGCUUUGUUUUUCAGAUCUAGUGGCGGAAAUGUUCCCGGAAAUCUGCGACGGCGCUACACCGGGUCACGAUUCGGAGCCUUCUGAAACCUCCGAAACAGGUUCGGUUCCUUUACGCGAUUCAGUUUUCGUUUUUUUUUGGUUUUGGAUUUUUGAAUUUGCAAGAAAAUGUUGAGUUUGAGGUUCUGGUGCGUUGUUACUGCGAUCUUGAGUUCAAGAAGAUGUGGAAUUGGGGGAAAUUUCUGAUUGAAUUUGAUUUUUUGGUUGCAGUGCAAACCCUAGUGACUGUGAAGAGCGAGGUGGAUGGUGAUGUCAGUGACAAAGGUGUGUGUUCCCUUUUUGAAUUUCCAUCAUCUGUUACUGUUACGAUUUCGAUUUCGAUUUCGAUUUUGUGUUUCGAGUCAAGAAAAUGUAGAAUUGGGGGAACUAUCUGAUUUAAUUCAACUUUAUUCUUGUAGUUCAAACCCUAGAGACUGUGACAGACGAUUUGGACAGUGAUGUCACUGGUAAAGGUGCGUUAUUCUACUAUUAUUGGGGUUUUUAAAUUUUCAUCAAUUUGUUUACGAAAUUAUUGGAAGUAUUUGCUUUAGUCUUGUUUGUUGCUGGGAAAAUUGAAACUCUGGGUUUUGAAUCCUAUUCUCUAUGUUCUCUUGGCUUACAGGUAGUGAUGAAUUAGAGUUGGGUCUAAUUAGUUUUUUGUUAGAUAUGAGCUGAGGUUAAUGACCUUAGUCUACAUAACCAGUUUAACAUUUCUCAGUAACUAGAUAGCAACACACUUUUCCAAACAACACAUGUUGGUCUCUUUUGCAAGGCAGAUACUUAUUGCUUCUGUAACAUGACUGUUGAUUGUUAAAGUUUCAGAUGAUGCUGCAGAACAAGUUGUGGGAGUUUCUGAUUUGAUUGAGGAGAGUGGUGUGUCAAAUGAAACUGAAGAACAUUCCCCAUUUCAAGGGGAGACCCUUCCAAUUCUGCAGAAGAUCAUUGAUUUGAGUGCCAAAAUUAAGGUGAAUUUUCAAUUUUAUUUUUGCAUAUCCUUUUGUUUUAGAAACGAAGAUCAUUGACUGAGAGAGGGUACAGUGUGGCUCAUUGCCUGCAUUGAAUGAUUUUUCCUUUUCUCCAUUAUGGCUGCCAAUCUAAUUUCAUCCUUUUUAUUGCACUUCUAUGUUUAGGACUUGAAAAAAGAUCAUACUGUAUUGUCUGAUGAAGUCAAGCAAACGACGAGUUCUUUUCCAGACCCUGAAGUUUUGAAAACUCUUCAGAUGCUAAGUAAGUCUCUAGAAUGAACUGAUUUAUGUUCCAUCUUUCCUUGUUUCUUUCAUUCUUUGAUUGUAAUUGGUUGUUGCUUCUGGUGCUCUAGGUACUGAACAUGAACUUCUGAAGAAGAAGUACCUUGCUGAGUCCUCUGAACGGAAGCGACUAUACAAUGAAGUGAUUGAGCUUAAAGGCAAUAUCAGGGUUUUCUGCAGAUGUAGACCUUUGAACCAAAAUGAAAUUUCAAAUGGAUAUAAUUCCGUUAUUGAGUUCGACUCCUCCUUAGAUAAUGAGCUGCAGGUCCUUUCCUCUGAUUCUUCAAAAAAGCAGUUCAAGUUUGACCAUGUGUUCAGACCCAAGGAUGACCAAGGUAUUUGAGAAAUCGUACUGAUUUUAUUAUUUGUACAGGCUAAUUCUUUAUAGAUGACUUUUUUUUACAAUGAAUAAUUGCUAGACAGAUUUUGUGUCACUGAUUCUGAAUUUUACUAAUAUGCAGAGGCUGUUUUCGCUCAAACUAAACCUAUUGUCACCUCAGUGUUGGAUGGGUUUAAUGUGUGCAUAUUUGCCUAUGGACAAACUGGAACUGGUAAGACCUUUACAAUGGAGGGAACUCCUGAAAAUAGGGGUGUCAACUACAGAACUCUAGAGGAGUUGUUUCGGCUUUCAGAAGACAGAUGUGGUUCCAUGCGAUAUGACUUAUCAGUUAGCAUGCUUGAAGUUUAUAAUGAGAAGAUAAGGGACCUUUUGGUAGAUAACACCCACCAACCCACGAAGAAGUGAGUUUUCUUCUGCUUACAUCAUAACUGAAUACCUUGCUAUUUUGCAUUUAGUAAACUGUUGAUUAGAAUCAUGUUGGGAUCUUGUUAGCAUGCUUGAAGAACCAAAUAGCUAUUGCUUUGUUAAAUGAACAAUAUGUGUGAAACACAGAAUAGUCACAAGAUACACUGAUGGUUGAUAUGGUUGCAAUUAGCAGAAAAAAAAUACUAAUAGGGAAAUAAUAGCAGUGUUACUAUUUUUAUCAAAGAUGCAAUGUUGGAACUUGGAAGGAGUAGUAAUCUUUUAUUUGUAGAGUUGUACUUAUUUUGUGUUAUUGAACAAAGGUUGGAAAUCAAGCAAGCUGCAGACGGAACCCUAGAUGUGCCAGGACUUGUUGAACCUCACGUGAAUGGGUUUGAGGAGAUGUGGGAAUUUCUGAAGUCUGGAAGCCGCUCCAGAUCUGUUGGAUCAACCAGUGCUAAUGAGCUGAGCAGCCGGUCUCACUGGUACUUUUCCUGCUACUUAAAAAUUUGGCUUUUUGUCUGCAAAUGUAUUGAGAUGGGCCAUGAAAAUAUAAUGCAAAAUGGAAUCUUUCACACCAUGAAUAUCAUAAGUAUGUGGUAACCUAAUUUCCAUUUUUUUCUUUGCUGUAGCUUGUUGAGAGUGACUGUUAAGGGGGAGAACUUGAUAAGUGGGCACAGGACUCGGAGUCAACUGUGGCUAGUAGACUUGGCUGGUAGUGAGCGUGUGGGGAGGAUUGAGGUUGAAGGGGAAAGACUGAAGGAAUCUCAGUUUAUAAAUAAAUCUCUCUCGGCCCUUGGAGAUGUAAUCUCAUCCCUUGCUUCCAAAACAGCCCAUAUUCCUUACAGGAAUUCAAAGCUCACUCAUAUGCUGCAGAGCUCUCUAGGUAUGCCUUUAUUGUAGGUUUUACUUGAUUGUCUGGCUUUUAAAUUUUUCUUCAUCCACAAUGUUAAUGAAACUUGAACUGCAGGAGGAGAUUGCAAAACAUUGAUGUUUGUCCAGAUCAGCCCAAGUUCCGCAGAUUUAGGAGAAACACUAUGUUCUUUGAAUUUUGCCAGCCGAGUCCGAGGAGUUGAGAGUGGCCCAAUUCGCAAACAAGCAGACCUCACAGAGCUGCUCAAGUACAAGCAAUUGGCAGAAAAAGCUAAACAUGACGAGAAGGAGACAAAGAAACUACAGGAUGGUUUAUCGGCUGCGCAGUUAAGGCUAGCUGCAAGAGAACACAUGUGCAGAAAUCUUCAAGAAAAGGUAACCUAUUAUGAUAGAGGAAGUUGAUUUCUUGAAUUUCUUCUCUAGAAUUUUAAUCACUUCAUUCAUAAUUUAACUACUGAAUUUCCAUAGGUCCGAGACCUUGAGAACCAAUUGGCAGAGGAAAGGAAGACUAGACUGAAACAGGAAAGUAGAGCUUUGGCUACUUCAUCAUCAACAUCAUCCUGGAAACAAGGAGCACAGAAGGCUGUUGCAGAGAAGAAGCCACCAUUGGCUCCCAACAAAUCAAGGCUUCCCCUGAGAAGAAUUGGCAAUUUAUUGCCCCAGCCAUCUGCUUUUCCUCCCAAAAAGGACAGCUACUCGACUUCUGCUGUUCCACCUCCAAUGGAUGGCAAAGAAAACGUCUCAACAACAUCAGGGGCCACAAGAAACACCGGCCGCCUUAUUUUACCAAAACGUAUGUCCAUUGCUGUGAGGCCUCCUCCAACAACAACCACCACAACAGCACAGCAGGUUCGUAAGCCUAAGAGACAUUCCAUUGCUACUCUUCCUAACUUUAGGCCCGAGCCAAACUCUUACAUGGCUACUCCCCUCAACAACAACACCUCUGCCUCUCGGUUCAAUAAUGGGAGGCCCUCAUUUCUGCCGCGAAAGAGAUAUUCAAGAUUGUUCUCUCCAAUGCCUGAUUUUAAGUCAGCAGCAGAGACAACCCCUACUGCCAUGAGGAGCAGUAGUAAGUUCAUGUGCAGCCCCCCAGCACAGCAGGCUAGUUCAUUCAAAUCAAGGCUUCCCACAGCCAUUGCAUUGCAGCGAAAACCAGUAAUUUGGAGUCCGCUAAAGUUCUUGAAGAACAGGAGGCCGUCACUGGCUCUGCCCUCUAGAGUGGAGAUGUAGUGAAUAAAGUUGUUUGCUGUCACAUUGUCUAUAUUGUCGAAAACCUUGAAACAGUAAUCCUUUUCUUUUCUGGAUCUUCUGGUUACCUUAUAAUUUUUGUGAUAGUACUCGAAAAUGUAUGCUUCUUGCCUACCAUUGAUUGAUUCAAUAUGGAAAUCCUUCAUUGUUUUUGUUUCCCUCCCACUCAUCCAAGCAUGCUUCUUAUUAUAACAUUAUCUUUGUGUCGAAUGAAAAGAAACCCAGAAAGGCAACAAACGCCACAAAUCAAGGUCUCUCCCUUUGUCUUCAAAUCUCAAUCUCACAUUUAGUAGAGAGAUAGAGUAGAGAGAGAGAGAGAGAGAGACCCACUUCAACUUUGUGCUUCUCUUCUAUUAUACCCAAAUCAAAAUGGUUGCUAAAACCCCACCAAAGCAAAGAAAGAUGGUAGCCCCUCUCAAUCCAGCUCUGCUUAGAGAAACAGUGAAGAAGGUGAGCUAGAUUUCUUUCAUUUCUUGGUGGGAUUUGGAAGUCUGUGAUAAAAUUUUAUGUGUUUGGUAUAAUGGGUGUGUGUUAUUUUUUUGGGUUUGUGAAGGUGGAUAGGUGUAUGGCUAGGUUGCAGGAGCUGCAGUAUACAGUGACGGGUGGGACGAAGGUGAUAUCGGGAGUGAGUCUCAGCCCGAGAAGUACUAGAGGUUAUAUGAGGACUAGUCUCAGAUGUAAACAAGAAUCUGCAAGGUAAAGGUUUAAGCUUUUGAUUUUGAGUUUUGAGUUUUUGGUGUAAACAAGAAUCUGCAAGGUUGGUUUUUGGUGAUUUUUGAUGUGGGCAUUGAAAUGGAUCUUUUUCUUUGUGAAGGAUAAAAGGUUUGACGCCGAGGAAAUCUCCGGUGGGCAAGUUUCCGGCAGGGAAGUCUCCAGCAAAGUCAGCAGGUAACAUUCUCUUCUGAAAUCACUAAUUGGGUCAAACAGGUUUUGUGGUUCAUUUCUUUGUUUCAGUAUCUGGUUACUUAAGUUGUGUUUGUACCAUUGGUCACUUCAAAUUUGAGUUUUGAUUGUGUUCAAACUUGAAACUUGAAACUUGAAACUUGUCACUGGAAAACAGAUAGAGAAAAGGUUUGUUAAAAUGGGCUUAUGAGAUUUAUAUUUUGGUGCUUCAUUUCUUGAUUUCAGUAGUUGGUUACUUCAAUCAGGCAUUCUAUUACUUGGUUCAUAUUCAAAACAGGAAAUCUAUUACUUAUAGACCAAAUUUGAGCAACAUUUUGAGAAAUGCCUGAAAUUUUCAUUGUUAUGUUCAGGGGAAUGGCAGAGAAUGUCACUGCCGGCAAUGCUGCUCAGCGAAACAGUCGGAGAAAUUCUUCAGUCUAGUCAAUUUGCUAGGGAAAUAGUAGCAUCAGUUCCCAAGAAAACCACCAUAGAAGACCCCAAAACCCCAAUGUCCCAACAGAGGAAACAGAGACCACCCCCUGAAAACACAGAGCUCAUGGCCAGAAGAAAGAGGGAGAAGCACAACAAAGCUCAAUUGAACCGAUCAGAAUCACGCUCACCGGUUCUCCAAAGAGCCCGGUCUCGAAUCAACUUCAAGGUUUCGCCUCCUAAGAAGAGAGAGAUAGAGAAAGAGAACACCAGAUACUUGGCAAACAGAGUGUCUCCCAAAAACAGACCAUGGGCUAAAAAGAGUGUAUUGUUUCCCAACCCUUUGUUUUUGGCUACAGAUACUUCACCAACUCAAAACAAGUUUUGUAGAACAAGGUCACCAAUGAUCGGAAGAAGUAGUACUAGUAAUACUAAGCCACACACUCAGCAGAUUCAGACUCCACACAAGUUUUUGAUCAAGUCUCCAGCUUCGGCUUCAAAGUUCCAGGUCAAGAUUAAGAGCCCUCCAUUGAUUUCUUCUCUUUCGCCAACUAAGGCCAAGAAGUCUCCGAAGAAAUCUGCUGUGUCGAAACUGCGGCGGUCAUUUUCUCCGUCCAGAUUGGCUACUAGAUUGGUGUCUCUGUCUCCAUUGAAGAGUAGGAAGAGUGUGCAGAAGAGUGAGGUUGUAAUAAUGCCGGGUUUGAAACAGCGUCCAACUUCCUCAAUGCCACUGGGAAUUUCAGCUCGGAGGAAUUAAACAUGUUUGAGAUUACAUACUCGUAUGGAUUGGUUUGGAACUUUGGAUUGUAUGAUUGUUUGAGAUAUAUUUUCUCGAUGUCAAUAGUUUCAUUGAUUAUGGGUGAUGUGAAUUUGUUCAUGUAUAAGGUUGAGAAAAGUUCAAUAAUUAACUCAAUAGAACUACUUCAUAAACUUUGAAAUAUAACGUUUGAGAUUACAUACUCGUAUGGAUUGGUUUGGAACUUUGGAUUGUAUGAUUGUUUGAGAUAUAUUUUCUCGAUGUCAAUAGUUUCAUUGAUUAUGGGUGAUGUGAAUUUGUUCAUGUAUAAGGUUGAGAAAAGUUCAAUAAUUAACUCAAUAGAACUACUUCAUAAACUUUGAAAUAUAACUUCUUUGUUUGAACUAUCUAUGCCAUUCUUCUCUCUUUUUUCAUCUGUGUUGGGUUCUUGGAUCAUAUAAUUACUUGUUUAUAAAUUAGCAAAUUUGUUUGAGAAAAUGCACCCAUAAAUAAUCAAGGUCAGUUGAUAUCGGGUCGGCGACACUUCACAAUGGUGUGGUACAUCAUGUAGUGUCGAGGCUCGGCUACUUGGAGAGUUGGAGGCCUGUGGCGGCUGGUGUUAGAUGACCUUAGCAAUAUCAAUUGAGCUUUUUUGUUGUCAUGUAGUUUCACUGAAUUAUAAAAUAACUAACGGUAGUUUAAUAUUAUUUGGUUUAGUGACAUCGUUUCUUUUUUAGUAAGUGGAAGGUUAUGAGUUCGAUUCACGCAGUUGUAAUUUACCUGAUCAAAAAAAAUAAAUAAUGGUAGAUUAAUAAUGCAACAUUAUCGAUUAAUCUUUCUCUGUAAGGUUAAGGUGUGUUAAUGUAUGUGAUACAUCAACUUUGCCCUCAAGUUGUAAACUAAGUCCUCAAAGUGGUAAUAUUAGUCCUCAAAGUUGUAAUAUGAGUUGUUAAAGUUGUAAAACUUUAACUUAAAGACACAUGAUUAUUAAUGUUAUAACUAGAAAAUUUUACAAGUUUAAGGACUCAUAUACAACUUUGAGGACUAAUAUUACUAGUUUGAGGACUCAAUUUACAAAGUUGAUGCAUCACAUCAUUCACAUGCAUUAACACAUUGUAGAAUUGAUUAGCUCAUCGAUGCGACCACUGGCCAUGAACUACUUAGCAUACUGAAUGCUUAUUCUAGAUCUAAAUACAAUCAAAUCAUAACGGACCCUGACAACCAAGAAGCAAACACAUUCGUAACCGAUCAUGGUCUAUUUGUUAUAGGUCAUGUUGUUCAGACUUAAGAACAUAGUGGCCACCUAUCAACGCCUAAUGAACAAGAUGUUCGGUGAUCAUAUUGGCAAAAUCAUCGAGUUUUUUUUUAUUCUAAUCAUUGAGGUUUAUGUCGAUGACAUGCUCGUCAAGAGCUUCAAAUCUGGAGAUCACAUUCGAAAUCGGAUGAUCUUGAUUUCACUCUUGGGAGAACUAAAACCAGGUAAUAGGAAUCUAUUCUCGGCUGAAUGUUGGUUCUCGGAGGCUUCUUGUUGUUUUUGGUCGUGUUCAAGGACUCAUCUUAGUGUUGCAGAUAGAGAUAGCCUUGAGAGGAUGAAAUGGGAGAGUUUAACUUCAAUGUCCUGGGUGUUUAAGUCAGUUAGAAGUACAACAAUUAGGCCAGAAAAAACCUCAAAAUUUUGAUAGCGUAUUGCAUGUGCCUCAAACCCUUGUUUGCAAAGAUGAACGAGGUGCGCAACAAUACCCAAAUAAUUUUGAUUGGAGAGAUGCAAGUUUUUUUUUGGUAUAUUUUUAACCAAAUGAGUUAGUCCUCUAUGUACAGCAGUGCUAAUACCUAUAUUGAUUAUGGUGUGUGUGUGUGUGACCCGUGAAGGUGUAGUCACUAAGAUGUGAACUUUGAUUAUGUGAAAGCAUAAAUCACUAACGAUUUGUUGAUGACGCCCAUGAUAUCUGGCUUAUGAUCAAUUCAUCCAUGCAAUCUUAACUAAAAGUUUAUAUAGUGAAAGUCAUACCGCAAAUCUGCGUGUUGGGAUAUGUCAAUAUAAUAAUAUAAGCAAUCAAAUCUUUUAGUUGGUACACGGUACGGAACUUAAAACCUUCAUACUGACAUGCAAUUGUGUACUGGAAAAUAUAAGUUAUCUCUGAACGUUGAGCUAUGUUUAAAUUUGUUUUUGACAUGGGUAAAUGCUCAAGUGCUGGAUUUUCUCAUUUGUUGUUAUCAAUGAAGUAGAAAAUCAGUCAAAUAACUUACACAAUGUGAGAACAUAUGCAUUUGGUUAAAAGAAGAGACAACACAAAAUUAUAUGGGCUUUUUGAUAUUGUAAUUGUUUUUUAGGGUAUUGUUGUCUAAUUCAUUCUACUUUGGUUAGAUCUUAAUGAUUAACAUGAUUCACAUGCAACAUGCAUGCCCGUUUCACAAACUCUGAAAGACGAAAAGAUGUGUGGCAUAUCAUUUUUUCUCCAAUGAUUUUUUUUUUUUAAGAACAAAUAACAACUCAAUAGUUAAAAACCAGUUUUCGUCAAAACAUGUGCAAAACUAUUGUCAAAUGUUGUUGAUGUUCCUCUAAUUGUCAAUGAGACGACAGACCCUAAAUAGAAGUGUCAAUUUCAUAAUUAUUUGAAACAAACAACUCAAAUGAGCUUGAUGCCCAUGGUGAGUUUGACGAUGUCCAUGAUAAUCUUGAGGAGACCUACGCAGAGGAGGUUGUCGAGCAGGAGGAUAUGCUUGCCGAGGAUGUUGAGGUGUUUGAGGAUACGCUUGCUGAGGAUGUUGAGGUGCUUGAGGAUACGCUUGCCGAGGGUGUUGAGGUGCUUGAGGAUAAGCUUGCCGAGGAUGUUACCAAGCUACGGGAGACCCACAUAAGGAGGCACAUUUGAGCCUUUGGCAAAUGCCUAGAGAUUGAAGAUCAUAUGUGUUCCUCUUUGUUUCCUUGUGUUGCAUCAAGUCCAUAUUCAUGGUAAAAGACAAUGGAUUAGUAUCACACCGAUAAUUAUGUGAAAUGACAACUUUACUAUUGAUAGGAGCAUUUUUAUGCUACGUUAUCAUUAUUUAACCCUAUACUUUUCUUUGUUAUUUUGUGUUAUUCUUAGAUAAUGUAUUUGUUUGUGUGUUUAUUAGGGUGUCCAAAGCAAACUAGGAAAAGAAGGCUAAAAAAAGAAAAUUGUGAGGAAUUCUGAUUCACUUUGGAUUCUUGAUGGACCGAGGACCAAUCAGAAAAUUAGAUGAUGACUUUUCUUUAAAGCAAGGAGUUAAAGAUCCAUAAGGAAACAAAAUUGAAGAGUCAUGAAGCUAAAUAAAAAGGGUUUCUAGACGUCAAAAAAAGGGCUGAAAAACGCACAAGAGAAGAGGGAGCCGUCAAGCAACUCAAGGAGAAGAAGUAAAGUUCAGAGCCCAGAAGAGAUCGAUCUCCCGAUUUAGAAGAUCGAUCUUUUCCCCUGUUUUUCAUCUUUCGUAUUUUCUUUUCUCCCCGAACCUUAUGAAAUUCUUUUGUGUGUUUUCAAAGAUGAUGAGUAACUAAUUUUCCUUUAGUUAGGGGCUGCUUUCAAGCCCUAGACAUGGUGUAACUAUGAAGGCGUUUAUUUAAUUUGUUCCAUGAAAUUCAGAUAUUUAUUGGUUUAUCGUUAUAUCAUUGAUCAACUUUGUAUGUUUAUUGAUGGUGGCCAACAUAGUAUGCGUGCUAGGUUGUAAAGCUAUGAAUGUUUUGUAUGAUCAUCAUGUCUACUUGCAUUCUAUAGUAGCGAGUGAGUGACUUGAGUCCAUUCACAUAAACCAAGUGUCUAGGUAGAUUAGGACAACGUCAGUACCGACAUUGCCUAGCCUUAUUCAUAAUCUUUUAGACCUUAAUGACUUAUAGGUGAGAGCUGUGCGAGAACAUCACUCUAGGCUCCAUUCUAGAUGCUAAGUUAAGUUGAAAACAUCAUUCUCCUACAAUACCAAGUAAGAAAGAUUGAUAGGUUAAGUUCAACACAUCAUUGGCUUAGCUUGAGUAAGGAUAUCCGAAUGAAUUGAACAUGUUAGUAAACACAUCAUAGGUGUAAUCAUUGUCUAGUGGUGAGAAGUAGUUCCUAGCUAGUAUUCGUUAUUUGGUUUUCAAAACCACAAUUCCCAUAUUUAGUUUACUGUUUUUGAUCAUUCUGUCCGUCGUUUUUCUGAAUUUUUUUAGCAUAGUAAAACUGCACAAUUUCCCCCCAAAUUUUGUGUGUGUCUUCGUCAGUGUGUCUAGUUUCUCUAGAUUUAAUUUCGUAAUUUUUUGUUGAGUCUAGCUAUAGUUUUUAAUUGUGUCUUUUUCUAGUGUCUGUUCAGUUUUUCAGAAUCAUAUAUGCAAUUGUUAAGUCACAAUCCUCUGCAGGAGACACCCUACUUUUCUAUACUACCAUCGAUAACUUUAUUGUGAUUGCAGGGUUAUUUAUAAGUCUAUUUUAGGCUUAUCAACUAUUUCACUCCGAUAUAGGGUAUUCUCAAUCUUGGUUAGCAGUGUUCUCCUCUUAAUCCAGAAUAAAAUGAUUCGUAAAAGAAAAUAAGUAUUACAAGCUGGGUAUGUUACAAAUUCUUCAGUGUUAUCACGUGUCUAUGUUUAAUAAUACUCUAACCAAGUGGCAUAUUGAGAAGAGUUUUUGUAAUUGUUUUUCAAUGAAACGUGACAAUAUUUUAAAGAUUUUGUAACAUAUCCACUGAAUAAUCAUAUAAUAAACAAUUUCAGUCUUAUUCUUUUUCCAAUGCACAUCUUUAUUCUGAGAGACCAAUUUUAUAUUAUGAAAGUUUCGGAUUAACAACUCAAAUGUUAUAACUAGUCUUUUUUGGAGGAAAAUAACCCAAAGAAAACUUAUCAUUCUUCAUCUUUUAUUAAGGAGAAAUUUUAUUAACACAUCCUUAAAUACUAGAUACACAUAUCUUUUUUUAUACAAAUUAUAUAAGACUUUGUGGGUACAUAAAAUUACCAAAAGAGACAUUCAUAUCAAAAGUAAAGAAAACUUGUUGAAAUAAAAUAUCUCGCUUAAGAGUUUUCUUCUUCUAUACGAGAACAACGUAUGUGAAGAUACCAAGUCCUAUAAUUUAAACCUCUAUAAAUUAAUAACGUCGGGACCGGCAAAAAAUAUUAUUUAAUCGAGAUUGUUAAUUUAUUGACGACAAUUUUGCUAAUGCUUUAUUUCGGAAUUGGCAAAAAAUAUUAUAUAAUCAAGGUUAUUAAUUUAUCAAAUAUUAAAUUAUUAAGGUUUUACUAUCGAUAGUACAAAUUGAAGUUUGAAAUUUAGAUUUUACUAUUCACGCAUGCUAGGUUGUUCAAACUGACACCAAACUAGAACUUGGGAUGAUGCUAUAUAUAUAAUCCUCUCUUUUUUCUUUUUCUUUUUUUGAAUAAAUUGAGUAACAGGUCUAGAAAAGUAUGUGUAUUUAGUAAAUGGAUUGUGUAUUUAGUGAGGGUAUUGUAGGAAGGCUGGGUAUGUGUAUCUAUAAUAGAAUGUUAAAAUAAUAAAAUCAAUAGGUGAUGUAUUAAGAAUGAGAUGUGUAUAUAAUAAUUAGGGAUGUGUUAAUAAAAUUUCUCUUUAUUAAGCGGAAAUUCACUUAAUGAAUAAAUGUUUGCUAUUGACAAACUCACUUAGAAACAAGCCGGCCGAUGUAUCUAUAUGUCCUCAAAGAAGGUAUUGCGCACUGCUUCACACUUGCCUAGUCAAAAGAAUGAGCCAGGCAUUAAAGCCAUGCCAUUACCCCAAUAGUGAGAUCGUUGCAUAUUCAUUUUCCAAACUUGAGAAAGAAUUGAAGCACUUCACUGAGUGUGAAAAAUAAGCCAACGAAGAACUUAUGAAAUGAAUAAAAACAGUAGAUAUGGUGUGGGGGACAUCGACUUUGGUGUUGGGCCUUUGAGAGCACCAACAUAUGGUAUAAGUGCCCAGUUGGGGUGUGUCUUGGUUAUGAAGGAAGGCUGGCGUAGUCUCAUUUAUCUGGUGCAGGUGCUUCAGAGGUUUAUGAGCGGUGCUUCAGAGGUUUGGUGAAUCUUAAGAAAAAAGAGUGAGAUUGUCGAUGACCAAACAUGGGACUUAAGUGAUUUGUUCAAAGAUGAUGGACUUUGGUCACACAACCGCCUAGAUUUCGACCUUAUUGUAGCACCAGCAGCAUUCCCUAAUGUCGUCCUCGAUCGACGUCUUUCAUGAUUUGUAGCCUGAAAUUUUGACAUGAUUACAUAAAUAGAACUGUAACUAUUCUAACAAUCACAUCUUGCUCAAAACUCGAAUUCUGUUUGAUAAAAAAAAAUUGUCAAAUGUUGUUGAUGCUCCUCUUUUUGUUUAUCUAAGGGAAAACGGACUCUAAGCAAAAGUCUCUAACACCAAGUUAUAUAAUUAUACGAAAACAAAGAAAGAAAAAGAUGUACAUGUAAAAUAGGUACAACUUGAGGGUUAUGAGAAGAGAUGGAGGACUGGGGAGGAUACCUCUAGGGAUGAAGCAAGAGAUCCUUGCUAAAGAGAUUUGGCCACAACGACCUGCUUGAAUAUAGAUGUAUAUGAUAUAUAUAACAUGCUCUUUCUAGGCUAGACAUCAACGUAGGUUGUUAAUUUGUUAUGCAUUCUUAAUCAUGUCGUGGCACAACUCUAAGUUUGUUUUUGCAAAAUCACAUUGCCAAACUAUCAACUGCCCCUCGGAAUUCCUUUUAUGUAUUGUGAAUUUGUGAUGUGGUUGUUGAUCAAUUUCAUGAGUGGAAAAAAUGUUAAAUGCAUUCAACGAACUGGAAUAGUGGUUCUGCUAGCUUCAGUUGCUUAUCAAUGAAUUAAGCCAAGGUUUAAAAGUAAGAUGGAGGUCUAAAUACCAAUUGUGAAUCUAUAAAUAGAAGCUCCCCUUACCAAUGUUUACAUGAUCAGACUAUUUGUUUUUGUGUAAAUUGUUUAUUUUAAUUUCUUUUUAUCAAAUUUGUUUUAUUUAAUUUUAAAAAGUUUACCGAAAUAAAAUGAUCCGCAAUAUUAUGUCGUUGGUCAGAAGUGGGGCGCCACUAGGAAGCUAAUGCCUACAGCCAUUAGGAAACUAAAGCCUAAACCGACUAGGAAACUCGAAUCUAUUUCCCUCACCCGUUGGGAUUUGAUCUCUUAUAAAUAGAGACCAAACCUUCCUUUCUUUCUAAAUCUCAUACCAUUUCCUUUCCCUUCUUUCUUUCGAAUUAGAAAUAUGUCCACGAUGACGAUGGGUGAAGCAGGUGGCAUGGAUAUUCUUGAAAUCCGGCGAAUUCUGAAAGAGCGAUACAGAAAGGCUAAUAACCUGAAGAGCUGCUCGGCUGAGACGAAAGAGGCCACGAACACAUCCUUGUUCGCCUCGGAGUACUCUCUUGCACCAAGACUGAUCGACGACAGGGAAGCUCUUAUGCCGGAGAUGAUCAAGAUUCUGGAUAAGAUGGACAACAACAGUCAUCAAAUGCCCGCAAAAGCAACAAAGCCGAAUUCCUGUGUGGGUUUGAAGGCUCAGCAAGCUAAGAAGUUAAAGGAAUCGCGUGAUUUCUCUUCCUUGUUAUCAGAGACUCCAGAAGUUCCAAAGAUUCCGAAACCAUCACCACCGAAGACUGUUCCCAAAGCUGAUGGGAAUAGGAUCACAAAGAAGAGUCAGCCUGUUCCUAAAGCUGUUGGGAAUGGGAUCCCAAAGAAGAGUGUGUCUUCUUUGAAACCCAAGAAGAGCAUUAAUGAUAGCAAAUCCAAAGUCUACUCGGCCAAGUCAGAAUCGGUUCCGAAAGAUUAUGGUUCAAAGAGUUUGGAGUCUCGGCCUCGUGAGAACAUGGUGACAAAGUCACAAGCUGCAUCUGCAAAGCAAAGCUUGAGCCCUAAACAAGCAGAUGUCAGUAACACAAAAGCGAUGCCAAGAAAAGAAGGUCCUUGCUUGAAGAGAAAGAUGAUCAAGAAACGCCGAGUGGAAGAGGAUUUGGGGGAUGAUGAAGAUGUAGAUGUUUCUUCAAUAAUUCAAGAAAUAAUGGGGAAAAGAGGAAAGAGGCGAUACAGGGAUUAUGGUGCUGACGGCGAUGAUCGUGCUAUGGUGUCUGGCUUUAAUGAGAUCUUGAGAGAAGAGAAUAGGAGUGCAAGGAUCGCGAGUGAGGAAGAUGCAAUAGAAGCUCUAAGGCUUGAGCAAGAAGCCAAACAAGAGAGGUUGAGCAAAGCAAAGAAGCAGAAGUUAACGAAUUAGAUAUUAGGAUUUGAAUUCGUAGUGUGAGUUCUCACAAAUGAGUAAAAGUCUGUAAAGUUGCUUGUUCAUGAAAACCAAUUUGAAUCUGAAUGAAUUUGUUUGUACAAAUUUCCAAUCCUUAUGCAUAAUCUUCUCCAGUUAGAUUGGUAUACUUAGAUUUGGAAUGCAAUUUUUACAAUUCAGGUAUGUCUUCUUUCGCUAACAAACAUUUCCUGAAGAUGCAUCAUAAUGUUCAGGUUGUUGAUCGAAAAUUUAUGAACAUGAAAAAGUACUCUGGAAUCAACUACUCGCAAGUCACAAGAAUCAAAACUAUUUUCUGUAAUCAUCAAAAGUGGCAUAAGAUUUAUACAAUACUGUGCCAUAAGACUGAUCAAGCUUAAUACAUUGAUAGUACAAUUUCUAUGGACUGGAUACCAAGAACUCGUCCAAGACCCGAAAAAAGAAGACCAACAAAACCAUGUAUAAUACAGUUAAUACCCCACACAUUAGAAACCACCACCAAUCCCGAAGAAAAUGCUUUAUACAAGCCUGCUUACACUAGCUUUGGCCUUUGUUAGAACGAACAUACAAUGACACAAUCAUAGGUUGCACAAUGAGAAAUUGAAUAGAAUGCAUGAGAUGUUGCAGCGCUGCAGUUUCCAAGUGGAGCUAGCAAACCCGAGCACCAGGGAGAUAUUUACCGAUUUCACCAAAAAGUCCAUUUCUGAUGAACUCCCGAUGGAAAAAUACAACUAUUUCUCCAGGACAAUUAGAUCAUUUGCCUGGAGAUGCAAACCUUGUCCGCUCUCUCUGCUUAUUUAGAGCUCGAUCUUUUGGCGAUGAUGUUUUCCCUACACCUGCUUGACGCAUCAUCUCUGCAAAAACAGUUUUCACAAUCAUCCAUACAACUUAAACUGCUUAUAGAAGGAUUUGUUCAUCUACAUGUGUGUGUGCUCUGUGCACUUAGAACCUUAGAUUGUUUACUAAACUUUGGACCUGCUACUUCACAGAAAAAAUACUAUUGACCUGCUGUAUUACAUUAUCGAGAUUUAUUGAUUCAUAGGCACAUCAAAGAAACAGGUUGCUACAAGAACUCCUUAUAGUUGCAAUUUCAAACCACAAAUUAGAAAAAAAAUAAAAAAUUUAAAAAUUUAAAAAAAAAGAACCCACCUCGCUUUCUCUCUAGCUCCUGAUCAAGCUCUUCUUUCCACUUCCUUUGUAUCUCAGAGAAGCUCAUACUGUGAGUGGUAUAAUAUAUCAGAUAAUUGAAAAAGGUGAAAGAAAAGGAUGAAGAAAAGACAACCAACCUACACUAACUAGGGUCAUGAACUAACCUUGGGCUGCCUGGCUCUUGCUGAGCAUCAACUCCAAACCCUUUCCGAUCAGUGUGAGGAGGUGAUGACAUGUCCUUUAAGUUUUGAUUGCUCGCAUUACCAAUAUUUGAUACGCGCCUACCACUACUCCCAGGGCUUACAGUACCAAGUGCAUCAGCUACUGCAGAUGGAGUGCCAAUUGGACUACGUAUGGGUGAUCUGCUUUUGGGAGGUAAUUUCAAGUACUUCGAAGUAGUUUCAUCAGGUGAGCUAUCCACAAAACUUGGAGAACCCACUACAUUCAUGCUGUUGUAAAACUCUUCGUAAAGAGGUGUUUGCAGUUUCUUCAGUUCCAGAGCCUACAGUUUUGAUCAUAAGGGCAGUUCAGAAAAUCAAAUGCAUCAGAAAGUAAACAAAUUUCAUAAACCCUUCAUUUUAGCCUGCCAUCAUAAUGUUGGUACACAUGAAAAAGGUAAAUAUAGUACCUUUUAACUCUCCCAGAAAGUCAAUAAUAAUUAAAAUUUCACUAUAUACACAUAUCCAUGACCUCAAAUACCGACAAAGUCAACUCUAACCAAAGUAGUACCUUUUCAUCCAAGAACGCAGUAAUUUUCGAUUCAGUAAGCUCAUCAUCAUCCUCCGAAAGAGAUCGACCACAAGGAAAUGAAAAAUCUUUUUCAUCCGCACCAAUUGUUCCAGAACAGCCAGCAUGGAUAUCAAUUUGGUGGCUAGUAUCCAGAUUCCUGACAUUUUGUUCGGUUUCUGAACUUCGGUGAAAUUGGCACCUCAUAUCAUCAGUGGGCUCGCACAUGGGGUUAAAGCUCUGAGGUAAGAGAAUUGCAUACAAAUGAUUAGCUGAGCUUAUGAAAUCACUGAAACACGAAGGCAUUAAAGUGAUUACCUUAAGGUCGUCGGGCAUAUAGAAAGAAUUGAGGUUUACUUCACCGACCAUAACAUCAUCUUUGUCAUCAAUCUGACACAUGUCAUCAUCACUGUCUCUUCUCCAAAUGUGUGUACUUUCCAACACCCUGUCAGGAUGUAUGGUUGAGCAGUGCAAACUAUCCAUAGUACACAUAUCAGAUGAAUCUCGGCAUGUCGACAUCUCACUGCAACAAAAUGACUACCACAUCAAAAGCCUGUAAAAGAAUCACACAAAUUUUGUCUAAUCUUACAGGUUUAAAGAUACAUCAAAUAUAAUACUUACAAGGUCUGUAGGUUUGAAGAAUAUGAUGGAGAAGGGAUCUCAGAAUCUUCCUGAUGGUAGUAAAUUAAGUGUCAACUGAAAUCUUUAAAUGGUGGAGUAACCACAAAAUUAUGUAAUUAAAUUCACGCAUACCAACCAUGAUAGAAGGACGCAAAACAGUAUGAAAUUCCAUGGGUUGCCCAGUCACAAAUGGAUGCUGCAUGUGAUAGGAAAAGUAGAAAUGUAAGAACAUGAUAUGAUAUAAGGUUUGACUUGAGACGAUUAACAACAUAUAUUACAGAAAGAAAAAAAAAUAACUUUCGACACCAGUGGAGACUUAAAUUACCUGAAGCAACUCAGAUGCCGUCGGCCUCAAAUUUGGCUCCCUGACAUGGGACGAAGUUUAACACAAAUCAGAACUAUAAAUGUAUAAAGCCAUCUCUAUCUCAAUCUAAGACGUAAGUACAUAAAGUUAGACAAACUCCAGACUUCUGAACAUUCAGAAAAUAGAUGAGAAAGAAUCCAUGCAACACUUAUCAAGGAAAUUUUAAAUUCAAAUUAAUAUAGUUUAGAGAAGACAAGAAGUGGCAUACUUGUGCAGACAUUUUAACAAAAAGUCUUUCGCCUCAAAGGAAAUGUGCUCAGGGAUUGGUGGAUGAGACUUUGUUGUCCCUAUAUGGAAGAGAGCAGCAACCUACAGAAACAUGUCAUCAGUUGCAACACGCAGGAGAGAGAAAUUUCUUUAAAGCAUUUAAAAAUUUAGGAGGAAAAUGACCUCUUGGUACUUUUCGCUCCAAGGAGGCUUUCCGGUGGCCAUCUCGAUCACAGUACAUCCAACACUCCAUAUAUCAGCAGAGCUAAAAGAAGUAUUCUCAUAUAUCAGUAUUUGUAUCUUAUCCAAGAAUAAUAGAAUGCAUGAUGCAAAAUUGUGAUCAUCACUAUCAUCGGAGGAUCAGGCAUACCACUAAGAAGAUAUUUAGGUGCAUCUCCAUCCAAUAAAGACCAAGAAAGGUCUAUUCGGUGACAUCCCUAAAUUUGCUCAUCUAAAUAUUUAUCAGGCAAACAUUCUAUUAUUUUCAGAGAUAGGCUAGAAUUCAGUGAUCAAAUUCUCCAUCUACCGCAGAAAUAGAUAAAUACAAUCCAAGAUCUUCCAACAUAGAGGAUAGCCAAAAGCCAGUGGCCUAGGAAGUAUAGUUUAUAAACAACAGAUCUUAUCAAGUCAGGAGUUCCCGAAUGUGACUUUGAUUGCAGUACCUAUCUUCUAUUAUUUUUCAAUUUUUACUUCUGUUGGAGAAAAUGUCUUACUUUCCCUUCAUAAUUCAGUCUACUUUCGAUCAAUAAACUCUCACUGGUUUCACAAAAUAAUAGAGAAAUGGCGUAUUAUGAUCAAAUAGAAUGCCUGAAAAGAAGUAGAUAGCACAGUAAUAAUAAAUGUGCUUACAAGCUAUGACCAGUCUGACGAAUAACUUCAGGAGCCAUCCAGUAUGGCGUACCCUUCAUAGACUUAGCACCAGAAAUUGUUGCCUACAAUAAUGCAACCUCUUAAUUAUAGGACAGUCAUCAUACAAGUACUCUCUACUAUAGAUAAUCAAUCAAACAUAGCAAAACACACAUCUAGUAGAAAUGAUAAGAAAUGUACGUACCAGCUCCACCACCUGUUUGGAUGCACCAAAAUCUGCAAGCUUAAUGCAUCCUUUGUUAUCAACAAGGAUAUUUGCUCCCUGAAGGUUAUACAAUAUAUAUUAGCCAAUUGCAGGAAAAGGAUCGGGAAGAGGUAAGGACCAUCUUAUACAUUCAUAUGACUAGCAGCAAAGGGGAAGCACCUUAAUGUCCCUGUGCAUUAUUCCAUUUUUGUGUAAAUAUUCUAAUCCCAACAACAACUGCUUGGUGUAUGUUCUCAUUACCUGGCUCAAAGGAAUUUGUAUAAGUUUAGCAUUCAACAUACUGGCAAAACACAAAUUUGAUAUGCAAGAACUUACAGCCUCAGGGAAAGAUCCAAAUUUUCCCAAAAGUGAUGAUAUAGAUCCACCAGGGACAAACUCCAACAGAAUGUUCAAGGUUUCCUCCUCCCUCACUGUACCCAAAUAUCUCUAAGAGAAACCAAAAGGAAGAACAAAUUCAGAAAAAUGAUAACUCAAGAGGUGAAAUAGAUAGAAGAUGGUCCUACUCACAACAAUGUUUGGAUGAGAUAGAUUCUUCAGAAGCUUCACUUCUUCCUCAAGCUCCUUGAUGUGAGCCUACUUAUAGCAUUAAAACCAUUAAUCAGCCGAAUACCAUCUAUAAUUAAUAAGAUCAUAAUUGUCAUAUUUGUAAAAUAGUCAGAGUUUCAGACGCCUAAUGAAAAUAAACUUUGUGGUUGAGAAAUUAGACUAAUAUCCCAUAUUACUCAACAUGUGAUUAUAGAAAGCAAGCGUUGCUCACUUACUGAAUUUUAAGUGCGUAAGUUACUGUUCUUAUGUUGCAAAUAGGACCAAACAGACACGAAAUAUAAGAUGUUGAAUCUGUAACCCAGACACGUAUUGAUACUCACAAUCAGCACAAAUAACAAAUGGCAUUAUCAAACAAGGAAUAAGGAUAUCACAACAUGGAGCAAAAUCAUAUUCACAAAAACAGUUCUCAUACACAACAUGCACCUCAAAUUCAUUACACAGGGACCUGCCAUAUAGGAUACAUUUCCACUCGCAAUCACUUCCUAUUGGACCUCACCCACAUAGAGCCAAACUAACCCUAUCACACCUCGAUGGCACACAAGACACCCAAUCCUGUGAACUCUUAAUUUUACUGAAAAUACCAAUUUGAAAGCUAACGUACGGUGCUCUAGAAUGUGUGUGGUUUAAACAAAGGGAAAUGUGGAUGGAGAGUCAAUGUUGAUCCUCAGUAUCACCAACCCUCAUAGUAAACUACAUAUCACUCUAAAUUUUAAGUUGUAUAGUAAACAAGAACAGAUGUCACACCUGAGCUUUCUCCUUGCUGUUCACUGCGAUAAGAACCUGUAAAAGAAGCAAGAAACAUAUCAACAUUACAUACUGAACCAAGUCCCUUACUGAACUAGCUCUCAUCUUCUGAAUUCAACUCCAGGACAUAAAUCAUAUAGAAUUAACUCUUCAGUACAAUUGAAUUACCAAAAUCGACGAAAAUCAACAAGGAAAUGAACUUCUAAACCAAAGUUGGGGCAAAUUUCGAUAAGCCGAAGUUUCAAACAAUAUCGAAAACUAAUACAGGAACACUCCAGAAUCAAAAUCAAGCAAUAAGCAAAUCGAAACCUAACUAUAAGCCAAAACUAAGAUGAAAUUAGAAACAGCAGCAAUCCAAAUCGCUCUAUAACACGCUUCAAAACCAAAACUAAGCAAAAUCAACUCCAAUUCGAAAUUAAAAGAGCUUGAAUUGGAAACCGGACCUGCUUAACGGCCAGAAGCUCGCCGGAGCCGAGAUUCAUGCCCAUGUAGACGCGGCCGAAGGCGCCGCAGCCGAUCAACUCGCCUUUGCGCCAUCGGAUCGGAGGCGCGGUCUCUUUAGGGACGGAGGAGGACGGCGGCGGCGGGGAGGGUUUGGAGAAGACUCGGGAUUUCCGAAGGGAGGCGGUGAUCUUGUCGACUAGGGUUACCGGGGAGUCGUCGGUGUCCGGUGGCCGGAACACGAGUGAUCGGCGGACUGAUCCGAAGAUGUCUUGCAUUGCGGUGGUCUGAGAUUUUGAGAGUGAGAAGAAGAAGGAUUUGAGGGAGAGGAGGGAAAAAGGUGGGCUGAGUUUAUUUUUUGAAAAUAGCGAUCACGAAAUUAAAAUAGAAAAAUGAUUCGAGGAAAUGGAAAUUAUAGUGUUUUCUUGUUUUUGGUGCGACCUUUUCACAUUAUGGCUAUGAUGGUGGUGUGAAAAUAUUAUUAUUUGGAUUCAACAAUUAGAGAUUACAUACAAAAGCGGUUUAUCUUUUAUUCUCUCGCUGUUUAAUUUAAUUUUACAAAUAAAAUAUAAGAAUGAUAAAAGCACUCAUAUCAUCAUAUAUAUUGAAGUUAUGCGAAAUCCACAUCAAACUUAAAGAUAAUGUAUUUUGCACGCUUUAAUCUUGAUGUAACUUUUGUGAUUGAGGCUUGUUAAACCGAAAAUUUUUGAAUUUCUAUAUACCCUCAUAAGAAUCAAACCCAACAACCCAAGAAGUACAGAAGCCGAAAACAUAGUGUGAUUAUAUGAGAUAUGUUGCCCAAAGACAUUUGUGUGUACAUAUAAUCGAAUGGAAGAUAUCUUCUACAAGUGUACCUCUAGAAGUUAAGCCAAUUCAGACACAGAAGAGAACAAUUUCUAAUUGACUAUAAUCAAAAUCUCACAAAUUUUCCCAUGGAAAAAAAAAAGUAAAAAAACCAACAUUUUGUUUGUACAGUACAUACACUGAAGCAGUGAAGCUAUAUAUAUGAAGCUGUAUCGAAGUAGUUCGGGCAACAUCAAAUUUAUUAACCCUAAUCAAUUCUAAUGGUGCUGUCGAGGGUCUUUAAUCUCAAUUUUCCAAUGACCAUCAACAUAACUAGCAUUAGCUGCUCUAGCUCUCCAUGUCUUCAAACUCUUAUCCAUCUUUUCUGUCAAACCACAAAAAGGUUGCAGCUCCUGCGGCAUGGCAUCAUAGACUUGCCACCAUCUCCGGUGAGCUGAGUCACACGCGAACACUCGACGACUCUCUACAUCCCAAUUACAGUCAUAAUCCCUGUAACACAUCCAUGGCUUCAACCCUAAAUAAUGCACUGCGUAAAGAUCCUGAGCCAUCACAUGUUUUUCGAUACUCUUUCCCUCGAAAGUUUUCAGUGCAUUUAGCCACCAAGGGAGCCUAUGCCACCAGGUAAAGAUUUCAUUUAGGAAACCCUGAUCACCACCAUUGUAAGGCUUGAUUUUGAAGCUUUUUCGCAUUAGGUAUUCGAACAUGCAUUGAGAUGGCUCUACAAUCAUCAAGCCGGAGUUGAAGAAGUGCUGGUGGUUCAACCCAGCAGAUAAUUGUGGGUAUGUGAAGAAAAUGUCUAUGUUCUCUAGGACUAGAAGAUCUGCAUCGAUGAAAAUGACUUUGGAGUACUCAGUUAGUUGCCAUACACGUAGUUUGCUGUAGUUCCACUCAUUGUAUGAACCCUUUAGGGAAAAUACGCUUCGGAUUCGUUGGAUUUGCCUGACAUCCCAUCCGGCGGCUUGUAGGCCGGCGAUGGAUGUGGGAGUGAUGGAAUUGUCUGCGAGGAGGAUUAGGUCUUUGGUGGAGUUGGUUCUUCUGAUGCUUUGAGCCAAAGCUAUUGCACCACAAACGUAGGCUUCUGAGGAGUGUAAGAUUGUUACAUAGGCGUAUCUCCGGUAUUCGAAAUUCUCUGGUCUCCAAGCUUCUUUACCUGCCAAAUGAUCAAGUUAAUUGAUUAAUAAUUGGUAAAAAUUUGUGUAAUUCGAUCAGUGUGAAAAGUGAUUUUUAACCAUUAAAAUUUAUAUCAAGAAAUACUCGCGAUCGAUCAGUUGCAAAAUGUGAAAAUGGUUUGAUUCAAAAUCACAACCACUCAACCAGAGAUAUCCUAAGAAUGAGAGACCAAAAAUCCCACUAAAUUCCAUAGCAUAUACUUGAGGAAAUGCGAAUGGUCCGAUUGAUAUCAACCAAUUUCACCUCACAGUUAUAAAGUAUUUUAAAACAAGGUCACCCAACAUCCCGGCCGACCGUCUAGGCAGUGCCUAAGCACUCCAAGUCAUCUCUCUGCCCAAGCAGCGUCUAACGAGUUGUCUAACUUUGGUUAUAUGUAGCUAGUGUUCUAAAAACAAGGUCAUUCAGCCCACCUUGACGGGGCUUAGGCACCAAGCCUGCCCGAACCUUGGUUAUAAUGUAGAAUUUUAUAUAUAUAUAGAGGAUCAGAAGCCGACGUCCGCACUCGGCUUAAAGUGCCGAUGUCCGUCCGUUCUCCAUCCUCCGGCGCUGGUGAUGGCGCGCCUUCACCCCAGAAGACUCCAGCAGCGUCCCCGACCACUUUCCCUCCCCGGCGAGUCCAUUUUUUUUUAGUUUCUGGCGAGCUCGACUUUGUUUGAAGUUUUUGGUGAUCUCGCCGGAAAAUUGGAAAAGCUCGCCGGGGAAGGAAGUGGUCGGGGACGCUGCUAGAGUCUUCUGGGGGUGGAGGCACACCGUCACCGGCACCGGAGGGUGGAGAACGGACGGACGUCCGCACUUUAAGACCGGUGUGGACGUCCGCUCCUCAUCCGGCCUGUAUGUAUGUAUAUAUAUAUAUAUAUAUAUAUUAAGUUCAAAUUUCACUUUCUUUCGGAUUUAAAAAGAUAAAUAAAUAAAAUGUCAAAGGAAGAAAUUGCAGAUUAUCUUAUGAUUUGUAUGGAUAAUUACCUGCUCGUGCAUAACCAGAGGCAAGUUGGCAUGUCCCAAAAGGCAUAAGCACCUUCUGCUUCAGCCUCCCAAGCUCAGGCUUAUAAACCCUAGAAUCCCCUUGACGCAUCACUAGGUCAUCACAUCUGAAAAUCUCCACCAUGGGAUCACACGAUCCGAUGAACACAACGUACACCGUCCGGUGAGGAGCACCGAAAUCAGGGUCCCUCCACCCUAGCCUCGCCGCCAUAUUCGCCAACACCAAAUUCACUUGUAACCUAAACACAUCCCUAAUCCCUUGCUUUUCAUCACCACUAGUCCCACAUGGAACCUUUGCAAGUAUAACAUCGAUGCCAUUAUAAUCCUCAAACCUAGGCAUGGGGAUUUCCGGGCACUUUGGAUGUUCCCAUCUCUCGUCUUCGUCUAUCCAUUCUGGGAAAAAAUCCUCCCACUUCCGAUCACCUCCAACUCUAUCGAAACUCACCGGAAUCGGGUCUAUAUCUUCUGAUCCUUGCAUUAGUCGAAUACGGUCGUGGUCUACGUUCACCAAACCGACCCUCAUCUUUUUCCUACCCAAUUUCUUGGCGACGGCCUUGAGGACGUUGACGGCGUUAUCGGUUUGGUUCUUGAAUUGUUGUUCUUGCUGCUGUUGGUGUUGAACGACGACGGAGUUGAUAACGUUGAGUCUGAAAGAUGAAACGAGGAGUACAAGGAAUAGAGAGAAGAUGAAGGCGUAGAGAUAGAAGGGUUUUGAAGAAGAAGGAGAGGAGAGCUUCGAAGCCAUCUGAGCAUCACCACAUUGGAUGGUCAUCUGGAAUAUUGGGGGUUUUGUUGGUGUGAUUUGUAGAGAGUACAGAUCGAGCAUCAGUGAGUGGGAGCCUUAAAGGGCAUUUAAGUAUUGUAACGUACGUUAGGGUUUAAUAGGAAGGUUUGCAUGACUGUCAUGUAUACGUUGGCCAUUCUUGAGUUAAGACAAUGCAUCUGAAUAUCUGAUUCCAGAUACGUAUAUAUGGUAUCCCUCAUUCCCUUCUACAACCCCAAAGAUAGAGCAAGUGAGAUUAUUCCAUAUACUUUGAUCAUGUAUCAAUGGUAUAUGAGACUUGCAUACUCUACUUUGAAUAUGAAUUAGAGUUUUCCUCUAAUGCGUACAUAUAUAGUAGGCCUUAUAUUCUAUGUGAUCGAUUUCUAUUAGGGCACUAGAUCAUACGUACAGCAGAUAAUCUUGCAUAAUGUUUCUCUUAUUUGAGGGUUAUGCAAAAUUGAAGUAAAAUCCUAGUCGAUCGAAAACAUUUAAGUGUUCAAAUCAUUAUUCAAUACCGGUACCAAUAAGGUACGUAGAUGAUUGAUACAACAAAGUUGUAGAUAUGAAUUUCGCAAUGAGAUGCACUGUAAAUCUUUUCCUACCGGGUCAAAAUGAAUCUCUAUGAAUUUAAAUCUCUAUUAAUUCUAAAUCAUAUAUAUCCUUGCCAUUUUCAUUCAUUAUUGAUUUCCCAUGUUAAUGAAGUUUUGCUUUAGAAACAAAUUCUCCACCGAUGCUAACUUCACUACUCGAACAUGCUCGACUUAUGAUAUGUAGUCGCAGCGAGUUCAUUCCCCUCAUAUUGGAAAAACUGAUGAAAGUGUGAAAUCUAAACCUGUUUUUUUUCUUUGGAAAAUUGUGAAAUUUUGAAAUAGCAAAAGGAAUAAUACCUUGUAGCUAGGUUACUUGUAAUAUUUAAACUACUACAUUAACCAGGUGGAUAUAUAGUUUCAAUUUUGGCGAAUGAGAUAUUAUGGUGGAUAUCUACAACAUUUCAAAACGCUGCCACAUGCAUAAAUGACAUGUUAAUUUGGAAUAGAACGGCAUCCAACUCAUAUACCAAGAUUCAAUGACAUAUACCAACCAGUAACAAAGAUACGUUGAGAUCGAUACUGGCCUAAUAUUCUUAUAUAUUUGUACCUCCCUUAGUUAACUCUAGGAAAUCACUUGUGAUGUAUAUAUAUAAUGGAAGAACAACUCCAAAAUCCCUCUUCAAAUCACCAUAAAUCAUAAAUCCCAGAUAGAAGAUAUAAAGGCAAGGUAUUUUAUUCUUCUUCUUAUUCUUAAUUUUGUACCCUCCAAUUAUCUGAAGAAUAAAUACGCUAGAUUGAUAUAACAUACACAAGAGCAUAUUUCUCUGUCACAUCUGAUCUCUAGAAUGAAAAAAGAAUAUUCAGUUUCUUCAUAUUAUUGUUAGGGCCACUUUAUUCUCUUAUUAUUUCAUUCUAUAGAAUUACAUUUAUACUUUACCAACCUUUCGGACAAAGUAUAUAUAUCUGUCUGAACUAAAGCUAGCUAGCAAUGCAGCAAAAACAAGAUUGGUCUGUAAGAAUAUAUCUGUUGCAUUCCAGUUAACUUUCCAAUUGGUUCUUUUUUGUUUUGCAGCUUGAUUUAAAUCGGGACCUGGGGCACUGGAUAGGAUGGCUGUAAUCUCGGGUUCUUUCUCAUCUUUGGAGUUAGAGAAAUAUGGAGAAGGACUGCUUACAGAAAAACCGCGAGUUUUAUCAGUCCUCUCUUCAAUUCUGGAGAGAUCAGUUCAAAAGAAUGAGAAAUUAGUAAGGGCAUCAAAGAUGAAGGACGUCGUUACAAUGUUCCAUGCAUCAGAAGCUCCUGCCUUAAGCAUUACAAAGUACAUAGAGCGCAUCUUCAAGUACUCAAGCUGCAGCAAUUCUUGCUUUGUUGUUGCAUACAUAUACAUGGAAAGAUUUCUGCAACGUACGGGGACUUGUCUCACUUCUCUCAACGUUCACCGGCUUUUAAUCACCAGCAUUCUAGUUGCUGCAAAAUUUAUGGAUGUUGAGUAAGUGCCUCUCAGCCUAUAUACUAUAGUUCGUUGCUUGUUAUAUGAUUCUGAGCCAUCAGGUUUCAACAAUAAAGAUCAAGUACUAGCUGUAGGUUCAUGCUCAUUUUGUGUGCGUUAUUUUUAUGUUUCUCAUGGUGAAUCUCAAAAUCCACAUGACCAAGUAAGUAUGUGUGUGUGUGGACGUCCGCAUUUAUUCUUAUGAUGCGGAUUUCCACUUUACACUCACUUUUAAAUCGAAUUUUCACAUCUCUACCGUGUAGUAUUUAGAUACUAAUGUAUAUAUCAUCUCUGCAAAAUUUCAGUUAAUUUGGUUAUCAUUAAGGCACUCAAAACUGCGCGCGUUUUUCUGUUAUAAACAUGAACGGUUCAAGUUCAACAGAAUUAUGUUUAUCUAUUGGUUUAAUUGAGUUUGAGUGUCUUCAUGAUAACCAAAUUGGCUAAAAUUUUACAGAAAUGAUCUAUACAUUAGUAUUUAAAGACUAGAUAGUGGAGAUGUGAAAAUUCGAUUGAAAAAUGAGUGUAAAGUGAAAAUUCGCACCAUAAAAAUAAAUGCAGACAUCCGCACCUGAGAAAAUUUGUGUAUAUAUAUAUAUACAGAGCCAUUCCACUAAGGAUCCCUUAUUGUGACUUAUAUGAGGGAUUGAGCAUUUGACAAACUUUUUUAUCACAUUUUUUUAUCUUAAUCGUUUAGCUUUUAGGUCUUAAUAUGUAGAUCAAUUCUACAAAAUUUCAGCCAAAAUGGUGAUCAUUAAGGUACUCAAUACUGCAAUUUAAGAUUAUAAGCAUGAACGGUCCAGGUUUGGCAGAUUUGAUCCGUUCAUUGCUUUAAGCUAGUUCGAGACCUUAACAAUCAUCAUUUUGGCUGAAAAUUUCCAUAAUUAAUCUACUUAUAUAGACAUAUAAAAUGAAAAGACCCUCAUAUAAGUGUCAAAUAAGGAAUCCCUUAAUGGAAUGACCCUGUAUAUAUAUAUGUUGUAUAUAUUCAUGCACUAGUUUGUUCAUUUGUAUUGUGAAUCAUAUUCUAUGUAUGUGAUUAUAGUUGUUAUAGCAAUGGCUACUAUGCCAAAGUGGGAGGAGUGAGCAUUGGAGAGAUGAACAACCUAGAGAUGACAUUCUUGUUGAGUUUGGAUUUCAAACUCCAUGUCACCACAGAGAUGUUUGAGAAGUAUUGUCAGCAACUUGAAGAUGUGGGAGGGCACCAAACUGGGCACUUCAGAAAGGUUCAGACCUUGAAAGAUGAUUGGACCAUAAUCGAAGCAACAUUAACGCGCCAUAGUCGAAGCAAACAAACAGUACUAGUGAAGUAUCAGAAGGACAAGGCUUGUGUAUUUUCAUGGUUAACCUAAUAAAAAAAAAAGAUUAUAGUGCUUACAAUUAAUAUACAAUAAUAUACAAUAUUAUUGAAUCAUCAAUAAAAUUAAAGGUUUAAUGUCAGGGUAACUUCUUUUAAUUAUGCAUAUCAGCAUAUGACAACAUGAGAUCGAGUUACAUCUUUUCUUGGUGGCCUCCAAUGCCUUCCUGUAGUUUGGCAUUCUAAUAAUGUGGAUGAAUUGUCUCUACUACAAUUGAAGAAAAUCAUAAUCGUCCAAUACAUUGAGAACACCGUUGAAUUAAGGGUUAAAGAAGAAUUAGAUUAACAAAAUGUUAAAUCAUCAGACAGUUUGAACUGUCUGAUUAUUACAUACAAUUGAGCUGUCUGAUUAUUACAUUCUAUUACUAUAUAUCAUAUAUAUAGCCUAAGCCCUUAAUUUCUUGUAUGUGAAACCAUCAUCUCAUACAAUUGUCUAAGCAAUUAUUCAUCCAAGACAUGAGAUUUCUUAAUCGCCAGCGUGAUCCAUGUUUGCUACAAACUUAAUGGAACAUGAGGACGUACGUGCACAAAAUAUUGUUUUUUUUGUUCUGAUUCCAAGCUAUCGUACGUGUUCCAUAAAGCGAAAAGGCUUAUUCCUCAACUGUUUAGAAAUGUGUGUGCAACAACAAGUAUAUAUCUUGCUCAUUCAGCAAUACAUGCAUGUCGAAUUGUAGAAUGAUAUUGUUAUUGCUUUAUUAUUAUUCUUAGGCACCAAGCUUCAACUAGAACCAAUCAUGUCCAUCUUCUUCUCGAAACAGUUUCAAACUUAAACCAUUUGAAGAAAUAAGUGUCAAUAAAUUAAAAGAGUUGACACUUUGAUGGACAAAUAUAUAUAAAGGUGGUCGGUAAAUUUGUAUCUCUAAUUCGGCUUGUCGUUUGUAGAUUACUUUUAUGUAACUAUAGAUGUUAUAGGAUUCCAUCAAUGUUCAAACUAUUCUAAAACAAAUUGUUCUAGGUGUUAAUGGUAAGGAAUACAACGUAAACUUGUACUUGUUAGCAUUGUGAAUGUUGUGACUUUCUCCUAUCGCUUUCAUAUUUUAUCUGUUUGGAAAUGAAUGAAUACACUAAUUAGUCAUCGAAAACAACUGAAUUGAAAUGUUUGGCUAAAACAGUCUUGGUUCAUUAUUUAACUUUUUUUUUUAUUCAUCGGUUGAGAUUGUUUAAAAUGCAUGCUUAGUUUGCAUGCAUGUUGUAAGAUUGUCACUGCAAUAUAGCUCAUAACUGAAAGUGCUGUAUGUUUUGUUUCAAAUAUGCUUUAGCGUCCAAGCACUUCUCUAUCAGUUUUUGUAUAGAAGCAACUCUAUACAACUAAACUCUAUACAACUAAUACAAUUAUACAAGUGUUACAACUCUGGCGGGGACGUUGCAAUGUGCACUCAAACGAAGCUACUGAAACCGAAAAACCAAUGUGUGCACUCACUGUCUCACAAUCACUGGAACAAUGAAGCAUAUCUGGAACAAUGAAUCAUAUAGCGUAAAACAUUCACUUGAUUCCUAUGAGAUAGCAUCUUGUGCCUGUAGGCACUCUUAAUUCCUAAGAUUCUUAAGUCUUAACCACCGACGCUAUGGCUGGUUCAGCACUGGUUUCAUGCUCAUUGUGACCAAGUUAAAAUAAAAAAUAAAAAAAUAAAAAAAUGAAGGACCAAAUUCUAUAAUGAAUGUCAAAUUGCAGAAUAUCGAGGUUGUUAUAAUUCGAGGAAGCCAGUUUUUUACACAAAGAAAAAGGUUAAGCUGCUUAAGCAUGACCAAAAUAUGUCUGUCAUGCUCUUUCAAGAGUUGGAAAACUAACACGACUUGCAUGAUGUGCUUCUAGUUUUUUUUUUUUUUUUUUGAAAGUAAUGAUGUGCUUCAGUUUUGUUUGUGUUUGUUUUGAUUACUGUUUUGUGUGACAAUAGAUGUUAUAGAUUCGCUGAGUACGCCAUGGCGGAAUGCGGUGAACACUGAAGAGAUCAACAAGCAUCAUCACCGAACGUUUAUACUAGAAAUAUUGCACAUUAUAAUCAACAAGAAGCGAACGAAGAAUUGAGGAUUACACUAUUAGAUCGGCACAAAACUACAAUACAAUUGCUAACCUGUAAACCCGUCUGAGAAUGAUGAACAUCCACUGUUGAAGAUCCAUUCUAGUUGUUCAAUGAUCUAUCUAUGAAGAUUAAUUUUGAUUGAUUAGGUCUCCAUCUGGUCAAAAGUUGUUUAAAAUGCUUGAUUCUUUUUUCUUUUUUCUUUUCUGAGAAUGUUUAAAAUGCUUCAUUUGGCUCAAGUAAUAGCCAAAAUAUUUCACUGCACUAGCUAAUAACUCAUUCCAUCGUAGUUUCAGAGGACCUUUACCCAUGGUAAGGAACUGGGUAACAUAAGCACAUUACAUGUCUCGCUGUAGAGAAGGCAGGAGGUAGAAGGGUGUAAUAAUAGGAUAUAUAUAUUCUUUUUGGCAAUCUCUCUACAAUUCAACCAGGGAAUUUGAAGACGACAGCCUUGUGAAGCCAUCAAGGUCGAGGACGUAGGCCUCCUAAAGAGCCAAUCUUUCAAUGAAAGCUUCAUCAUCCUUUAACUGGAGGCAUUCUUCCUUGCAGCAUAGACGCGGUAAGCCGCCAGUCCAACAAUGGCCACUGCAGCUCCCACUGUAAGGAGCCAAACACAUUCAACAACAGGCACAAAUAAAUUGAUACUCAAUGGGAAACAAAAGAAUGAGGAUUCAGAGAACCCCAUAGAUUAACAGGUGGAAUAUAAAAGACAUCAUACCUGAAACAAACAUGAGCGAGCGGUUUAUGAGCCUGUGAUAUUGCUUGCGACUCCUCCCAGCCUCCGUCUCGGGAAUACUCAAAUGUGGGUGCUCCGCAGCACUUACGAUUUUACGAAAUACACUGUUGAAAUCACCCAACUUCGUGCUAAUAGGUAUAGGAGCCUCUGUUCCCAUAUCCUGACUGACCUGCAUUAGUAUUUAAAACAUGUAACUUUUUGUUUCAGACAGUUGAAUCAACUCUAAUAAAGUGAGACAAUUCCAAUAUAGCGCCCAUCAGAGGUAUAUAUUUCAAGCUCCAAAAAACCUUAUCUGUCAAUAUGUAAGAGUCUACACAAACUUCACUCUUCAAAAUAUCAUCUUUUGGUAAUAUUUAUCAUCAAGUUCUUUUUUCAGAAGAAAAAUAGAUGUAUGUAGUCAAUGGAUAAAUAUAAUACCCUUGUAGAAUGCUGUAUGGCCAAUGGAAAUGAAUCCAGAUCAUCCUUAGCUGCAACAAUGAGGCAAGGCACCUCAAAACCAGUAUUCUCACCAUGACUAGCAACUUCUACCAGCAACUCAGUUGCUCUCUUCCAAGACAAUUCAUCAGAACUAGCAAAGCAAAAGACUCCAUAAGUACAAGGCAUGAAUUGCCAAUUUUAAGGUAAAGAGAUGUAUGCACCUAACCUAAAGUAAUGCACUUGGCGGAUAGUAUAGUAAGAAGUUAUAGGUUUAUAUCCUCUUAAGGUCAUCGAUGUAACCUUUUCUCAUACUGCAAUAAAUUCAAUUAAUUUUAGAUAUUCGAUUUAAUAUGCCAUUAUGAGCCUAUAUUUCUUUCUUGCAUGUACUCUUCACAGUUUUAUGCUUGCAACCAGAACAAUGGAAAAAAAAAUGGCUAAAACAUAUCAAUAUGGAAGUGUAUUAAGACUCGAGAAAAAGUGACUGCAUCAGAAAGGUAAAGUGCUAGGUCAAAUGGGAAAACUUUGCAUAAUGCACCCUAUUAAAACAUGACUUUAAAUAUCAUAACGAAGAGACAUUUUAAGGUACAAUAAAGCUACAAAUCUGGAACAGACACUUGAAUGUACACAAAAGAAACAACUGUUACUGUUGUACUAGUGAAACUCAUACAGCAUCCAUUACAUUAUCAGAUGCAAUCAUGCAACCAGUAAGGAUUUAUGCAGGUAGUACCUGUCGUGAACAAAUACAGCUAUGUCACAAGCAGCCAAAGCAUCUUUACUAGACAGUAAUUUGCUAACUCCAUCUUCGGGAACUUCUCUCAACACUAGGAAUUUCUUGGUUCCCUGUGAACAGUUGUAGUAUUACAAACUUGCUCAAAGAACAAAUAAUAGAACUCAGAAUAUUUAGCUCAAACGUAUAUGUAUUACAUACACACACACAUUAUAAAGUGACUGCCUUCUUAAAGCGACUCUUAAUUUAGAGCUAUCCUCACAGUUCAUCUACAUGUCUCACCGACAUGCAUUUAAACUUAAUGUUAAAACAAGCAUAGACAACAUAUUGGAUAUUACUACUAUCAGUGACUGACACUACAGUAGCUGGUCAACCACUCAACCUAUACAUACUGGGACACUAUUAAUGGGUGCUCUCUAAAAUACGAAGUAAUCAAGUUAACAUACAAUUCACUCAGAUACAAUACCACAAGAGAACGGCAUAUGUAUCUUGAAAACAAUUUCGAAAUACAUUAGAUAUCCCAUACAGUCUGGUUACAGUAUCUGGUUACGUUUGCCUUAUAUGUAGAUGUGCAUAAGAGAAGGGAAAAAGGGACAAGCAUACUCCAUGCAACUGCUAAAGAGUCUUAAGACACAAGAUGCAUGUUUGACAACUUACCCCAGGCUGAUCAACAUGGUUAACUGCAUAACGUUCCUCGGUGGUGGGAUGAUAGUUAUCAGAAAAUGGCCUGCAUUUCCAGUUACCACUGAUCAAUUUACACAAUUAGAAAAAUUCCCACAAGAAUCAGAAAUGAACAAUGUUUCUUGAGAUAGACCUUCCAAGAAAAGAAUCCAACAAUGCAGACUUUCCAGCCUUCUUUGGGCCGAAGACGAAGCAUUGGAAGACAUUUCUUUCUGAUUGUUGUUUCUUGCGAUCUAAACGCCUUUUCCUAGUAACACGGAUUGCAGAGGAAACAUCACCAGCAUAACCAAUGUAUAUAAGAUUCUCCAUGGUAGAAGCUGGGUUUAGGAGUGUCAUGAGGGCCCACUGAAAUUACACGUUUUCACCAAAAUUUAGGCAUACAGGAGAAAAAUGACAAAAAUUAUUUACAUAUGCAUAGUGCACGUCAUAAAGUACAAAUAUGUUUGAGUAGAUACAAGUAUAACAAUUUGAUGAGACAUGGGAAUUCAAUUGUAAUCUUUUACAAUUGAUUUUUUUUUUUUAAAUUAUUGGGUGGGGGAAUAUUGUGUGGCAGAUAAUACAUACCUGUGACAAGAACCCGUCAAGUGAGAGGCCUCCAAAUGCAUUUCUCUCUUCAGCUUCUUUGUAUGGAAAUUCACUAAAUGGACUGCAAAUCCAAAGGCAACACUUAGAAGAUGCCAACAUAUUCAUAAGUAGUAAUACUGAUCAAAGUUCAAAUAUUGAAGAAGCUUUCAACUGAAAACUAACAUUUAGAUAGAGCAAAUAAGUUCUGAUCAUCUAUCUAUAUAAUAGACAUAGCAAGUUGAUUGUAAAUUGAAGAGAUAUAACAGUAACAUAAUACCACACAAGCAAAUACACAAAAUGCAAUCUCAUAAAUAAGUAACCAACAGGUUGCAAACAAACAUAAAAAUGAUGAUUCUGAGGAAGAAAAAUACCUUACAGGAGCAGUCGAAAAUAGUUCUUCCAGUUCCCGUGGUCGUAGGGCCCCGUCCUGGUGCAAUAACAGCAUACUUACGAUAAGAAUAGGACGAACACAACUAAUGCAUAGAGGAAAUUGUAUGAUAAAUCACCAUCAAUAUAACAGCAUGAUAAAAUAAAAAGCAGCUUUUGAAAAUAAGCAUAUAAUAAGACAUACACGGUCAUCGUCAUAUAAGUUAAAUGUUGCACUCAGAAAAUCGAUUGCUUCAUUUGUCAGCUCCACACUCUGCAUAUAUGACGAAGUAUACAUCAACGUCAAACGGCUUUACAAAAUGGAAACAGAAACAAUAAUGGAACUUCACAAAUGUUACGGACUUAAGCUGGCAUGAUAAUAGCACAUCAUGGAAGGGGAUAAGUUCAAACACCUGAAUGAAGUUGGCAGACAAUCUAUUAUUCAAGAUCAGGCUCAGUAUUGAGCCCUCAAGGUCCAGCUUAAAGCAAUGUUUAUAUGUACACUUAUACCAUGUUUAUCUAAAGAAUCAUUGAUUAACCAAUGCAUGCGUGCACAUAUAAUAGCUGGAGAUUUAGUUCUGACCCUUUAAGUCAAUUCAAAAUCAACAAAGAGUGUACUUAACUAGUAGGGACUCUAGCACUCAUUGAACUCAGACCAAACUUAAAGGUCGUAGUGUAAAAGAGAACAUGCUAGGUUACUAAAUUCUUGAAAAUGAUUACCCAAAACAAGAUGAAUCUCCUAUUUUAGUUUUAAGAAUAUCAGCACUAGAUAAAAGCAUCUACACAACAUAAAAAUAAUAACUCAAUGAAAACUUACCUGGUCUGAAGUCCGUUUUGGGAUAUUUGGAAUUAGUUCUUCUGAAAGUCGUAUAUCAUUGUUAUAGCCAAACUUCCUGAGAACAGUCCAAGUUGUCUCUAGACGUCCCUUCUCUAUAAAUAGUGCAUGCAGGAAGAGGAAUCCUGUCAGUGUAAGCCCCUGGUCAUUGACUCCUUCUGGUAACUUCUCUUGCACAACCCUCUUCACACCCACUAUUUCAGAAGGUUGUAGUGGAGCAUUGAAACAUUUAACCUGUUGCAAUAAGUUUCCAAUUUCAACGUAUCUCAAACAUUGAUUCCAUUAAUUUAGCUAAGAAAAACUGAGAAUCUAUACACUAAUACCAAUAUGUAACAUAGACUCUAGGAUUUUGAAGAACACUUAGAAUAGAACGUAUUUAACUUGUUGCAUAACAGAUAAAGAGAACCUGGAAAUCAUUCAAUUCUGGAUCACUAAGGGCACCAUCCCUGUCAUGAUCACAGAGAAUGAAUAUCCGCUUCAAGGCUCGCACGCAUUGGUCCUUCAAAGUCUGUGUUUCCUGAUCGAAUAAUGGGGCUGUUGGGUGAAGAACAGCUUUUUGUGCAUAGUAAAAAACCUCUGGAAUCUGCAAAAACAGAAAUAAGUCAAAAGUAAAGACUCCAAGUGAUAGAAUGUCAUUGCCAAAAUAACAAGAAACUAGUUGCAAAAUAAAGUCAUUUAUUCAUCCCCUUUUCUUUGAACAAUGAACUGAAAUGCAGAUGCAUGCUACUAAUGAAAAGUUUAUGGGAAACUUUAAAUACAUUUAGUCCCCUUGAUCAAGGGACAACCCAAAUACAUAAUGAAGUAUAAAGAAGUGCAACAUACUGUGCAUGCUGAAUUGUACAAAAUAGUGACAUUUAACCAGCAAAGAAUCGGGAAAUAGAAGAUUCAUUUCAGUAUACCUGAAUAUGUUUAAAUGCCGAACACUCUAUGCAAGUUUCAAUUUCCCGAAACUGUUGCAUUAUUGGUGACAUCACUUGCUCCAGGCUCACCUCGUGGUUCUCAUCUCUCAAAUCGAGCUUACAACCAACGACUAUAACAGGAACCCUUACCUGCUCACAGAAUUUCAUAUUUUCCCAUCAUAAAUACAUGCUGAAAACCAAAGCACCACUUCUCUAACAGAUCAAAGCAAUAUUUAAUGUUCCAUUUUCACAGUGAUAUCUGUUACGAUUAAGGUUUUCAUUCAACAGUGCUCUCUCCUCUUUGUUUUUCAUAACGACACACAUGAGGAUGAAAUAAUAACACAAACAUUCACCUCUAGCUGACGAAGCUUUGGAAGCCAAAAGGUACUCAACCGGUCAAGUGUAUGAGGCUGAUCACAAGCAUAAGUUAGCACAACUGCAUCAGCAGCCUUCAAAUCUUCCGCAACUUUAACAUUAUCUUCCGGCCUGAUUAAGAAAACAGAAUAAACAUCAGCACCAAACUUUAGAUCUUAGCAGGAAAUUAGCCAACUCUAUAAAGUUCAUACACGUUACAACUUAACAAGACAAAUAUCAAACUCCGAAGAGUUCUCAACCCUAAAUCUAAAUCUAGUUUCCUUCCUACAUUUUCCGGCAAAAUCAAAUAGAGAUUUCAAACACACAAGCACUUGCAGUUCAACAACACAUUCGCUUCCGAACUUCCUACACUCUUUGAUCCACUAAAAGCAAACCAUUUCAGUGCACCGGAGUUCAUACUUAGAAGAAGUAUCAAUAAUCGUAAUAGGCACACGCUCGGGGUAGAAAUCUUCAGGCAACCGUGUAGGCGGCAGCAGCGGAGGCACAUUCGCCGGAUAGUUCUCCGCCGCCGCCGUCACAAUCAAGCUCGAUUUUCCAGUCCCCUGGUCUCCCGCCACCACAAUCCGAACCGCCGUCCGGCCGCCGUGGUGCUGGUUCGCGUUUCCAGCUGCAGUUCUCGCCAUUCGGAACUGCAAAACCACCAAAAACCCUAACAAAUCAAACUCCACUACUGAAAUCGCAACCGGAAAACUCAGAAUAUUACCGGAAAAAAAAAGUAGAACGCCGGAAUCGAACUCAAUCCGGAAUAAAAUUUAUGAAGCUUAAGCUUACGAAAUUUAUGAAGGAGAGUGAGGGAGGGCGAUGGCAGAGAUGUAAUAUACCUGAAGUAUGAGGGGCUGAUCGAUAGGGAGAUAAAACCCAGGGAGAGAGAUAAACCCUAGGGGAGGUGGUGGAGGUGAGGCUGCUGCUUGUUACAGAAAGUGGAAAGAAGAAUGAAAAUGUCUUUUUCUGUUUUAUAUUUUUCAGAGGCGCUGGUGGUUUUGAGCGGUGGCUGACAUGUAGGACGGUGUGGCUUAUUAGGCAAGCUGAGUUGUGCGGUUGGUGGGGUUGGGCGCCACGUCAGGUUUGGAUUAAUUAUGGAGCAAGUUAGUUUAAUAAAGCUCUAAUUACAUAGUAAUUACAGAUUGGUAAUUUUAUUUUGUGUUUUAUUUUUAAAUUAAUUUAUAUUAGGAUUUGAAAUUCACACACCCUAAAUUGAAAUUCACACACUUUUUUUCUUUUUUGGUUAACACAUUCAUAAAAAAAUAAAAUUUAAGUCAUUAAAAGACAAAAUUCAAAUUAGUAAAAAAAAAAAAAGUGUUGAUUUCAUAACCUUUUAUAUUUUAUCAAAUGAUUGGUACUUAGUUUCUAAGCGAGUGAUUAUGGGUUGACGAUGAUGAAGAUGUUUGAAAGUUGACUGAAGUGAUGUGAUAGUUAUGGAUUUUUCUAGUUAUAUUCUAAUAUCUAAUUAUUGAGUAUGAGAAUAAAUGACCUACUCCAACUUGAAAUUUGUAGUGAUGUGUAGAAAUGAAAGUUGUUUAUGCGAGUAAAUCAAGAAUUAAAACACAAUGUUAUUGUCAUUAGUGACACAUUUUACCUGGAAUGACAACAUAAAUCAAUAAAAAUGGACUGAUUUUAUGAGAUUUUAUGCGUUUACUAGCAUACGUACGUAUGACAAAGUAAUUUGAUUUAUACAUUUAUUAAACACAUAUAAAGAUCUUGGAAUGAGUACAUGUCUCACUAUUACGAGGAAUUGAUUCUCAGGUAACCCUUAACUUGAUAUCCAAAUAAACGUGCUAUGAGUUCUUAUUACGUUUAAUUAUUAGAAUUAUCAAUGUACCAAAGAUAUCACUCCAAACUUAUCAAUCUAAACAUGAUAUUUCUUUGUCAUGUUGGCCUCUGGACCAACACAAAGAGGCCACACGUACUAUUAUACAAAAUGUUAUGCAUGUUUGCUUGAAAUAGUCUAAAUAUUCUUAUUUCUGCCAUGCUAUAUUUCGGAUCCGGCUCCUCUAAAGUGAGGAGUCUGUGGAUUUAAUUAAAGUUCAUAAAAUCUGGACUUUUUGUAUAAUCUAAAGGUUAUGAAAAUUGACACGUCAGUCUUUUAUUAAAUUUUUAUUUUUAUUCUUAACCAUGGUUAAAGGUUUGGGAUUUCUUACUCAAAAAAAAUUAUUUGGGUUUCUGUCAUAUUUCUCCUCUACAUCUGAGUUUCAAGUUUUCAACUCCUUUAAUUGCCGGAUCAAACAUAAAUCCAGAUAAUGAACUCGUACAAUUAUCAAUUUUUAAUUGUAGUUGAAAGAUGAAACAGAAGUUGAUUGGACUUGCAUAAACUCCAUUAGUUAGAGACCUUCAAUUCAAAUCACAUACUCCUCGUUCAUGAACUUAUAUUUACUUCAAGUCAAUUGAGCAAUGACCAUAAAUGUGAUUAUUUAUACAGAUACAUAUGUCUGCAAUGAUUUAUAUAUAUGCAGGUGAUUAAUUGAUUGAUUGCCUAGAGUUGAGAUCUGUCAAAGACACUGUAAGAAUAUCACUUGAUCUAACCCUCAUGAUCGAUAUAAACAAGUCAAUUGGAAAAGAAAGAAAUCGAAAUCGAUUUCACUUUUAACGUCUCCGAAUUUGUGGUGGGAGACUCAGAAAUUGUGGAGGGACACUACUCAAUCAUAUGCGGUGUUUCGGUUAGAUUAGGUAACGGAGGAAUUCAAACUCAAAUACUCAUAGGUCGUACAGAAAACCCAGACCUUUUUUUUUGUUUUGGUUUUAUAAUUUAUAGUUAAUGACAUGUUAACAAUAGUUAAGAAUAAAAAUAAAAAUUUAAUAAAACAAUAACGUGUUAAUUUUCAUGACCUUUAGAUUAGAUAAAGAGUCCAAAUUUUAUGAACUUUAACUAAAUUCACAGACUCCUCACUUUAGAAGAGCCAGAUCCAUCGACCAUUAGACGAUCAGACUGAUUCAUGAAGCUACGUACUUCCGCAGCAUAUCGCAUGUCACUCCAAUGAUGGGCGGUGUGAGACUCAUUCUUUUGACAUUGACAAGUUGGGCCUGUCUUUACUCUUUAGUUGGUUGGUGGAUCGUGAACUAGGCAAAGCCGACUUUGUUUUUGUUUUUUGAACAGGAAAGCCGACUUUGUUUACAAACAACAGAGCCAAACGAGUCUUUCGGAUUCGGGUCAAAGCCCACUCCAUUAGCAAACAAAUGAAACAAUAGAGAAGUGACGGAAGGAGCCAUUAGCCGUAUGCUGAUAAUGAUAUGCCCCAUACCCAAAAAAGAGAAAAAGACACGGGGACUCACCUAGGAGGCAAUAGCAUACAGCUUUCCCUUUGGUUCAUCUUUCCUAUAAUGUGGACAUGACCCAUCACUGUUUGACAUAAUAGCUUCCGUCACGCAACUCGCCCUAGGUAUGGGUUGCUCCUAAAAUGAAUAUCGGCCAUUACCGGGAAGACAAAUUUUUACCGUCCAACCUCUUCCUCCCUCCUCUAGUGCAUUGCAAUCGCGCUAAAUUAUCUCUCCCUUCUCGCGUUUUAAAUUAUCGUAAAUUAUAACCACGAUUGGUGCUCGGUGAUAUUAUUUAUUAUGUACAUCAUAGCUCCAUUUCUCGUACACCACAAUCAAUAGCUUACAAAGUCAUAUAAGAUGAUGGUGCAACCACUGUUGCAUUCUCUAUAUGGACUCAUUCUCAGUACCUAGUAGCAGUGACUAGCUAAACCAACUUGUGAGGGCUCAUACCUUACUCUCCCAAUUAUGUGAAAUCGAUCUAACUAGAAAAAAGGUGGGUAGCUAAUAGCCUAAUGCUACUAUACUAGUGACUCAUUGAUUGUAAUUAUACGGAGGACGGCAAAAUAAAACACGUUUAUUCAAGGUGGCAAGAAAACGCCACCGGACCGGUCAUCCCACUCUGUUUCCUUAACUUUUCAACGCUCCCCAUACUUUGGUAUAUAAAGAGAGACACAAAUUUAAUAUGCUACGUGCUGGUUUGGGAGAUAUAAACAAAUAAUUUGAGGAAGACGAAGAAGAAGAAAGAUCAGGAUGGAUCUAGAGUCUAUAUCAGAGGCCACUUCGGGAGCCAUAGGAUCACUGCUGAGCACCACCAUUCUGUACCCUCUUGACACCUGCAAAACCAGGUACCAAGCUGACGUCAGAGCCAAUGAUCAGGCCAAGUACAGGUACCAACCUCCCUCUCUUUUCAUCUGAUCUGGGUCUGUGGAUUGUGUUUGGAUCAUGGAUUUGUGAUUAGUUUUGUGGUGAAAUUCUGGGUGUUUCUCUGCUUUUGUGGGAGUUGGUGAGUGAAUUGUACUUGGGUAGGUGGCAGUUGGGAAGUUUAGAUUUUUAAUGAUGAAGUCCAUGAUCAUCAUCAUAGGGUUUAGGAGUAGUUGGAAAUUGAGAUAUGAAUCAUUUCGAAAUCUGAUAUUCAUUAGAGCACAGUAAAAAUCCAACUUCAAGAUAGUACCUUUAAAUGCUCUGCUUUGUUUGUAAUCGAAGAUGACCUUUUCGAGGUGCUUAGAUCAUGCUACACCGUGUGACUUUGUUUUGGUGUUUAAGAAAUGAGUAUAUCAGCUGUGCAUCAGUUUGGGAUUUCGAAAAGGAUUGAAAUUUUGUAGUAGGGGGAUUGUUAUACAACUGCUGCAUAUGAGAAGCUGAUUUAGGAUUCUAUAGUGCAAAGUUGCAAGAAAACCCAUGUUAGAAUCUUCUCUUCAGUUGUCUAACUUAUGCCGGGAAAUUACAUGUUGGAAGAGGCUUUGUGUAAGCUAGGCAUGCAUAUAUCAUUUCAAGAAGCCGGUUUUUGAUGUUUGCAUCAUAAGAAGUCUUACAGCUCCUUUUGUAGGAAACAUAGAGCAAUUGAUCCUUUAAUGCUUAUAUAUAAGUUUACCAUGCUUAUGCCAUGAAACUAUGCUUAGAAUUCUAGCAAUGAGCCUGAUGAUCCUGUAGUUCCUCAUAAGGACAUUAGCUGAUGUGUUAAUGCUUGACGCUAAAUGUCUUGAUUAGCUUCAGUUUGGUGUGUAGUUCACCCUAAUUUCUCUGGUUUUGGCUUAUGUAGGUACCUCUCAGACGUAUUCUGGGAAGCAAUAUCCACGCGGCAGGUUCUUUCACUGUAUCAGGGUCUGGAAACAAAAAACCUGCAAUCCUUCAUUUCUCAGUUCGUUUACUUUUAUGGGUAUAGCUACUUCAAAAGAUUAUAUCUGGAAACCAGCGGUUCUAAAUCAAUUGGUACAACAGCAAAUUUGAUCCUUGCUGCUGCUGCUGGGGCUUGCACUGCCAUUGCCACACAGGUGAGCCACUUGUUUGAAGUCUCCCCCAUUUUACUUGAGAAUUCUUUAGAUGAUAUAGUAUGAUUCUGCGGAUACAAAUUCCUUAUACAAAAACAUGAGUUCAGCCUCUAUGUGUUCUCAUGCUCUCUUGUUCUCAUCUUGACUGUGACCUGUCUAGAGUAAAAUUGUGGCUUUAUUUAUAUAUAUGUCAUGGAGCUUCUUGUUACUUUCUUUGAACCCCUCUAUGAUUUGAACAGGCAAGAAACCUGCAUCCCUGAGAUUUCAAGCCUUAUGACUGUGUUGUAUAACUGUGUAGCCUCUGGAUACAGCCUCGUCAAGGAUGCAGACAACUGCCUUUGGAAAAUCCAAAGGGCUGUGGAAGACCCUUACAGAGGGCACCUGGAGUGAUGCAUUUGAUGGUCUUGGAAUCUCCCUGUUGCUUACCGCAAACCCUGCAAUUCAGGUACUUGUCAUUCAUUUUAUCUUUUUGUAUUAUGUUGCCUUGUCUCCACUUAAACUGAGAUUCAAUCUAAAACUGAUUGUAUCAUCCUACUUCAGUAUACAGUGUUUGAUCAGCUGAAACAAAGAGUACUGAAGGGAAAACAAGAUAAACCAUCCAAGGGCUCAUCCCCGGAAUCCCUUUCUGCCUUUUCAGCAUUUGUUCUAGGUGCAGUCUCAAAAACUAUUGCUACCGUUCUGACCUAUCCUGCCAUCAGGUGUGCAAUUGCUCUCUCACACUUUAUCUCAAUUAUUAGCUUGACCUUUGGAAUCAAUUUAAACAUCUUCCUACAGGUGUAAGGUCAUGAUCCAAGCUGCUGACCCAGAUGGUGACGAUAAAACUAAGGAAGCUCGCCCAAAGAUCAGAAAAACGAUUCCAGGAACUCUCAAUUCUAUCUGGAAAAGGGAAGGCAUUCCUGGCUUCUUUAAAGGAUUGCAUGCCCAGAUCUUGAAAACUGUUCUGAGCUCUGCAUUGCUUUUGAUGAUCAAGGAAAAAAUUUCUGCUACUACUUGGGUUCUCAUACUUGCAAUCAGAAGGUAUCUAUUCCUCACAAGAGGCAGAGUAAAAAAUGCAUGAUUGUUAUGUAUCGACAAGAAUAUGCAUAGUUCACAUGUAAAUUAGGCGAGAGUUUGAUCUGAUUAGCGGAAACAGAUGUACGAUUAAGAUGGGGAACCAAUUUUCUGAUAGGAGCUCAUACUGCUGUAAUAAAGUGUUCUUUAGCUAGAGAUAAACCAUGGUUUGGGUAAGCUCAAACCUUAGAGCGAAUUGUUCACACCCCACAGAAAUAAUGUAGCAUGGACAUUUUUGUUCUGCAAGAACAUUAAUGCAUAGUUAAAAUUUGUUUCAUUGAUCGGAUAUUUACCUUGUUUAGUGACUCCAUUUUUGAACGUGGUAGAGUCUGUUCAACUAAAAGGUCGGGUAACAAUGCAAUAAUCUUCUGUUUUGGCACCUUGAUUCUGAUAUAUUACACUAGCUCAGUGUGUGCCCUUGAUUCUGAUAAAUGUUACAACUCGUAACAUUUCAUGUACCAAACAGGUUCAAUACCCAUAUAACUAUGCUCAAAUUUUAGGUCCCCUUAAUCCCAUAAUAAACAAGUGAAAACAAGUGAAAAUGUUGAUAAUUAUUAUCAAAAUGGUUGUUUUUAUGUGUGCAAGAGACGGAUUAUCAUCUCUCUGAAAGAUGUUAAUAUCACAUUUUAUUGUGUUUUACAUUGUUUUUGGGGCAUUACUUGGCUCGGCACUCGUAACCUAUGUAUUGUGAAGGGCAACGAAUAGACAUAUCUAUCGUGAAUUAGCUCUAUGGUUCUCGGAUCGACCAAGAAUUGAUAAUCACGACAAAACGAACUUGGACCGACAAUUUAACAAUUGCCCAACAUCGGAAUUUAUACGACUAAAUUGUGUGAACUUAAUAUUUCAAAUUUUAUACAUAAAACUAUGGUUUUGUAAAUUUUGUUGUCCCUCCUUUUUGAGCGAGGGUGUUGGGUUUUGGUAUUUUGGUGUCAGUGUCGUGUCGUUGGAUGUGUCAUGGUUAUGGUAUCGUUUUUAGGGACUAUAACGUCGGUUUAAUCUUGUUGUCAAUGUAACGAGGAGGUUGCCUGUGCAUAUAUGUUGGUACUUUUGGCGUAUAGUCGUUGAAAGAGUUGUUUAUUCUUGAGACUUAUGGAAUACGUUUAGGUUACGGUUAAACCCUAUCGGUUUACAGUCCAUUGUAAUUGUUGGACCUUUUAUGUAGGGAGGCAAGAGUAGAGAAUUUAUUUCUGCCACUGAUAUUCUCAUGGUUGUAAUUUUAGAUUAUGUUAUACUAAGUUUACCGUUACUUAAAAAAAAAAAAAAAAAACAAAAACUAUAGUUCUGUAAAAUUGUAAAUUGUAAUUCAGCUUACGGUGGGGUAAAUUUUAAUUUUUUCGGACCAAAAAAAAAGUUUUUCAAUUUUUUAGCUUCCACGUCGUUUUAUACGUUGUCACGUAAGAAAUAAAUAGAGGAAAAAACAAAACAAAAACCCACGCGCGACUCCCUAGACUCUUCACCCACAGGGAUCUGAAGGAGAAGAGCUCAGAGCCUAAACGAAGAAGAAGAAAAACUGAGCAAGAUGAUGUCCGGCAAUUACACCAGCAUUGAUAACCAAAGCGUCUCUGGAUCCGUUCCUGCUGUAAGUAUUCAAUUUCUCAUAGACACAAAUCCAUACGUAUAUCUAUACUAUACACGUACAUCUGGCUCAUCAAUCUCGGCUGAUUUUGCAGGCGGUUCCAGAUCCAGGUCACCACACCGUCAAAUUCGAAGGUCAGAUUCCUUUUUCGGUUCAUCACUUUCUAGAGUUGCUUAGCUUUUGCUUUGCCGUGAAAUUGAAGCAAAAAGAAAACGAAAUUGAAUUCGAUAUGGAACGAAUCAGCUGGAUUUUGUAUUUGUUUUUGUUAAAUCUUCAUUUUGCGAUUUGAAUUUUCAGUAGCCGAGGGUUUAUUGAUUAGUGUGGCAAAAUGAUAAGCAUAAUUGUGAAUGAUGUGUUGUUUGAUUGUGUCUAUAGUCUAGCUUAGUUGCUAUGGUUUAAGUUUUCGGAGAUUCGGUCAUUUUGCAUUGGUGUUAAUGGUGUGGUGUGAAUGUCUGCAGAUUCACACCUUCAGACAUUUCCUCCAUCCGAGGCGCAAGGGAAGAUCUCUAGUGGUGCUCGCCCUCCUCGUGAUGCAGAUGGUACGAACAUGCAGUUUCUUAUUUUGUCUGUUAAAUAUGCAGUUGCUUUCGUAUUACGACAUUCCUGCAUUGUUUUAGAUUUUUGUAGUCAUGUGGAUGCAAUUCAGUACCCAAAGGGUUAGAAAGUUAACUCUGAGGAUGAUAAGAAUGGUUUAGGAGUAUGGACUAUCGUGUGGGUGAAUUCAAUCUAGAGGAAAAAUGAACAUCUGUACAAGUGCCAGUAAUUAGGUGGAUACUAAUAAGGGAUGCCGAGGAAUGCGAGGUUGGCUAGUGGGGAAUGUGAAGGGAUCAAAGUGUUCAUAACAUGCAGGAUAUUUGGGUUGGAUCACUUUUUGGAAGAAGAUACCUGUAGUAGCAAUUGAUAGGGUGUGCUGCUGAGAGUCAACAAGACCAAACAAUAUUUGCCUAAAGAUGUGUUUUAGUAAUUUGAAACUGCUAACAAGUGGACUGAUGAACUCAAACAGAGUGAAUGUUUGGAAUAGAAAACUUAAAAGGGCUAAUGUUAGUUAUGGAUUAAUGACUCAGCUCAGGCCAUGUGUUUCCAUUCCCAUUCUAUGAGCAUUGACAUUCCUCAGGGUUGAACAAUAUGAGAAAAGUUAGUAAUGCUACAUGUUAGGGGUUUGAAACUUGCAUCCAGACUUGUUUUCAGACAUUUUUUCCAGCCUAUUAAAGGAUGACUACUAUAAAUAUAAUAUACUGUAUUUUAUCUGCUACGAUGUUAAAGGCAUGUAACUCUUGAUGCAGACACAUUUUCAAAACCUGUAUCUGGUUCCGAUGAACCCCAGCAGAGUGGUUGGCUACGUACUUUCAGUGUAUCCUCUUACAAAGCAUAUUUUGACGUUGACACUUCAGAUGUUCUAGAGAGGAUUAAAGACUCACUCCUUCCAUAUAGUGGAGCUUUCAAUGAAAAAACAACCAACAAUCCAGAUUUGUAAGUUUUCUUUGAUAACUUUACCCUAUAAAGUAGAGCUUUGAGUUGUAUGGAAAAUUCAUACAUCUCAUACUACCUUGAUAAUUGAUAAUCCUAGAUGGACAUCACUUUUAAUUUGAGUAGUUGUUAAUGCUGAUGUCACUUGUUUAUUCUAAAAAAGUUCUAUUGUUAAUUUGGGAACAUGCUUGUGUUUUAAUGCUAUAUCUCAAUGGAUAUUUGUAUGUGAUUUCAACAUCAAAUGCUUUGUAGGUAUGGACCUUUCUGGAUAUGCACAACCCUAAUAUUUGUCGCCGCUGCCAUUGGCACCUUCGUGACAUAUGUAGCACACAAGGUCAAGAGUCAAGAGUGGACAUAUGACAUUAAUGUGGUGCAAUGGUCUGCUGGAUUGUUCUAUGGUUAUGUGACUGUUGUUCCUCUUCUGCUGUAUGUAAUCCUUAAAUACUUCUCGGCACCAGCAGGUCUCGUCCAGCUGUUUUGUCUGUAUGGCUACUCCCUGUUUGUCUUUAUACCAGCUUUGGUAAGUCCCUGGAGGUAUUUAUGCAUUGAGCUUAUUACCAGAAAUAUGCUUAGAAAUGUCUGCAUGUCCCAAAAAGCGUAUGCCAACACCCAAGCUCUAAUCUGUUAUUUUGUAGAUUUUGAAAACAUGGGCCAGAACUUUCUUCAUAUUAAAAUUUUGUGCGGUAAAGUCUUUAGUUUUUUAAGAAUGCUGGAGAAGCUGACUUAGAGCCUUCACUUCUAAGAAUUUUGGUCAUUCAUGUCUCAGUUUAGACUCAGUCAUGAUAUUGCUAAUCUUCUGUGUUAUCUAUAAGAGAUUAAGAGCCAUGACUUUGUUUAGGGGAUCUGUACUAUGAAAAGUCUCAUAUUUUGAUGGUCGAUAAUAGCUUGCUGACAUUGCUACUGUGUACUAUUGCAGUGUCUCUCUGUUGUGCCCUUGGAAAUUUUCCGAUGGGUAAUUGCAGGCGUGGCUGGGAUCAUGUCUGCUACUUUUGUGGCCAUAAACCUUCGCGCCCAUAUUGUUUCAGCAGGUGAAAGCUGGUUCUUGAUUGUGGCUGGGAUAUUUCUAUUGCAGUUGGCUCUAUCUGUCGUGCUAAAACUCUAUUUGUUCACCGUCACAGUCUAGAGUACUAUACAGUAAACUGGGCCUUCAGAAAAGGCGUGAAAGAAUAUGUAGAUUACAAAGUUGAGAUAAUUUUUGGAACAUUGGCUUGUUGUUACUGUUAGCCGAAAUAUUAUUCAUCAAUUAAGCACAUCUUGUAUUCAUUCUUUUCGGAAAUACAAAAUCUCAUAUUUUAGAGUAUGUCUGCGUUUUCAAAAAAGAGAGUAGCAGUGAUCAAUAUGACUCGGUUAAGAACAUUUGUUCUACAAUUAAAAACAACGUCAAUCAUUACCUAUAAAUAAAAUUACAAACUCUAGCACAUCAAAUUAGGCUGCUACUAGAGCUAAGUUCUCAAGUACAAUCGAACUGUGUUUUCAUGUUUCUCAUUUAAAAGACUUGCUUAUGGACCAACUGGUCGAAGUUGUUGUCCUCAUAAAAUCGAUCCAGAAAGUCAUUAGAUUUCGAAGUUGAUGCAAGCAAUUCAUCAUGUGUAUAAAACACAAAAUCAUCAGCAGCGGCGAGAUCCGGAGCCAACUCAGGCCGAUAAUCCUCCUGCUUUGGCGUCCAACUACUGCUAGCUUGAUGAUGAUCAAUACUACUACUGCUGCCUCCUUGUUCCUCCCGAUAAGAAGUCCCUUCCUUUUCCGGCAUGUAAUUCCCUCGAAGCUUUCUCCUUUGAUCCAGAUUACUAAUAAGCUUUCUCCUUUGAUCUAGAUCUUGUUCAAUACCAUCAACACCAUCUUUCAGCUUCCUCUUAGUUUCGUUAGUUUUCGGUGGUGGUUUUGUAGGAUUUUUUCUCAAAACGCAUACGACAGUUACAUCAUUCUUGUUCAACUCAUACUCAUCCAUCAACCAUGCAUUGUUUUGAUCUGAAGAGCUUCCACCCUCGUAUCGAAAGUUCCUCUUGAUUCCAAUAACCUUACCCUCCUCCAUAACCUUGGCAAAAUACUGGCCGCUCCAGGUUCCCGUGCCCACCUUCCGAUCAAAGCGCGAGCCCUUAGGGUUUAACUUUUUGCGUUUGAUGAAGAAGAAGAGAGGCUCUCCGUCCUCGACUGAGUUGCCACCGUACUUUUCCCACACAGUCCAAGGCUCCGAGCUGUAGAAUUCAGGGCAAUCGGAGACGUAAGGGGACCGGAAACCGUCUCCUAGCAUGGCCUUGUUGCGGAGGUAGUGACUCACGAGAUCGUUAUCUGUAGGAUGAAACCUGAAUCCCACCGGAAAACGUUCCAUGGCUUUAAGUGAGAUUGUCGAAAAUCUUUUAUGAGAGAAAAGUAUUGAAAAGAGUACGUUGAUUGCCCUAGCUGGCUAGAUUGUCUUGGUUGUGAGCUUGUGAUUCUAUUUCACAUGAGUAUCUAGAAAAAAUGCGAAGACGGAUACCGCGAAAUAUAUAGGGUAUCUUUCCGUGUGUUCCAAGGAACUAGGAUUCUCUACCCUUGUGUUACAAGGAUAUAUGAUUCUCUAUCCGUGUGCGUAAUGAAUUAGGAUAUCCGAGGAAUUGUUUUGGUCGUAUAUUGGGUAUCUUUCCAUGUGUUGCAUGGAAUUAGGAUUCUCUAUCCGUGUGUUACAAGGAACUAGGAUUUUCUAUCCGUUUGUUACAAUGAAUUAGGAUAACCGAGGAAUUGAUCGAGGCUAGUCCGUUUUAGGGAUUGGGGAUUUACCAUUCAAUGAUGACUUUGGCAACGGACGUUCCCAAAAUGGGUACUAUCAGGUCGGGUAAAUUCUAUAACUCAAUAAUAUACGCUGUUGGUGUUCCAGCCUUUCUUCUCCUUUUAAGGCCUACCUGAAAGAGAAUCUAAUAUUUCUUGGUCGUGAAUAUUUGAAUAGGACGAACCGCCCCGCGAAUAUCUCUGCUUUGGAACAAAACAAUUCGAAUUGGCAUAUACGGUGUGACAUGCAAUUUUGUAAAACCCUAACAACCUUACAAUCAAACCUACAUCGAUGUUAACAUCAACAUGUGAUGCUCAAGGGGUAAUUACUCCCAAAAUGUUACUUGUUAUUCAUGCUACAUAUAUAAUCAAAGAUAUCUCUGCCCUCAAAUAUACCCAGGAAUGGGCUUUGGAAACCAUAUUUUUGUACAUUUAAGCAUUUUCCCAUAUAUUCUUAGUUCUACUCAAAAGCACACAGUUCCGUACUCCUAAUCAGUGGAGUUUUCUGCACUUAAUCGGCUUCUCCCAGUGUUGAUAUAUAUAUUGGCUAAAAACCAAAUGUGUUUUUUUUUUUUUUGAUGAGAGUAUCAUCAACGGUAUCCUUAAAAACUUUCCAGACUCAGAGACUAAUCCACGUCGAGAGAUCUUGUCAGAACGCUUCCUCCCUUCUAGUCACCAAGAAUAAAUUGGGAUUUAACUUCAAUUAGUGUCGGCUGAGAUUCGAACAUGAGUGAGGAGUUCCACACUUAGACUCUUACUGACUUGACCACUUGUGUUUCAGUUCUGUUGAUGGAAGUAAUCUGUUUUUGAUCUUAAUUUUAUUCUUGAUGACUCAGAAGAGAGUUGUUUUUAGGAAAAUUAUUGGGAGGGCGAGAGGGGGAGUUAUAUAUAUGAAGUGAAAGGAUCGGAGCUUAUAAUAAAACUCUAGCUUGAUGGUUUAAAAUAAACAUGUUUUCUCUGGCUCAUAACCUGGCCUAUUCGUGAAACAUUCCUGUUUGUAUGGGAAUCAAUACCUUAAACAGAAGUCGAAGAUACAUUAACUAAGAACUACUUGUUUAGUUGAUUUGAUCGAUAGUUCGAUCUCUAAUACGCCAAAAUCUGUCCCAAUAACACAUUGAUCAUGAAUUUAGAGAAUUUUUUGCAUUGUUUUCCUCUACAUAAAUAAGCAUGAAUGAGACAAAAAUCUUAUAUUUGAGAUUGGGAAAGAAUAUACCAUUAAUAUGGGAACUUCCAUAGGCUUCAGUCCAAAAGAUGAUACAAAAGACAUACUGCAGAAAGCGUUAACCAAGCAAGACAAUAUGAAGUUCAAACAUAUAUGAUAAGUAAUUAAUAAAUCAAAUAGAAGAAACCUGGUUUAUUAUAUACCCUAGCUAUACUAUCGUUUGUUGAAGCGCGCAGCUGCUUCUGGACUUGGGAUGAAUUUUUAGAUAUCAACAGUAGUGACUAAGACUACCAAUCAAAAUAAUUAUAAGCUUCAAUCAGAGAAUCGAUAUUACAAAACAAGGUAUCGAAAUACAGUUUAUUUCAUGAAAUCAUCAAUGUACAACAAUACAAAGUUGGACAGUACAUAAGAAAGUAAGAAACAAUUCUGACAUAAUUAGAAAUUCUCUAGGUAAUCAACAGUGGCUUGAUCAUCGGGCAGCUGUGACAUCCCUCCAAUAUUCAUGUAAUCCAUGACGUUGAACUUGCUGUCGUCGCUGCGGUGAUAUAACUGAUUCUCAGGCAGCUGUGACGUCCCUCCAUUCGUGUAAUCCAUGAAGUUGAACUUGCUGUCGUCGCCGUGAUACAACUGAUUCUCAUAUUGAAAGGACUUGUAGUAUGGAGAAUUAAUUGGUCCAAUGAGAUCGUCUAAACAAAUACCAUCAUCAUAAUUAUUACCAAGGCGCCCUGAAAAAUAAUCAGUAACAUUAUCCUGAUCAUGAUGGUAGGGCUGCUGCUCCGGCAGCUGCGUACAACUGCUGCGACCUUGAUCGUCGUAAGCUGUCUCUUCCUUCCUUUCUUCCUUUACCAUAUUUGACGGUUCAAGAUCAAUUAUCUCAUAAAUCUCUUCCUCCUUUAGUUUCUUUUUCCGCUUUCUGGAUUGAUGAUCAACAAAACUCGCGCUCUUUCUUUUUUUGACACUAUUCUUUUUUGUAAUUUCAGCAUCUUCCUGAUUAGCUUGCGCUCUUCUUGGAUUCCUUUUCAGAGCGCAAAUCACAUAAUCAUGUUCAAUGUCGAACGCACUCUCGUACUCGUGCAUAAGCCAUGCACCGUUUUGAGUAGCAUCACAUCCCUUGAUCAUCUCAUAGCGUAAGUUCCUCAUUGUCCCAAUUUUGGUUAUGCCAUUCUGCGAAGAAACUACGACGUCUUUCGAGUACUCUCCACUCCAUGUACCGGAGCCUACCUUCCGAUUAAAGCGUUUGCCGUCACUGUUCAGCUUGAUGCGCUUGGUGUAGAAGUAGAGGGGCUCUCCUUCCUCAUAUGUAGAACCCCCAUACUUGUCCCAAAUAUCCCAUGGCUCCAUGGCCUUUUCGCCGUAAAGAUCAUUACAUUCAUGGAUGAAACUGGAGUAACAGCCUGCUUGAUCGGCAUCGGCCUUGUCGUGGAGGAAAUAUUCAAUGAGUUCAACGUCUGUAGGAUGAAACCUCAUGCCCUUGAUUUGCAUCACCGGAGCUGCCAUGUUCAUCGGUCGAAAGAGUAAGUUGAAGCUUUAUGUGUUUGAUCAAUGGUGACGAUCGAGAUUCUUAAGUAAUUGAGUUGGGCUAAUUAUAUUUAGGGGGGAAAGGGUUAAUAUAGGUAUUUUUAUGCUUGUAGUCCAAGCCUCUACUUUGCUAGAAAGAGUCUGAUAUUUUCCUUAUUCGUUACAAAAUACAAAAUUAGAUAGAUUUUCCUUGAUUUCGGAUAGAUAUUGGUUUUAUUUUCUUUCCUUUUCCCUCCAAGAUAUUAUUGGUUUGCGCGGGAAUUUGUUUUGAUUUAUCCUUAUCCUUUCGAUCGUGAUUUUAGUUCUGAUAAAUCAUGAAACAGAAGGCUUUUUCUUGGUUAAAAAUAAUUAACCUGAGGGUAAUCUCUAAUUACCAGCUUAUAAUAUCAUCCAAAAAAUAAUAAUUACCAGCUUAUAAUAACAUGUUUCAAGUUAUGGACCUUACUUUUUCUUACCCAAUAAUUAGGAAAAAUAAGAGAUGUUAAGAGAUAGACAGUCAGAUUCUUCGGACACAGGUGUUGGAGGAUGAUAUCCUAAUGUCUAGCAGCUUCGCCUUCUUCUCUUUUCACUCGUGUGAGAAAGUUGCACAGCUAGCUCUUAAUUCAGGUUUCUCUGGACGUCGUUGGUCGGGUUUCCUUAAUUACCGACUGGAAUUCAUAUAUGGCUUUUUAAGCCAGUGCUUGUAAUCUCUAGCUAAUUAGUUCUCGUCCUUGUUUCAGAAAAAAGAAAAGAAAAGGAUUCAGAUUAGAAGGGAAAUUAGGGUUUAAGUGUAUAUAUGAGAUAUGGAAAAAGCGGUUAUAGGUAGGGAAGAGACAGAAGGGAGAUAGCCAAAGGGAUCCUAGCCAAAGCUCAAGAAAACAGUUGGUUCAUCAUCAAAGUAAAAACAGCAAUAUUACAAUAUGUAUAGACUACUAUAAUUACAGAACAAUUAGGACAUGCACAUGAAUUCCUAAUAAGUAUAUAUAUAAUGAAAAUCUCAUUGGGAAAAAAAAUUAACAUCAAAUCCAUCACUGAUUGAUAGUGAUCUCUUCAGCUCUGGCAGCUAGGUUUUUAUAUAUAGCUAGGGUUUCCUUAAGCCCUUCGAACAUUCGGGUUCCUCCAUCUAAUCCACUUUGGUCUUCUCCGCUUUCAGCUCUUGCAUGUAUUCCUAUUACAUGGUUACAAAAAAUUUCACUACUCUCACGAGCAAGAUUCAUAUAUAUGAUCGAGGUCUGUGUACUAAUUCAUCUUAUCUCCAACUAUCAAUAUUGACAAUUGUUAGAAGCUAGCCUAAAAACAACAAUUUCUUUACGAUGAAGAUACGUAUAGAAGUACUACUGUACGUAUAUAUAGAUCGAAGUAUUAUUUCCUAUACAGUAUAUAUGAUAUAGUAAAAGUUGGAGUUCUUGAUGAUCAUAUACCUACUAGUAAUUGCCAUUAUAUAUUGUUUGAUGUUAUAUUCAUAUACACACACAUGCUGGAGAGAAAGGUAACGAGAGACAGACCUAAACACGAGUAAUAAAGAAGUGAAUGACAAAGAUGAUUGCACUUAAGUUGAGGAUGAGAGUGUGAUUAAAUUAACACAUAGUGUUUUUAAAAUAAAACAUGUUUUCUCUGGCUCAUAACCUAUUCAUCAAACAGGCCUGUUUGUAUGGGCAUCAAUACCUUGCAAAAGCUAGCCUUUGUUAAAUUGAUAGUUCUCUCUAAUGCCAAAUCCUUUGUUAUUUUCACGGGUUAUGCUAUAUUUAGAGAAAACCCUAUUGAAUUCAGAGCAUUUUUUGUCUUGUUUCCUUUCCACCAAAGCCAAAUCUUAACGUUUAGAUUUAGGAAAUUAUGGUACAUUGAUACAGGAACUUCCAUGAGCUAGUCCAGGAGAAGAAACAAAAGGCAUAUGAAAAACUAUAUGUAGCAAGAGAUGUGUAAUAAUCCCAACCAGACAAAUGCAAUGUGUUAUUACUUCAAACAUAAUUAGCCGGAUUAAGAAUGAUUAAGAAAUAGAAAGAAGUGGUACUAUAGCCUAGAGAAUUGAAUAGAAUCACAUGGACAAUAGUAAGUGAGAUACUUUAAAUACCCUAGUACAAGAAAGGGAAAACAGCCUAAAAAUGAAGAGUCAAAGCCAAGUAUCAAGAUCCUGAAAUUGAGGCAUCUUUAGAAGACUAUGCUGAAUUUGGUUUCCUUAUUAUUCUAAAUUUGAUGGCACCUUGUAUAUGUUUUUGGCUGGUGUCACCUGAGAGGCUGAGAGUAUAGCUAUAAGGAGAGGAGACUGGUUGGUUUGAAUGACUUGUAAUCUGUGAACCAUCCAUAUAUAUAUUCUUUCUCCAAGAUCUGAGAUGUGACUUAUUUUUAUUCCACACCUCACUUAUUUUUAUUCUACACCUCGCUUAUAUGACAUAUAGGUCGAAUAAGAGUAAUCGGUGAGCCGUCGUCUGUUGGGUUAGCUAGCUAGUAAACUCAUAUAGUUUUGAGGUCACAUGGGUUUACAUUUUUUGAAUAAUGCAAAACCUGAUUUGAAUUUAGAAAGUACAAAACAAGAAGAUUUGGUGAAAGUUUUAUUAGCUCAGUAUUGAUAUUAAAUAAGAUGUCAUGUUUCACGUCAUUGCUUGGUAAUUAAGAGAAAUUAAGCAAAUGCUUAAACAAUUGGUUCAUUGCUUGAGAAGUUUUUUUUUUUUUGAUACGACAUUGCUUGAGAAGUUGAGAUGGUGUGAGACACAAGCAGUCAAACACAACACCAAAGUCAUUAGUUAAAGUCUCACUGCUAUCAUAGUUUAUGGUGAGGAAUCUGACCAAUUAUUUCCGCCUUCACAUAUGCACACAUUCACACACAAACAAAUAACUAAUUCCCAUUUGAAGUACUACCUUGCUCCCUCUCCUCCCUUUAAAAACCUGCCAACUUCCUCAACAUGCUUGAUCUCUUACUCCCUUUCUCUCUCAACAAGAGAAACCCAAAAGUUUGAUUUUUAUAUUCUCCAUGCUUGCUUAGAGAGAAGAUAAUCAGAGACAAAAGGCAAUACUUUUGGAUUUGAAGAAGCCACGCUCAUCAUGUUCAUCUCGAAGAACCAGGUUAUAGGCCUUCUGUUGAUGUUCUUGGGCAUCUCAGGCUUACACUAUGAAGUAUCAGGAGCUCGAUGGCUAAGCGAAAACUCCGAGAAGGUGGAAGAGAAUCUAGUGAAUGCUCAAGUUCAGAUGAACAGAUCCAAUUCAAGUCGGGAUGGAGGAUUUUUCGCCACAAGUAACAGAGAAGUGCCUUCUGCUCCUGACCCAUUGCACAAUAGGUAGGUUCAAAACCAACACAGAAGUUGUACAUAACUACCUAUAUAGCAUGAAAGAUUGGAUUAUAGAAAAGAAUAUGUCUUUGUUCUAGCUUUUGGAACUUCUACGCUCACAGAAUCAGGAAAGUUCAUACACUUUUUUGUAUUUUUGAGAACCUUAGUUAGGUUUAUAGGUUUGUAAGAAAUAUGCUUUUGGUGUAAUGUGAGUUUUAUAUCAUCAAAUUCAGCAUAUAGUCAAUAACUAUUUGCAUUCUAUUUUUUUUUUCUUCUCCAAGAUGGGUUUUGAAUUGCAUAACUCUCCUCCUGUAAUGUUUGCAGUAUAUCUUCAAAUGUUUCCUUAUGAAAUUGCUCAAGCUACCUUUUGAUGCAGAUUCUAGUUAUGAACUGAUUUACAUUAUAAAUAAGUUCUAAUAUCUUUCAAUCCAUUAAGUUGAAUACUCACAAUGCCUUAUCUCAUAAGCUUUGUUUCUCUUUCUAGUUUCUUUUUUACUUGGUGAAUAAUUGAACAACCUUUUGCCAUUGGAAUAAACAACUCUAAAUGAAGGUUGCAUUGUCUUGCUGUACUAUUGCUUUGGCUCAUGGUCGGUGGUUUUGAUAUUCAGCACAGCAAAAAUUUAGGGCAACCAUACAAAUUAGCAGGUAUAGGAGAUUAUAACAGCUAGGAGAUGGAAAUCCACAUGUAAUUCUGGACAAAAAUUGAUAAUAUUUGAAUAAUCUGAAUGAUGCAACACUGAGAAAUAGAAUGUGCUUGUUCUUCAAAGUCGGUAAUUCUUUUGACUUUGACAGAAGGGAUAACUUGUUGCAGAUACGGUAUUUUCAAGGAUUCAAUCAUUCUAUGCAAAAAUUUCCAACUGUGUGGGCUGAAGGGCAAAGUCAAAAAUCAACAUAGAUUAGAAGCAUUUCCAGUGAAAUGUGACGUAGAGAUAGAAUUGGUUCUUCUCAUUUCAAUAGCAGGCUCAAUUUUUGUAACCCGAUUCCCCUGACCAAGUUGAAGAAUGGCUUUUGAAAUAGUUUCAUGGUUGAUGUAAACUGAGAUCCAGCUUGAUUGAGCUGCACGGGUUUUCUAGCCCUGCAGAAACAAAAACAGACUUCAAAAGGGCACGAUGUGAGUGAUCAAUGAAAAACCAUAGAAUUUCACUCUGAAAUAAAUCUAUUUGGAGGGACACAGGGCAAACAUCUAAAAUCCAAAGUACAUUCCAUUUAAACGACUUGAAACAUUUUAGUGCAAAUCAGCAGUAGAAGUGUGAAAAUAACAUGAGCCAAGACUAAACAAGAAGCAAAAGUUCAUUACAACAUCAACACGUUGAAUCUGGGUUUCAUAAUUUCUCAAAGAGUUCAUUAGAAAUACUGGGCGUAUGCGAUAUCAUUAACUAAUCUCACUGUUAAUCUAGAAAAGGAUGAAUUUAGGCCUUUGAUUUCUUCCCUUUGACUUCAGGGGCUGGUUUGUUCUUGAAAGGUAGGAAGGCCACUCCACCCAUGAAGUUUCGUAAGACUUCUGGCACCUCUACACCAUCUUCCCUCUGAUAAUUUUCUAGAAUGCAGCAAAUGGUUCUCUCAGUUGCUGUAAGGGUGGAGUUCAACAAGUGAACGUAUUGCUUCGUCUGCUCAUUGCUCUGCAAUUACAAAAAGUCACAACAUCACACAAUCAGCACAUAUAACAUGCUUCCUGCCUUUCUCUAUCAUUCACUACAAGCAACUCAUCCUGACAGGAGCUUCACCUCUAUCUUAUAUCUACUAUGAAGGAGAAAACUGAGAUGCAGUUUCACUUCAGAUGUUUGAGGAAAAAAUAAGAUAAAGAGCAGCAUAGUGCAAUUUUCAGUACAGUUCACAUACAGACUACAAAUCGGUUUAUGAACUAGUGAUUAUGUUUACCCAAUAAUCCUGUCAUGGUUAAGUAAUACGUAUAUUGAUCAACAAGUAAGAGGAUGUCAUCAGGACCUACCUUUUUCUGCCCAAAUCGAAUUUCUAACUUUCUUGAUUGGUAGUCUGUACAGUUCGAGCAUGAGACGAGCUCUCUGUACGUCUUAGAUGCAGGAAACCAUGCUUCCAGAUCAUAUUUCUUUGCUGCCGCAUCAUUCAGAGCACCAGAAACGAUGGACACAACAUGAUAAGGAAGUUUGAGCUGAAAAUCAUAAAAUUUCAAACGAUCAGGUUUACGAAUGAGGGUAUUAAACUGGAAACGUACAUCAACACCAAUUGGAUCACAAAUAGCAUUGAACUCAUUUUACACGAAGUGGGGGUAGAUGAUGAUCCAACCCUAAACUCCUAGUUAUACAUAUAAGUGACCACAUGAAUUUGUAAUACGGUGCCCCUAAAUAUACAAUGUACAUAAGCUUGAAUCAAAUAAAUGCACCAGCCAUAUCUCUCUGGGCUCAAACAAAAUAUUCAUAAUUAUGCAAUAGUUAUUAGGUAAUUGUUUAGGAGAAAACACGAUACCUGCUGAUAAAAUUCCUCAGAGUUCUUCAACAUUUCCUCAUGCAUUUCCCAGGAGUCCUGGCCAUUUGGGCUUGUCAUACAGAACUGUUCAACUUUUUCAAACUGAUGUACUCUGAAAAUUCCCAAGGUAUCUCGACCAUGUGAACCAGCUUCCUUGCGGAAACAAGAUGAAUAUCCAGCAUAUCUGAGGAAGACAAAACCUUAAAAUUAAUGAUAAAAGAUAAAGAGCGUUCUUUAAUGACUAGAAUUUUUAAUGAGAUGUUCAAACCUUAUGGGCAGCUGUGAGGGAUGAAUCCAGUCGUCCACAUGAUAUGCACAAAGUGGCUGUUCAGCUGUAGCAAUGAGAUAUUUGUCAUCACCCUCUCCAGUUACCUGUUAAACACCAAUUCAGUCAUGCUCCACUUAGUCAGACCAAAAAAAAAAGUACAUGCUCCACUUAGGUAUUUAGGCAGACAAUCCAGUAAAAUAUGAUUCAAGUGCUGGUUUCAGUUGAAUUUAUAAAAGAAAAAAAACACAUCUACAGCCGAAAUCAAUUUCCAGCCCUUGACCAGGUAAACCUAGAAACAGAUGCUGCCUAAUUAGGGAUUGAAAAUGAACUCCACACAAACAGCAAAAGCCCAGGUUCUUUUUUUUUUUUGAAUCUAAAGCCCAGGUUCAUAAAGAACAAGAAAAUACAAAAUACACCUAGAUGGCCCACAAAACAAAUAAUAUACGCAAUAGUAACGACUGUUACCUUAUAAAGCUCCUCAUCAAAUUGUGCUAAUUGAGCACACUUUGCCAUGAUAUCUUUUCUCAUAAAAAAUGGAGUCUGCAAUGCCGUGUAUCCCCUUUUCUCAAGGAAAUCAAGACCAAAAUUAAUCAGAGCUUGAUUGAGGCGGACACCAGCACCUUUCAAGUAAUAACCUCUACCUCCUGCUACUUCAGCACCUACAUUUGAGCUAUUUUGAAUUAAUAACAGGCUACUAUGAUGUCAUACAGGUUUAGAAAAGUUAAAUAAUCUAUUUUUCCAAGAUUGUUUGAAUGGUGAUAGCUGGAUAAGACAACAGUGUACCUUUCUUCAAGUCAGCAAUACCCAGUAGCUCAACAAGCUCAACGUGAUUUUUGAGUUUUGGCUCCAUCCGUUUCUCACCCCACGACCUAACCACAGCAUUAUUGGCCUACAACACGACACUACAUCAUAUUUAAAACAAGAAUCAUAAAGAGGCAAUAGUUACAGCACAAGAAGUGUACCAAGUCAUUACCUCGUCAUCAUGGAUGGGAACACUAUCAUGCACAAGGUUUCCAAUGCCUUCCAAUUUUGAAUUCACAACGUUUGAAGCCUCACGCACUUCAACUUCUUUUUCUGCGGUCAACUUCUUGUUUUCUUCUGUGUCCUUAAUCACAUCGGUUGCAUCCUGACCUGACUAUCAUACCAAAUCAUUUUGACACUCAGUUGAGCUUAAACUUGUAAACGUAACAAAGAAAAAAACAAACAUCCUUAACACAAAACAUGAAGUGCACACAUUAAGAACUAUUAUCUAAGAAUCUAAAGCACAACUGCAAUUACACACAACCACGCAGACCCUCAUCCAUUUCAACACCAAAUUUCUCAUCCUCUAAACAGCUACUCAAAAACACUUUGUCCAAGUUUUCGCAAAUUCUCACCAUCAACAGGAAAUCAAUGCAACCUAAUCGUCCUAACGGGACCGAUAAAUUUUCCAUAUCAAAGUAAACACACAGUGAUCAAAGUACCCCUGAUAAUCUCUACACAGUCACAGUCCCAGACUCCAAAUCUUCCUAAUCCAACCGACACACUUUCUUCCAAAUCCAAAUAUCUAAUAUGCAUAACUCAACAACAACGAAUUCAGAGAAAAAUCAAAGAGAAAAUGACGAGAAUACUCACAAUCCUGAGCUGAGCAACCUUCUUGUUGAUCUUGUUAAACUCCUUCCUGAGACUAUCGAGCUCAAAUUGACCUGAAAGUUUUCACCACAAACAAGUAAAUUCGAAUUCUUUCCAAAUCAAAAAGCAUAAAAAUUUCACAGCGAACUCUAGAGAUUACGUUGACGCCAUUCUUUAUCGAGCUGGAUGACCUCGUCGACGAUCUCGACGCUUUUGAAUCGACGGCGCUGAGACUCUCGGAUGAUCUCGGGGUUGCCGCCCUUCUCUUCUCUGAAGAGAUUGAUGUCCAACAUUGUUGGAUGCUUGCGAUUCUGGGAAUAAAGGUGAAGACUUUGCAGAAGAAAAACGCAGAGAACAAAGCUAAGAGGUGAAGAAGAAAGAAGACCAAGUGCUGCUGCUAAGCUACCUGCUAAAACCCUAUGUAUAGGGGGCUGAGAACUUGGGCCUCGGUUUUGGGCCUGGGACUAUUACUGCUGGCUUAAGGUAAUUUUGACUUUGGUUACCAAAAACGCAUCUUUGCUCUCUUACCUUACUGGCUUGUUCUCCUCUAGUCGUACACAUGCUACUUCCCCUUUUCUCUAGACUUUUCAGUUCUGUCUCUACACUAAUCAUCAUCUUCUUCUUUUAACCAACAACACCUAAAUUGUUAGCUCCCAAGAAGGAGGGGGAGGAAUCGCCAUGAAUUCUACUGUAAAAGAAUAUGAAAUUGUCUCUUCAAUUUGCUUCUAGCUUCAGUAAGUUACAUCUCCUCUUUUUCAAACUAGUUCUUGUUGUUGGAGAGAAAAAAUCUCACAUCAGAAAAGAAACAAAUAACAUAUAACUUAUAAAUAGAUGAAUCAAAUCUAAUUGUAUCGAGGUUUUUUGUGAUUAAAAUUCAACACUUAAAAUGUGGUUAAGUUGAGACAAUAUUAGUACAAUAAUGAUCUACGAGACACGCUUAUCCUAGUUCAAGUCUUGUUUCAGCUAUUACCCAAUAAAAUUGGAGUCUGAAUUGUAUCAUGAAUUUCAAAUUAGGGAACUAUUGGAGUUUAACUUAAUUAGUUGCUUGUGCAUUUGGAGUUUGCUUGGAGUUUGACUUGGGUGCUUGUGCGUUUGGAGUUUGCUUGCUUUUCUUGGAGAUUGGACUGCUGGUUACUUGAUUUGAGGUAGGGAAAACAAAAAUUUUCUUAUAGCUUAGAUUCUAAUUUGAUGUGUAUUGGGUGUGAAUGUUGUGAUAUGUUUUCUCUACGAGUUCUUAGCUUUUGAUAAGGAUAUAUGUUGGUGGAACCUUGUUUCAUUUUAUUCGUUGCAGCAAUCAAUAGAUUAUGAUUGUUUUUAUCAAGUUCUGAGAUCAAUUUCUGAACCGACUUCAAGUACUCUUUUUAGCUGGCCGGGUUUUGUCUUCCCUCGAAAUAGACAAUUCAAGAAGUUCUUUGAGCAGGAUUUGUCCAAAACACAUUGUAUUUAUACCUCUUAGCUUUUGCGUAAAGGAAUAAUAGAAAUUCUGAAAAUUCUGCAUAAACUUUUUAGUUCUGCACAGCCACUUUGGAAAUUCGUUUAUCUAACUUUUAAAUGUCCAAAGUUUCUGAAACUGUUACAUGUUUCUUCCUUGUUAGCCUACAAGAGAUCUGGAAAGUUUCAGGUUAUUCCAAUAUAAAUUGAAAACUCAGUGAUUUUUCAAAGUUUACCCUGCAGUUGGUAAAGUUUCUGAAUUUUGAAUAUGCUUUCUUGUUUUCUGUUGAGCUUUAGACCUCCAAUUUAACUAAUUCAUUUUGUAUAUUGUAGUAGACUUUCUAGUGAUUGUUGCGAAAUUGAUUUCUUGUUAUUUGUUCAUAUAAUGAGUUCAUGGUUAAUUUUCCAAGUCGACAUUGCAGCUGGCAUUUCUUUUCUAUAUAUUCUGACAAUUCAGUUAGUUUGUGAUCAAGUUUUGCAUUACUCCUUAAAUACCGAAAUUCCUGAAACUUUAGUAUGUUUCAUUUUUUCAUGUCUAUUGUUAUUCGCAAAACUCUACCUUGCUCUUGAUUAUAUAUGUACAUAAAACUUGAGCUUUCCUAUUUUAAAACAAAAGACCGAUUUCUCUUUACUUAUGCCUCUUGUUAGAGCCUUAUUCCCUCUCAACCUUUUAUGCUCUUAGCUUAUAGCUUUUGUUAAGAAACUGAUAGUUUCUGUUAUUGAUCAUUACUCCGUGUAUCUUAUCAAUCUGUCAUAUUGGGUGGUCAUCCAAUUACCCAAACUUGUAAGGGUUCUUUUUCGAUUCUGAGCCAAAGUAAUAAUGAUAAGGUCCUCUAACUAAAGUAUUUCCAUGUGCACAAGAAAUCAUAUUCGUAGUCUUGUUCAGUUCUUGCCAAACCUUGGUUGCUGCAACGAAGUUUCUUACACGUACAUAUCUAUGUUGAUAUAUACAACAUCUUUUUGGCUUUGUUAUUGAACAUCUGGUUUUCCGUUAAGCUAAACGAGAUCUAAACCAAUGAUCAGGCCUAGUCUCAUUGGUUUUGGGCCUCAAGCUUAUGUCCUAAUUUGUAUAAAAAUUAUUGAAAGUAGAUUUUUUGCAUUUUUAAAUUUAGUAAUGUGUUACUAUGUAAUUUUCUCAUAUUAUAUUCCUCUCUUUUUAUUUCCAUUGAAAUAAAUAUAAAAUUUGUAUAGAGGAUAAUAAAGGGGGCAUUUGCUCUAGUGGUUUAAGGUCAUGAGACUUGGUAUAAGGUGAGGUGUUCGAUCCUUGCUGGUAUUCUUUUUUCAUCUUAAAAAAAAUGACAUUUUAUUAAAUUCAAGUUUAAUAUUUGAAAAGUUAAGCCUUAUGUCUGCUCCACAUCAAUAGAUUUUAUUAAAUUCAAGUUUAAUAUUUGAAAAGUUAAGCCUUAUGUCUGCUCCACAUCAAUAGAUGAUGUCAUAUUUGGUGCCAAAUUCGAAUUUUGGACCACAGUGAUUGGAAUUUAAAUGUUGAAGGAGUGAACUGAUUAAAAAAAAAAAGAAUACCAGCAAUUGAAUUCAAUUCAUCCAUUAGUAAUGUCACACAUGAACGGAAAAUUUUAUUCCUUGCAAGACGUAAACAACAACCUCACUAACAAGGUGAUCGAUCGAGGCUAUAGCCAAAUUGGGAUAAUGAAAACAAGCUAGCGUGCACAGACACACGAAUACUAGCUAGCACUUUUGCAGGCAAGGAAUGCCAAUUGCAUUUCGUAAAGGCAACAAGCUUUUAACCUCGCUACACUUUUAUUCCUAGCUAGCUGGACGCAAAUGACAACCUCACAAACAAGGUAAGGCGACAAGCAAAUGAAAAUGGAAACAAGCACAGACACACACGAAGUACCACUUUUGCAGCCAAUUAAGGAACGCCGGCCGAUUGCAUUUAGUAGUAGUCCCUGAAGAAUUGC
rnacentral:lncRNA from 1 species